GGACCUGUAAGCCUUCGCAGCUACUCUCGGUCUGCAUCCAAUGGGCACAGCCGGCGUUACAGUGAUCCAGCCGAGAAUGGUGAUGUGAGAUCUGGUUCAAACUCGGGCAGUCGUCGUACUCCUAAUCGGGUGCCGCCGCCUCCGCCACCAACACAGUCAGGCUCCAAGUACUUUUAGGUGGCUUACAGAUUUUGGUUGACAAUUCAUAUUUUCUCUGCAUAUUUUUAGUGAGUGAAGGCCUGCUUAACCACUCAUGAUUCCAGUAGUUGGUUAAUCACUUCUUUAGAAUCUUCAAAAGAGGGUGCUUUGUGUAAAUAGGACUCUAUAGUUCCUGAGCUGAAAGUCAGGAUUUUACGGCUUGCCCCUUGUCAGAACUAUGAAUUCAAAGUGUAUUUGAAUUCCAUUUAUCAUAUUCUUCUAUUCAUUAUUUUGUUUUUGUUUUUGCUUUUGCUUUUGGCUCCUCCCCUCAUUUUUGGACGAUGGUAUAGUUGUAUUUGUUUGUGUCAGUUCUGGAUAUAUGCUUUCGGACUUUUGGCUUUGUAUCAUUUGGAAAAUUCUUGUAAGGGGAGAGAUAUAAAAAUAUUUCAUAUAUCUACUUCUCUAUUAAAGAUGCAACUUUUUGUUGUAUUUCUGAGUUGGGAUGUUGCUCGGCGAUUAGUUUUUUUGUUUUUUUUUUGACAGUAAUUGGUCUCAUUAUAAUAUAACUAACUCUUUUGAUUGUUACUGAUUUAGUGAAUCAAGGUGGCCAUCAUACGGGGCAUAUUUAAUAUGUUUUCCCUCUACGUUAUUUGUUUAAUUUUUAUUUUAUUUUUAUCAACUAAUUUUUAUGCACCUCAGUUAGUCUGUAACUGUACGAGUAUAAUGGUUUAUUUAUGUUUUUUUUUUUAAUAUUUUGAAGUAAUCUAUCUCUUAUCAAACUGCAACAAGUUAAUAGAUUAUUUUCGUUAGAGCCCGCGGACAGACGCAAAAGCCUAUACACUAGACAGUCAUUGCCGAUAGUUAUGGUGCGAACAAUUUGAGAAUGACUGUAGCUCUUAGUUUUUCUCUCUUAAUUUGCAAUGAUAGUUACAAGUAAAUUUGAGAUUUCUUCUUAUAAAAUGAUUUGUGAAAUUAAUGCGUUCACUUAAAUAUUAAUCUGGUAUAUUCUUUUAAUAUAAUUUUUUUUAAUUUAAACAUCCAAAUUGAUUAUAGAAUAAAUGUAGUAGACUCCAAUUAAUUUUGUAUUAUAUAUAUUAAUAUUUUUGUAACGUAAUUUCGUGACUUGUAUAUGAACAUUUUCCUUGUACAAUUUCUUUUAAUAAUUGCAAUAUAGUAUUGACUCAAUCCUAUUAGGGAUUUAUUUAUUUAUUUUUCUUUUUUUUUCUUUUUAAAUCUCGGCAAAGCUUAAAGAGGAGAGCCAAGAGAGCAAAUUUGUUAAACAAACAAAUUAGAAAAACGAAAGGCAUUAAGGUAAUAGCUGAAAAUCAUAAACAAUUGUACUUCCUACAUUGCGGCGUGGAAAUAUACGAAUAAAUUAUGAAGCAAAAAUUUUCAGACAUACUGAAGUUAAAAUUUUUAGACACAUUGAGUUCAGACCGUUAAAUAAAAUAAAUUAAUUUGAUUCCUUUUACUAUAACCUUUUUUUUCGCAAAAUUUGUUAAGGAAUAUGCACUAACAAAUGUAGCCAUAUCUAUGAUGGUACCUGAAACUUUUUCUCUAAUCUCUCCUAUUUUGUUCUUCAAUUAUUGCCGCUUUAUAAAUAUUUGUUUACGAUGAUCGAAAGAAAAAGUUUAGGUACUACAGUUACUUUUAGUCAUUAGAUAUAGUUAAUGUAAUUGUAUAACUGUGGAUUUAACGACUACAAAUAACUGUAAUACCAUACCACAGUUGCAACAUAAUUUUACCCCGUUAAUUGAGUGUGUUAAAUAGGUGUUCAGGGUAAUAAUGUUAUAUUUAUUUACAAUAAAUUAUUUUUAAUAGUAAUUAUAUUAUAGAUGUUUUUAUAAUAAUUUUUUAAUUAAAAUAUAAGUAUUUUUAAUAAUUUUUCAAUUAAGUCAAUCAGUCAAAGAUCCAGUGGUUAGAGCAGCAACUGUUAAAGAGAACCGAUGUGUUCUGCAUAGUCGCGAUCAUUUUGAUUCAGUAAUUGUUUUCAUCUCAUCAAAUAUCUUUCUAGUCAAUUGAAUUUUUGUUAUGGCUGCUUAUUCUUCUUCUCCUUCUUCUCCUCGAAACCGUAAGUAUGAUGUUUUUCAAAGUUUCAGAGGAGAGGACAACCGUGACAACUUUACUGGCCAUCUUUAUUCAGCCUUGUCUCAGAAAGGCAUUGAAACUUUCAUUGAUGACCAGCUUAACAGAGGAGAUGAAAUUUCACAGUCGCUUGUGGAUGCAAUUGAAGCAUCAGCUAUUUCACUCAUCAUUUUCUCUGAAGGGUAUGCCUCUUCCAGAUGGUGUCUCGAUGAACUUGUCAAAAUCCUCACACGUGAGGUGGCGAACUGGGUCUUUUGGGGAUUCAUUUUUGAAGCUUGAAGAAAUGUUCAAGGAGAAUUCAGAGAAGCUGCAGACUUGGAGGAAUGCUGAUACAACCUUCCACAUUCAGCUGGAUCAACCGGAUUAUUUACGAGAAGGGCAGCCCAUCGAUGAGUCUAAUUGUGUGCAGCCCAUGAAGGAAGCCUCAUCACAAGUUGAAGUAGACAUAGCUCGUGAGGAAGGGUAUACCGGCACAAGAGUGAGAAGAUCCCCUGGGUGGUUUAAAGAUUAUGUCGUAUAGUGAAAUUGAUAAAGCUUUAUAUUUUGCUGGUUUAUGUUGCUGUCAUAUUUUCUGUUACAAAGUUAUGCUGAGCUGUAUUCUUUUAAAAAGCCAAAAGACAGAGGAGUAUAUGUAUAGCAUAACUAAUUCGUGCAAAAGGAAUCCAGAAUGAAUCAUUUCUUUUUAACUUUUCUCUAUUCUUCUCUCACUCUCCAUCUCUCUCCCCACUCUUGCUCAUCUUUGUCAAUUUCUUUUGGAGUCAGCCCUCACUCGAAGAGUGCAAAUUUAUCGAUACAGCCUUGAUUGCAGAGAGGUGUAUCAAAUGCUUUGAAGGAAGCGGCCGGUCUGUCCGGCUUUCAUUCUCAGAACAUUAGGUAAUCAAAUUUCUUUUCUCAUACCAUUAUGGUGAUGCAACAGAAUGUUAUUUUCUGCUUGAUUAAUUACCAGCGCCCCAGCCAGUUAUAGUGAAUUUUUUUUUGUCAAGUAUGCUGAAUUAUGUACUUCAAUUUUAUUAGGCAUCCUAGUGUCUUCCGGCAAGUGAUUUGUGGAAUUGAUAUUUGACGGUUACAUUUGGUGUGCUAAAUUCUGUAUGUGUUAAACUCAUUUGAAAGAAUUUUGACAGAGUUAUUGAAAUCAGCAUUUGUGUGUUUUCAUUGGGUGUUCUUUCAUAUUUCAAGUAAUUCCAAUCUGUCACUCAUAUUCCUAUUUAAGAGUUAUUGUCAUAUUUUCGUGCAAAUCCCUCCUAUUUGAACUUAUUAUUUUACAUAUUUGCUAGGUCUGAAUCAGAACUUGUAAAGGAAGUUGUUAAUCAAAUUUUGAAGAGGCCGGCUGAAGUCUCUCCUUGUAGUAAUAAAAACCAGUUGGUUGGAGUUGAAUCAAGAGUUGAGGAAAUUGAAUCUCUACUAGGUGCUGAGUCGAAAGAUGUUUACGCUUUAGGGAUUUGGGGCACUGGUGUUAUAGACAGGACAACAAUUGCUAGAGCUAUUUUCAAUAAAAUCUCUAGUAACUUUGAAGGUUCUUGCUUCCUUCAAAAUGUUAGAGAAGAAUCACAAAGACCGGGAGGAUUAGGUUGCUUGCAACAAAAACUUCUUUCAAAAUUAUUGCAGGAUGGCAAUGUGAUUCCUGAUAUUGCCCUGAGCUUUAGACAGCUCAGCCGCAGGAAGGUUCUGAUUGUUCUUGAUGAUGUGACUUGUUUCAGACAAAUAAAAUCCUUAAUCGGAAGUCUUGAUUGGUACAUGGCAGAGAGUUGAAUCAUAAUAACAAGAAGAAAUCAACAAGUGCUUAGAAAUUGUUGUGUCAAAGAGAAAUAUGAGAUGAAGGAAUUAGGAGAUGAUCAUGCACUUGAGCUUUUUAGUCGACAUGCCUUCAAACAAAACAAUCCUCAUAUAGGUUUUGAGGAACUGUCAAGCAGGGUCACACAAUAUGCUCAAGGUGUUCCAUUAGCUAUUGAAAUUUUGGGUUGUUUUCUAUUUGAAAAAGAAAAACAAUUUUGGGAAAGUGCAAUAAACAAAUUGAAAAGAAUCCCUAAUAUGGAAAUCCAGAAGGUGCUAAAAAUAAGUUUUGAUGGUUUGGAUGAUGAAGAGAAAAAUAUUCUUCUAGACAUUGCUUGUUUCUUUAAAUGGAAAAAUAAAGACUUGGUCAUAAAAUUUCUUAAUGCUUGUGGCUUCACUGCACAAAUAGGAAUAAGUAGUCUUGUUGACAAGUCUCUUAUUUGUAUGCACGGCAACAAUAUAACAAUGCAUGAUCUUCUACAAGAAAUGGGUAGGGAAAUUGUACGGCAAGAAUCAACGAAUGAUCCAGCAAAACGUAGUCGGUUGUGGCAUCAUGAGGAUAUUAUCAAAGUCCUGACAUCUAAUACGGUAAGCAUUUUGUUAGAGAAUAUAUUAUUUUGGAAUGCUAUUUAAUAUUCAAAGUUUACUUAUAAUUGUAUAAAUAGAUGGGUUUAUAAAAUUUAUAAAAGAUUGGCAAUGAUUAAGUGGGAAAAAAAAAAGAAAAAUUGGAAAAAAGGAAACCAGUAGUACAUGAUGUAGCAAUAAUGUAUAAUUGCUAUGUCAAUUUGUAUAUAACAGUUUGCGGACAAGCAUUGAUAGUUUAUACGUUGUCUGCAUUGAUAGUUUAUAUGUUUAGUAUUACUUGUAUUAUCCUGUUUCUUUGUAAGUAGGUUUAGAUUUACCAGUUUGAUUGCCAAACAAUAACUAUCUACUUGAAUUGUAUAAAUUUGAUUUUAACAUUAUGGUCUUUUUAUUGAUUAUUAGGGGACUGAAGCAAUUGAAGGCAUUUGCUUGGAUAUGUCUAAAGUGAAAGAGAUCCAUCUAAAUCCUGAUACUUUCACAAAGAUGAGUAAAUUGAGAUUUUUGAAAUUCUAUUGCUCAAUCCAUGGAGAGAACAAAUGUAAGGCAUCUGAUUUCUAAGGUCCUGUAUUUGCUGAAGUGAGGUAUUUUCACUGGCAUGGAUAUCCAUUGAAAUCACUGCCUUCAAAUAUUCAUCCAGAGAAACUAGUUUUACUUGAAAUGCCUCAUAGCAAUAUUCAACAACUUUGGGAUGGUGUCCUGGUAUGUAUAUCUUAACAUAUGCAUGCAAUGUUUAAGUCAUAACAUUUAAUUAUCAUAGCAUGCUAAUGAUUUGUCUUGACCUCUUUUUUGUCUCAGCAGCGUUGUGGUAAGCUAAAGCAGAAAAUCAUCUCUGCCUGCAAUAUUUUUACCAAAACUCCAAACCCCUCGUUGAGUCAACCUCUGAACACGCUGGUUGUCCUGAAUCUAAGGCAUUGCAAAAGUCUGAAAAGUCUUCCAGCUGGAAUUCAUUUGGAAUUUCUUAAAGAAUUUGAUCUUUCAGGUCGUUCAAAACUGAGGCGGCUUCCAGAUAUCUCAUCAGCUGCUAAUAUAGAAGAGAUGCUUUUAAAUGGAACUGCAAUUGAAGAGCUGCCCUCAUCCAUCGAGUGUCUGUAUAAGCUUUUGCGCUUGGACCUUGAAGAUUGCAAAAGCCUUAAGAGUCUCCCAAGUGGCCUGUGUAAGUUAAAAUCAUUAAAAUAUCUUACUCUCAAUGGUUGCUCAAAUCUUCAGAGAUUGCCUGAUGAACUCGGAAAUUUAGAAGCUUUGUGGAGUUCGCAUGCUAUAAGAACUGCUAUAAGAGAAGUGCUAUCAUCUUUUUUCCGUUUGAACAACAUUGAUCUCUUAAGUUUCCAGAGAAGCAGGGGUCAUAAGCAGAUGGGUUUAUCAUUGCCUAUCAUGUUAUCUUUAGAUGGCUUGCACACUCUAACGUAUUUAAAUCUAACUAAUUGUGGCAUCACACGGUUACCUGAAAAUAUUGGCCAGUUAUCCUCGAGAGAAUUCCAGAAAGCAUCAUACAACUUUGUAAGUUGGGAAGGUUCUACUUAAGGUAUUGUGAGAGGCUUCAAUCCUUACCAAAGCUUCCAUGCAAACUACAUGAGUUGGAUGCACAUCAUUGCACGGCACUGGAAUCGUUAUCAGGUUUAUUCUCAAGUUAUGAAGCUUGUACUCAGUAUUUUGACCUGAGUUAUAAUUAUAAAUUGGAUCGAAAUGAGAUCAGAGGAAUUCUUGAAGAAGCUCUGCAAGAAAUUCAACUCUUGGCAACUGCACGAUGGAAAGAAGUAAGAGCGGAGUUAUUAAUUUCUUUUUUCUUCAAAUUAAAGUUGACAAUUAAUAUUUGAUUAAAAUUAUGAUUUUCUGUGGUACAGAUAUAUUAUUCUCAAAAAUAUGCACUGUUGGUUCGUGUCUUUUUUCCUGGGGAUGAAAUUCCGAUGAGGUUUAGCUUUCAAAGUAUGAAAUCUUCUAUAACCUUGAAGAUGCCACCAGGUUGGUUCGGUAAUAAAAAGGUACUCGGCUUUGCUUUUAGUGCUAUUGUGGCAUUUGGAGAACAUAAUGUCAGAGAAAAGAGGUGGUUCGAAUUGUUUUGUGAAUUCAAAGUCAGACCCAAAGAUUCGCAUGCCAUACAGAGAUUUAUGGGGAUGGUUGAUUAUGUAGAGUCAGAUCACUUACUUUUGGGAUACUAUUUCUUCGAUGAUCAGGAUUUGAAUGGUUUUUGGAAAUACAAUUGCAUUCUUGAGGCAGUUCAAUUCUAUUUUAAGGAGGAUUUUAUCGCUCUGAACGUUUGGAGUGUUGCCCGGUGAAAAAAUGUGGGAUCCAUUUAUUGUAUGUACCAGACUCUACAAAAUCAAUGGAAGAUCCAAGUGAAUUUUUCUACCAUAACCAUGAAGAGGAACGACACCCCAAAAGACUCAAAUAUUCUUGAAAACGUGUAUUGCAGCUGGUAUUUUUGAGAAGAGAUAUGUUAGAUUAAUUCAUCGGUACUGUUUGAUCUUAAAAUGUUGCUUUCCAAACAUUUCUUUUAUGAUUUUAUAUUUUUAUAUGAAGAUGGAAGUGACUUUUAGAUGUUUUUCAACUCUUUUAUUUUGAUAAAAGCUACAUUUCACGUCCAGUACUAUUGUUUGGUCCAAGCAGUUAUUGUUUGACUUUUGGUUGGUCUGGCUAGUGUUUAGAUCCUUGUGUAUUUGUGUUUAUUUGGUUUCUGCAUGAAAUGUAUAUUAAAUCAAAUUUACAAUGCAUGUAAGUCCGUUUAUAGUUUAGACAUAAUUUUCGGCCACUAUUACUUUAAGAUGUUCGGAUCAAUGCUUCCUUAUCAGUAGUAAAUUUUUGCUGAAUUCUUUUGGGAAAAUUUCUCUGCAACUAGCUUAUGUUGAAAUCUCUGUAGUCUUGUUUGGCUGGAAAGACAGCAUCAGGUGUUGGAGGUGAACUAGAAACGAACUUCAAAAAAGGCAACUGAGGUAGAUCAAGGGAUUGUGAACAGGGUAUGGGGUCCUUUUCCUGAUAUAAUCGGAUUACGACUUCAAAUGACAAAUGCAUUGAGUAGACACUUUUUCCUUUGAAAUGAGUAUCUAAACUAUGCUGCUCAAUGGUUCUAGUGUUAUAAAACUUUGGAAAUGAGUUACAUUUUAGCCUCUAUUCACUGAUUUUUAUACGUCUUUCCAUAUAAAUAUAUAGACAGAGGUACAUACCUAAUUCAACAUUUCUUCCUAUAUAGCUAGUAUUCAUAGAGAUGCACCGAUAUAUGGAGCAUUUUGCUGUUAGUAUUAACAACUUUUAUUUAUUCCUAUAAGUUCUUUGUAGAAACAAUCAGGUGAUGACUGGAAAUCUGCAUUUGAUGCUGCUGCUGCCAAUGGACCUGUUAAGCCAUCGCAGCUACUAUCGUUCUGCAUUCAAUGGUCAUAGCGGGGAUUACGGUGAUCUGGCCUAGAAUGGUGAAGUGAGAUCUGGUUCAAACUCCAGCAGUCAUCGUAAUCCUAAUGAGGUGCUGGCACCACCCCCACCAGCAGCAGAGUCAGGAGGCUAUAGGCACUUCCAGUUGGCUUACAGAUUUUGGUUGACAAUUCAUAUAUUCACUGCAAAUUUUUAGUGAGUGAAGCCCUGUUUAACCACUCCGUGAUUCCAGUGCUUGUUCAAAAAUCACUUUACUAGAAUCUUUAGAAGAGGGUGUUUUGUGUACAUAGACAUAGGACUCUAUACGGCUAGCUUCAUGUCAAAGCAAUGAAUUCAAAGUGUAUUCAAAAUUCAUUUACUAUAUUCUUUCUUCUUUUCAUUAUUUUGCUUUUAUUUUUGGUUCCUCCCCUCACUUUUGGACAACGAUAUAGAUGUAUUUGCUUGUAUCAGUUCUGGUUAUAUACAUACUCUUGGACUCGUGGCUCCGUUUAGAAAAAAAAAAAAAAUUCUUGUAAUGGGAGGUAUGUAUUUUAUUUCAUAUACUCACUUCUCUGCUCAAGAUUCUGCUACUAUAAUCAAAGAUGCAACUUUUUGAACUAUUAUUUAUGCCAAAAAAUUCAGUAGUUAUUAUUAUUAUUUUUUUGACAGCAUAUCUCUUCUUUGAUUGUCUCACAUAUUUAUGGAAUAUUUAAGGAAAGUAAAUAGCUUUUGUUCACAAAUUGUUUUUGUUAGAGCAAAAUAGAAUUCUGACAAAUUCGAGAAUUGACCAAGAAAGCAAAGGGUAGCGUAUGAAGUUGCGGGUUGAAAUUACGGUGCUUUUGGGCAAUUCACACCCUCUAGAACCUUUCCAGCUGUCAUUCACUUUUUCUUUCUCCACUUGAAUAACGCGGAAUAAUUUCAAAUAAAAGUGAACAAAGCUGCAUUUUAAGUAAAAUUAUUGUCCAGAGAGCCAAGGAAAUCAAAUGAGAUGAAAUUAUCAAGAAACAACCUGUUUUUACUCUGCACAGAUACUACAGUCACUAACGUUUGCUCGAGAAAAAUACGCCGACUUUUCCGGGAAAUUUUUUUAUAUAUAUAUAUGAAAUAUAUAUAUAUAUAUAUAUAUAUAUGAAAGGAGUGAAAAAAUUUUGAACUUUAGAAAUUCUUUUUUGACUUUAGAAAUAGUGUAACACUAUUCACAUCAAAGAAGGAAGAUAAUGAGGCCAAUUCCCCAUAUAUAAAGCCAACAAAAUUAAAUUGAGUGAAGCCUUGCUUAAAAAACCCAUUCCAUGAUCCCAGUCCCACCACGCACUUUGUAUAAAAUUCAAUUUAUUAGAAUAAUUGGAAUCAUUAGGAGAGGAAAUAUAUUUGUGUGCUUAGGACUACAUAUAGUUCCUGAUGAACGUUGGGAUUUUUACGCGUGCCCCUUGCCUCCAUGUCUAAACAAUGGAUUUAAUUAAAUUGCAUUUGAAAUCCACUAAGCAUAUUCUUCCUUCAUUGUUUUGUAUUUUUUUUCUCUUUUUUUUCCCCAUUUUUCAAUCCUAUCUCAUUUUUGGAUGAUAUAAUGAACAUGUUUGAUCAGUUCUGGUCGGUUAUCAUUUGGAAAUAUUACAUUUUUUUUAUCCCAAUGCGAUAUAUUUUCUUCUCCAUUGAAGAUUCUCUGGACGCUAUUAACCAAAAAAUGCAACUUUUUUUCUGUUUAUAAAUUGCUUCUGUACCCAAAGUUGCAAGUACUUACCAAUAAUUUGAUAAACUUCAAUAAUAAAUAGGAUUUAAAAAAUGAACUUGAAACAUCUAUGUAAAAUAUUGGAAUUCAAUGAAAAGAGUAGGAAUAUAAAACCAAAAAGUUGUGGAAAAAAGAGUUGAAGAGCUAACCUAAAACUCGGAAAGAACUACCGAAAAUCUGAUAAAUCCAAUAAGAAGUAGGGAUCAAAAAAUAAACUCGAAACAUUCACAAAAAAUAUUGGAAUUAAGUUAAAAGAGUAGAAAUAUAGAACAAAAAAAUGGUGGAAACAAGAGUUGAAGAGUAACACAGGAGUGUUUGAAAUAUUUGGUAAUCAAGUUAAGUCAAGUGCAGCUCAAGUUCUUACAUUAAUCAAGUGAGCAGAAUUUCUGUGCAGAAGGGGCAUCUUUGGGAAUUAAACUGUACUGCAUGAGAUCGAAUUAAUUUUCGAACCAUACAUCAUUGGAAAGAUAUUUCUGUUAGCUUUCCAAUGAAUUUUACUAAUCUAAAUUUGGAGUUUUCUACAGUAAGUUAUGAUCAGUUAAGUGCAGACUGUUCAGUUUUUGAGUCAAGAAGGAUAUUUCGGGACUUGGAUUUUUUUUAAUGUUCUUUGUUGUGUUUUAAGCAUACCAAUGUUUUAUUAAUGUCUAGCUUUAAUGUUGGUCUUUAAAGUCAAGUUAUUUGAAGGGUUUCUUUGUAGUAAAUCUAUGCUUGGAGGAUUGUUCCAAGAAAGCUAUUUAAGCUUAUGUAGUUGUAACCAAAGGACAGAGAUUAAUUUUGGGAAUUGGAUGAACUUUGAGUUAUUAUCAAACUCUGUAUCUCUUUGGUGGAUUCCAUUGAGUGGUGAGUAUUUUUAAGCCCUGUAUCCUUAGCUUAACAACUUUAGGUGGUGAAUUUUUCUGUAUCCUUUUGUUGUUUGCUGUGGUGGUGAGCUUGUGAAUUCUUGGGUGUGUGACGUUGUGUUUUCUCAUCUAUUGUGUCCGGUGUCAAAUUGGUAUCAGAGAAUUGGGUUCUGAAAAUUUAUGGCUCAACGACGUCGGCGUAAUGCAAGAGUUGCAGAGCCUCUUGUUCGUGAGAGGGACUUGGGUGAUAUAGAAAGGGAUGAUCUUAGAAGACAAGUAGAACAGCUUCAGCAACGAUUACAACACCUUGAAGGAACUCGAGAAGCUGCUCCUAAUGGUAGUUCGGAAGAAGAAGGCUCAAUCAAUGACGGGGUAGAUUAUAAUCCCUUCCAUCAGGAACAAAGCUCCAAUAGUGAAUUUUCUUCUCGUUCUCGAAUUCAUAGGCGUCGUAAAUCUUAUCAGCCUUUCGACUUCAAGAUCGAAAUUCCUGAAUUUGAAGGAAGAAUGCAACCAGAAGAGUUUGUUGAUUGGCUUAAUACUGUUGAACUCAUUUUUGAAUACAGAGAUGUGCCUGAAGAUCGCAAAGUGAAACUCAUUGCCAUUAAACUUAAAAAGUAUGCUUCUUUAUGGUGGGAAAAUCUUAAGAGGCAAAGGAAACGAGAGGGACGGAGGAAAAUUGUUACUUGGGAGAAAAUGAAAAAAGAGCUUAAGAGAAAGUUUUUGCCCGAUAACUACAGGCAAGAUAUCUACCUUAAAUUCCACAACUUCAGGCAAAAGGAAUUGUCAGUGGAAGACUAUACAGCAGAGUUCGACAAUCUAAUGAUGAAGUGUGAUUUGGUAGAGGCGGAAGAGCAUACGAUCGCACGCUAUCUGGGUGGUUUAAAACCUGAGAUUGGUAAUGUGGUCCAGCUCCAACCAUAUUGGACUUAUAGUGAUGUAUGCAGACUUGCUCUUAAGGUGGAAAAGCAACAAAAAGAUGCUUGUGGUGGGGGUAUUCGGUUCACAGUUCAUGAUGUCAAUCGAGGGAGUGACUCCGUUUCUAAGCAUAAUUCUGGUUCGAAUUCUACUGCAAAGAAAAUUACGAGGAUUGAUAUUGGGGAAGGAUCUAAACAGCGAGCAAGUGGUUCGAAUGCUAGUUCUCGUCAAUGUUUUAAAUGCCAUGGUUAUGGGCACAUUGCUUCUGAGUGUCCUAAUCGUAGGGUGGUUGCCCUUGUUGAAGAGGAAAGCGAUGACGAGGAUGCGGAAGAUCAUGAGAAUCCUAGUGUCGAAAAGGAUGUUGAAGAUGAAGAAGUUACAUUUGCUGAUGAUGGAAACUCUCUAGUUAUUCAAAAGAGUUUGAGUAUUGUUUGUGAAGAUGGGGAAGAUUGGCUGAGAAAGAAUAUCUUUCAUACCAGAUGCACUUGUCAUGGAAAGAUAUGUAAUGUCAUUAUUGAUAGUGGCAGUUUUGAGAAUGUGGUAGCAACUGAAAUGGUGAAGAAGUUGAAGCUCAAAACGGAGCAGCAUCCUCAGCCUUAUAAACUUUCUUGGCUUAAAAAGGGAAAUGAGAUUGAGGUAAACACACAUUGCCUUAUUUCAUUUUCUAUUGGGAAUAAAUAUAAAGAUGAAGUUUGGUGCGAUGUUGUCCCUAUGGAUACAUGUCAUUUGCUUUUGGGUCGUCCUUGGCAGUACGAUAGAAUGGUUGUUCAUGAUGGUUAUAGGAAUACUUAUACUUUCAUUAAAGAUGGAGGUAAAGUCAUUUUGGGUCCUUCAAAGGUAGAGAAAAGUUCUAAACCUAUCAAAGGAGUGGAAAGCAAUUUGCUGACUGUUUCAGAUUGUAAAAAAAAAUUGGAAAUGGGUAGUGAAGUUUACGUGCUGCUGGUGUUUGAGGAAAAUGAAGAUAGCAAUGAGCCGCCUUUGAUUAUGAAGUAUUUUCUUGAAGAAUUCUCAGAUGUUGUUCCAGAAAAAUUACCACAUGGCCUUCCUCCUAUGAGGGACAUUCAACAUUGCAUUGAUCUUAUUCCGGGUUAUGUACUACCAAAUAAAGCGGCUUAUCGAAUGAAUCCAAAGGAGCACGAAGAAUUACAGAGGCAAGUUGAAGAGCUAUACAAGGAUGAUUCUUUCUUUGGCAGGAUUUGGAGAGAAUGUGAGAAUGGAUCAUAUGACCAGUACCAAUUGCAUGAUGACUUUCUUUUCAAAGGGAAUCGUUUAUGUAUUCCUCAGUAUUCUUUGCUGGAAUCUAUUAUCAUGGAGGCACAUGGCAGUGCUGUUGGAGGUCACUUUGGAAGGGAUAAGACGUUAGCUUGCUUGCAAGGUAAUUUCUAUUGGCCAAAGAUGGAUAAAGAUGUUGUGCAUCAUAUGCAGAGGUGUAAAAUAUGUCAUAUUGCCAAAGCUCAUGGUCAAAACACAGGCCUAUACAAUCCUUUACCAGUCCCUGAAGCUCCUUGGGAAGAUGUUAGUCUAGACUUUGUUGUUGGGUUGCCAAGAACUCAAAGAAACAAAGACUCUGUCAUGGUGGUGGUUGAUCGAUUCUCAAAAAUGGCUCAUUUUGUUCCGUGUAACAAGACAUUGGAUGCCUCUCAUGUGGCUGAUUUGUACUUCAAGGAGAUUUGGUUUGGGUUCAUCUUAGGAAAGAUCGUUUUCCACCUGGGAAAUUUGCUAAACUUAGACCAAGGGCUGAUGGACCAUUUACAGUGUUGCAACGCAUUGGUGAUAAUGCUUACAAGAUUGAGCUACCAGAUGGCUAUGGUGUUUCGUCAACAUUCAACAUAUCAGACUUGUCUCCUUAUCAUGAAGAAAAUGAUCAAAACUCGAGGUCGAAUUUUUUUUUUCAACUAGGGGAGAUUAACACAGGAGUGUUUGAAAUAUUUGGUAAUCAAGUUAAGUCAAGUGCAGCUCAAGUUCUUACAUUAAUCAAGUGAGCAGAAUUUCUGUGCAGAAGGGGCAUCUUUGGGAAUUAAACUGUACUGCAUGAGAUCGAAUUAAUUUUCGAACCAUACAUCAUUGGAAAGAUAUUUCUGUUAGCUUUCCAAUGAAUUUUACUAAUCUAAAUUUGGAGUUUUCUACAGUAAGUUAUGAUCAGUUAAGUGCAGACUGUUCAGUUUUUGAGUCAAGAAGGAUAUUUCGGGACUUGGAUUUUUUUUAAUGUUCUUUGUUGUGUUUUAAGCAUACCAAUGUUUUAUUAAUGUCUAGCUUUAAUGUUGGUCUUUAAAGUCAAGUUAUUUGAAGGGUUUCUUUGUAGUAAAUCUAUGCUUGGAGGAUUGUUCCAAGAAAGCUAUUUAAGCUUAUGUAGUUGUAACCAAAGGACAGAGAUUAAUUUUGGGAAUUGGAUGAACUUUGAGUUAUUAUCAAACUCUGUAUCUCUUUGGUGGAUUCCAUUGAGUGGUGAGUAUUUUUAAGCCCUGUAUCCUUAGCUUAACAACUUUAGGUGGUGAAUUUUUCUGUAUCCUUUUGUUGUUUGCUGUGGUGGUGAGCUUGUGAAUUCUUGGGUGUGUGACGUUGUGUUUUCUCAUCUAUUGUGUCCGGUGUCAAAGAGCAUAACCUAAAAGUUUGAAGAAGUUAACAAGAAUCUGAUAAAGUUUAACAAGUAGUCGAGAUCUAGAAAAUGAACCUGAAAUAUCCAAGCAAAAUGUUAGAAUUCAAUGAAAAUAGUUGGAAUAUAGAACCAAAAAGUGGUGAAAAUAAGAGUGGAAGAAGUUAACACAAAAAUUGAAAUAACUUAACAAUAAUUUGAUAAAUUUAAACGCAAAGUAGGGAUCUAAAAAGUAAAUUUGAUACAUUUACCCAAAAUAUUGGAAUUCAAUAAAAAUAGUAGGAAUAUUGAACCAAAAGUAGUGGAAAAAUAAGUUGGAACAACUUAGCAAUAAUUAGAUAAAGUCUAAUAGAAUAUUGAGAUUAAAAAAUAAACUUGAAAUAUCAACCUGAAAACUGGAAAUUUAAGGAAAGAACUGGAAAUAUAGAACUAAUAACUGAUGGAAAAAUGAGUUGAAACAGCUUACAAAAAAUUGGAUAAAUUCCAACGGAGAGUAUGGAUCUAGAAAUUGAACUUGAAAUAUCCAAACAAAAUUUUGAAAUUCAAUAAAAAGAGUAGGAAUAUAGAACUAAAAAGUGGUAGGAACAAGAGUUGAAAAAAUUAACCCAAAAGUUGAAAUAAUUUACCAAGAAUUUAAUAAAUUCAAAUGAGAAGUAAGGAUCUAAAAACUAAACUUGAUAUAUUUACCCAAAAUAUUAAAAUUCAAUAAAAAAUAGUAGGAAUAUAGAACCAAAAAGUGGUAGAAAAAUAAAUCGGAACAAUUUACCAAAAAAUAGAUAAAGUUUAAUAUAUUAUAGAAAUAUAAAAAUAAACUUGAAAUAUACACCUAAAAAACUGGAAGUUAAUGAAAAGAGUGUAUAUAUGAAACCAGAAACUAGUGGGAAAAUGAGUUGAAACAACGUACCAAAAUUUAGAUAAAUAACCACGAAAAAUAGGAAUUUGAAAAAUAAACUUGAAAUAUGUAUUAUAAAUAUUGGAAUAUAACAAAAUAAAUAGGAAUGUAACCAUUUUGUGAUAUGUUAAUAUUUUUUAUAUAUUUUUUGUACUAUUUUUAAAUUUUAAAUUAUUACAAUCUUUUUCCUCAUUUAAUUACAAUUUUAACCUUUUUCUAAUUUUUUCAUAAUUUUUUCACAUUAAAAACAAAUAAAAAUAUAAUUUUCAGUAUAUUAUCCGGUUAAAAACCGGUUGUACCAGUUGCAUGCACGCGCUGUAUGAGAUACAGCGUUGCAUGGUAGGUUGACUGAAAAAGACAUAGUUGAAGUCUCAUCAAGAUUGUCUUCAUUCGAGAAAAAGCAACUAUGUUUAAAACACCUUUAAUAAAGUACUAAUAAUUAUUAAAGACAUGUUUGACUAGACUUGCAGUUGGCAAGCAAAAGAGGAUGAAAUUAUUAAUUAAUUAGAACACAUGAAAGAUUCCUCUCAUUUUAUUUUUUAAAAGAAAGUAAACAUUUCAUUAAACUAAACUUUCAGCCAUACAUAAAACAUCAGCUGGGAAAUUGUUUCUCCAGAUAACAGAUUUCUGAGCUACACAAAGCCCUUUUAGCUAAAAAAUGGGCAAAACCAUUACACUUUCUUGGAACAUAUUGGAAAGAUAUCAGUUGGAAAUCUUGUGUGCUCUUGUGGAAGUCUGACAUAGUCCACCAAAUCUCUGUCCUGUUGCUAACUUUCUUAUUUGCUAAGUCAGCUACAUUUUUGCAGUCGGUCUCUAUAAUCACAUUUGACAGACUAAGAUCCUUGGCUACCUCCAUACCCCACUUGACAGCAUGAGCUUCUGCUAUAGCUACGUUCCCCUGGAAAUUCAUGCUUUUUACUGCUGCUGCUAACACUUGCCCUCGAUGAUUUCUGAUGACCACGCCCAAGCCUGCACUCUUCCUAUCUUCUUUGACUGCUGCAUCAACAUUGACUUUCACUUUGUUGUUUGGUGGUGGAGUCCAUAUCUGCAUCUUUCCCUCUACUGUAUUUCCAUGGCUCUCCCGUUCUUUAACCUGCUGAGCCUGAUACACUUCCAUAACUGCUUUGCCCCUAGCCACUGACCCUACUGGAUCUAACUUUUUUCCUUGAAAAAGGAGUUUGUUUCUAGCAUGCCAAGCAACCCACCAAAUCGUGGCCACGUAAUCUGCCUCAGACUUAGCCCAAUUAUUCAUAGCCCCAAUCAUGACACUAAGCAUGUCUUCUCUGAUGACGCUCUUCACCUCAUUCUCCAAGUGAGUACAUUUCCAGAUUUCCGAGCCACUCUGCAUUCCAUCAAGGCGUGGAAAACAUCUUCACAACCCGCUUUGCAUAAAUGGCAUGUCGGUUCCUUCAGCACUUUCCUUCUCCACAGAUUUUCUGCCGUUGGCAGCAGGUUCUUUGCAGCUUUCCACACAAAGAUCUUAAUUUUCUCUGGUAAGUUUAGCCUCCAAAUAUGUUGCCCGCCCUGUGGAGCUCCUGUAGAUCCGGCUGGAGAUUCAGAGAACUUAAUUUUGAGAGCUAGUUGAUAUCCACUCUUUACUGAGUAUAUACCUUUCUUAUCAUAAUGCCAUAUCACCAUAUCUUCUUGAGGAGUUCUCGGUAAAGGGAUAUUCCUUAUGAUUUCAGCAUCUUCCUUUGCAAAGUUUUGAUUGAUCAUUGUUUCAUUCCAUUGGUGAUUUUGAUCAAGAAGCUCUGAGACUCUAGAUUCAGUAGGCAAGGACUGUACCAGGAUUGGUUUGAAGGUUGAGGGCCUAGGGAAAUAUUCCUCUCAUUGAUUUCGUUGAAACAGACUUAAUUUGUAAUCAAAGUGAAAAUUCGUCAUCUUUCAGCGGUGAUUCCAACUUCUAACAAUCUCUAAGCAGUAAGUUUUCUGACAGUUUUAUAUUUACAUGUCUCUUGUAUUUGUGUAAUUAGUCUCUCACAUAAUUCAAUUUAAUAGGAAGUUUUGAUCUCUUGCUUCCAAGGCUCAAAACUUAUUGCAACAUUGCUGGCAAUUAGUGUGGGUUUCGGCUCUUUAAUUCAGCUUUGCUAGGUUUAAGUUCGACAUCGAAUUUUAUGCGUUUAGUGCAGUAUUUUAUGAACUAUUUUAAAGAGAUUUUUAAUUAAUUCUUAGGUACUUAAAAUAAACUUCUUGUCGGCAUACAAAGGACUAAAAGAGUAAAAAUUAACUAGAACACAUAAAAUCUUCUCAUUAAUUUCACUGAAACAACGUAAAAAUUCAUCUAACUGUGGUCGAAUACUUGCAUGUGUCUUGUAUUUUCAGCUUAUUUUUUGAACUUUUAUAUGUAUGUUUUUUGUGACAUAUUUUAAUCUUAUUUGGAAUUAAGAUAUUGUAGCUUUUAAACUACAGCAGCUAUGAAAAAAACUGUAAUUAUGAAACAAAAGUUAAUAAUAUAUAAUAAAUAUAAAUUUUAAAUAAUAAUUUUGAUAAAAUUAUUAGAGAUAUAAUGAAUUUUUUAUCAUAUAAGUGAAAAAUUAUAUCAAUAUAAUUUUUAAGUUACAGCAGUUAGUAUUUACCAAAUACUUUUCUGUUGUAGCUUAAAUAUCCACCCCCAUCCCAAAAGCACUCUUUAUAUAAUUAAUUUUUUCACAUAAUUCCAAAAAAUCAAUUUAGAGGAAAUUUCGUUCUCUUGUUGCCAAGACAUGAAAACUGGUUCCAACUCUGCAGGUAGUGUGUGUUUCUUGGACAGGAAAGUUGGCAGUGCAGGUUUUAAGUCUUCUUCAAUUCGGCAUUGAUACAGCAUCUAAUUCUAAAUUAGUUCUUAGGGACUUAAGAGUGCGACUGUCGUGGCGUCAAUUGCUCGCAUCAUGAGCAUCCACAAAGUUUCUCCUUUUGUUCCUUAUCCUCUUCCUCACUGGAAAUAUGACGUCUUCUUAAGUUUCAGAGGAGUAGACACCCGCAAAAAUUUCACGGACCAUUUGUACACUGCUUUGGAUCAGAAGGGAAUCAUAGUCUUCAGGGAUGACAAAGAACUUGAGAGAGGAGAAUCCAUUUCACCUGGACUCUUUAAAGCAAUUGAAGAAUCAAAAAUUUCAAUUAUUGUUUUCUCUAGAAACUAUGCUUGUUCGACAUGGUGCUUGGACGAACUUGUUCAUAUUCUUGAAUGCAAAAACAAAAAUCAUCAACAAAUGGUUUAUCCAAUUUUCUAUGAUGUGGAACCAACUGAUGUAAGGAAACAGACAGGAAUUCUUGAAGAAGUUUUUGCUCGACAUGAAGAAAUUCUUGCUCAGAAUAAAGAAAAGGUGCAAAAGUGGAGAGACGCUUUGAAAGAAGUGGCUAAUAUCUGUGGCUGGGAAUUGAAGGACAGGUAGUCUUUCUUAUUCUCAAAGAUUAAUUACCUAUAAUAGAUUUGAUUUGAAACUAUGUUUACACUCACUUUAAUUCAACAACACCAAUGUUUUCUUAAUCUUUUGCAAGCUGCAGGAAUCAGUCUGAAUUUAUUUUGGAGGUUGUCAAGGUGAUAUCAAGUAAAAGUCCUAUAAUAUCAGGGAUUCUUAAGAAUCUAGUAGGAAUAGAUUCACACUUGAAGAAUCUGAGGCUUCUCAUGGAUAAAGGAUCUAAUGAUGUUCGCAUGAUAGGGAUAUGCGGUAUGGGAGGUAUAGGGAAGACAACCCUUGCAAGGGUUGUUUAUGACUUGACUUCUCAUAAGUUUGAAGGAAGUAGCUUUCUUGCCAAUGUUCGAGAAAUUUCAAAAGAAGGCGGCCUGAUCUCUUUACAGAAGCAACUCCUUUCCCAGUUACUAAAGCUUCCAAAUAAUGGCAUAUGGAAUGUUUAUGAUGGUAUCAACAUCAUAGGAAGUAGGCUGCACCACAAAAAGGUUCUUUUGCUUAUCGAUGAUGUAGUUGAUAUCAAGCAAUUAGAAUGUUUAGCUGGAAACCGUGAAUGGUUUGGUCCUGGCAGCAGGAUCAUAAUAACAUCGAGAGAUAAGCAUUUGUUGAUGACGCAUGGAGUAGAUGAAGUAUAUAAGCUCAGGGAACUACAUGAUGAUAACGCUCUUCAAUUAUUUUGUAAAAAAGCCUUCAAAACCCAUCAGCCUAAGAAAGGAUAUGAGCAGCUGUCUGAAUGGGUUACAAAGUAUUCAGGUGGUCUUCCAUUAGCUCUCAAAGUUUUGGGAUCCCUUUUGUAUGGUAAAACAACAAAAGAAUGGCAAAGCGCAGUAAAGAGACUGAAAAGAGAUUCAGAAAAUGAAAUCUUGGAUAUACUUCAAAUAAGUUUUGAUGGGCUUAAAGAAACAGAGAAGAAAAUAUUUCUUGACAUUGCGUGCUUUCAUCGAGGGGAGAAUAGAGAUUAUGUAACAAAAAUUCUUGAUUACUGUGAUUUUGACCCAGUUAUUGGAAUAAGGGUUCUUAUUGAUAAAUCUCUCAUAGAGGUUUUAUCCAACAAUCAACUAUGGAUGCACGAUUUGUUACGAGAAAUGGGUCAACAAAUUGUUAAGAGACAAUGCCCUGAAGAUCCUGGGAAACGUAGCAGAUUGUGGAAGGAAGCAGAUGUACGUCAGCUGUUAACAAGAAACACAGUAAGCAAUGAUAAGUCAAAAACAUGUACUUCUAAGAUUUCAACCCAUUCACAUUCUUAUCUUUGCUUAUUCUUUACUUUUUUAACUUUCAGGGAUCUGAAACUGUUGAAGUCAUAUAUCUCAACUUCCCUGCAGAAGCAGAAGUGCAUUUCAGAGCAAGUUCUAAUACAUUUUUGAAGAUGACUAACCUGAGAAUGCUUCUUAUCCGUAAUGUGCAAGUGCAACUUCCCGAAGGCCUUGAAUAUCUCUCCAAUGAGUUACGGUUACUUGAAUGGCCUGGAUAUCCUCUGAAAUCCUUGCCAUCAAAUUUUCAACCGGAUAAAAUUGUUGAACUUAACAUGUGUUACAGUCACAUCGAACAAAUGUGGAAUGGAAUCAAAGUAAGUUUUAUUUCAUUUCUUUUUUUCCCGUGAAUAAAUGUUGAUAGAGUUAUCAUUCAUCCCUUGAAAAAUUGCUGAAAUCAUUGUUUUUGAACAGCCUUUAAGCAAUUUGAAAUUCAUGAGACUUGGCAAAUCCAAAAAUCUGAUCAGAACGCCAGAUUUCUCAGGGAUGCCAUAUUUAGAGGAGCUGGAUCUUGGAGGAUGUACAAGAUUGUGUGACAUUCACCCAACAUUGCUACUUCACAAGAAGGUAAUUUUAUUGAAUCUAAAAGACUGUACAAGUCUCACGACUCUUCCGGGCAAGAUUUUUAUGGAAUCUCUAAAAAUACUUGUACUUUCUGGUUGCAUGAAAUUGAAGAACUUUCCAGAGAUUGUGGGUAGUAUGAAGUGUCUGUCAGAUCUUCUUUUGGAUGGAACCGAUAUUAAAGAACUACCAAUAUUACCAUUUGAACUUCUAUCUGGACUUGUUCAGUUAAAUGUGGAAGGCUGUAAUAAACUUGAGCGUCUUCCAAGAAAUAUAAGCGCUCUAAAAUAUCAUCCAACUUGGAAUCUUUCUGGCCUAUUGAAAUUCUCAAAUUUCCCAGAGAUCAUGACAAAUAUGGAGCAUGUGUUGGAGCUUCAUUUGGAAGGAACUGCCAUAAGAGGAUUGCCUAUAUCAAUUGAACUUUUCUCUGGUCUUGUUUUGUUGAAUUUGAGAGAUUGCAAAAAUCUCUUGAGUCUUCCGUGUACUAUUAACGGUCUGAAGUCCCUGAAAAAGUUGUAUCUCUCUGGCUGCUCCAAACUUAAAAAUGUGCCAGAGAACUUGGGGAAAGUAGAAAGCUUGGAGGUGCUAGAAUUAAGCGGGUGCAAAGAACCACCAGUAUCAUCAUCAUUGUAUCUGCCCUUCCCCAUUAGUUUGAAGCGAAGCUGUUCAGAUCCUACCGCUUUGAGGCUUCCUUCUCUGUCAGGUUUGUGGUCUUUAAGGAAAUUGGACCUCAGUGACUGUGAUCUAGGGGAAGGAGCAAUACCAAAUGAUAUUGGCAACUUAUGGUCGUUAGAAGAGUUGUAUCUGAGUAAAAACAGUUUCAUUACAGCGCCAGCAAGCAUUAACCGUCUUUUUAAUCUUGAAGAACUAGAGUUGGAAGAUUGCAAAAGACUACAAUCUAUGCCGCAACUUCCACCCAACAUAAAAGAAGUCGGAGUAAAUGGUUGUGCUUCAUUGGAAAAAUUAUCAGAUGCCUUAAAAUUAUGCAAAUCGGAGUACAUUUCAAUUAGUUGUAUAGACAACCUGAAAUUGCUCAGCAACGAUGGUUUGGCAUUUUCAAUGCUAAAAGAGUAUCUUGAGGUCAGUCUCUCUCUCUCUCUCUCCUCUCUCAUUUGUGCAAAAAAUUAUGCCUAAAAAUGAUGCAUUUUUAUGGGCUCCUUUUUUUUCCCCCUUUUUUCGGUUACAGGCAGUGUCACGCCCAAUGCAAAAGUUUGGUAUAGUUGUUCCAGGAAGUGAAAUUCCAGAGUGGUUCAUGCAUCAGAAUGAUGGAUCUUCAAUAAAAUUCAUAAUGCCUUCAAAUUUAUAUUGUAAGAAUAAGGCGCUGGGAUAUGCCGUCUGCUGCGUCUUUCAUGUCCGUGAACAUUCCCCUGGUAUCCAAACAAGGCGUUCAUAUCCCACGCAUCAAUUGAACUGCCAGAUGAAAGGUUCUUCUACCAGUUAUUCAAUCGAGUUCAGAGAGAAAUUUGCUCAAGCAGAGUCAGGCCAUCUUUGGCUACUCUACUUGUCUCUUAAAAAAUGCUAUUAUAGCAAUUGGCGUUUUGAUAAUAAUCUCAUUGAGUUGUCGUUUGGGCCUGUGUCUGGCUCAGGGUUGCAGGUGAAGAGAUGUGGUUUCCAUCCCAUUUAUAGGCACAAAGUUGAGUUCUUCAACCAAAUAAGAAACCAAUGGACUCACUCACUACACUGCCUAUAAUAUGAAUGAAUUUUAUCCCGAUUCUGUUUGAUCAAAGAUACUUGUAGCCACAACGUCAAGGUGAAGUGUGAAUGAAUAUUUGGGCUUGAAGAGUGGGAAUGGUGUUCUGUUGAUGAGGAACCACAGCCUGAAAAAUUUAAUGCAGAAGCCUGCUUAUUCUCUGAAUUCAUCGAUAAGCAUUCAUCUUCAAUUUCAGUUCAUGUUCUUUGCACUUGGUAAUUCAUUUACAUUAAUUUUAUUUAUUUAUUGCAUCUCCUUAUCGAAAAACAUUUGAUGUUAAAUUACCAGAAAUCCUCUGCUUGGAUCAAAAGCAAAGAGUACCUAUAGUUGUUUAAGAAUGUGCCUUCAUGAAUUGAAAUAGCAUUACUGCUCUAUUAGCUUGGCUCCUCACUUGAAUUUCUUUGAUGUUUGUUAAUAAUUCCAAAUUCCAGUGAACAUGGAUUUUGAUCGAGAUAAUUCUAUGCUUUUGCCCUGUUGAUAAAAUCAAGCAGUUGUUGUGAUUGUUGCAAGUGUUUCUUAUUUUAUAUUUUUUCGUUUUUGUUGUUUGGUUCGGGAGAAGAUGUGGAAUUAGAACUGCACUGGAGUGAGAAGAAAUGAGAAGAAAAAGAAAGAAUGUAAAGUUUAGUGAAUGUGUGUGUGUAUUUUUUUUAAAGCCUUGAAUUUUUUGAUUUCUCAUGAGUUGAAAAUUAAGGAUUGAAACAAAUCUUCUGUUUUGUUGUAUUCUUAUUAUAUUUCUUCUCAUAAAUUUCUCAUUUUUGUAAAUAGUGCAUAAUUUGGUAGAAGCUUAACUGAAAGCCACUAAUUUUACUGCAAGAAUAACUUAAUUUUUAAUUCAAUCCAGGGAUUCAAAAUGACUCAGAGUUCUUUCGAACUUAAAUAACAUGACAACUUAACUAUCCAUUCCCUUCUUUUUGUGCAAAAGUUGGCAGAUUCGGAGCCAAUUAGGGUGAGUUUUUUGGUACACUUGAAGGGGCUGGUGUCAUAGUUCAUGAAUUGCAUUGCUAUGAAUGAAUAACAAAGAAAUUAGAUUAGCUUAUUGAAUCUGUUUGAAUUUUUUUAUAUAGCCUAUGCAAUCAGAGGCAUUUAAAUUAUGUGAGUCAAAGUUCUCACAUAUUAGCUGUGCACAGUGCUUGAAAUUGCUUGGUAACAACGGUUUGGCCUUUUCAAUUUUAGAGAGUAUGUCAACUAAUGCCAGCCUUUUCACUCUGUUUCUCUCGAAGCCUUAUGCAUAAAAAUUUAUGCUGUGGAAAAGAUUAAUCUAAGGGCCAGGAGUUUCUAUAGAAAGAAUAUAAAGAUGAUAAGGUUUGUUGUGUCAAUCUCAAAUAUAUUAUGGGUGUUAGGAGUAUCUGAUGAUGCUGAUGAUGUUGUGCAGUGAUGUUGAGCUGAUGGUGCUAUGUAGUGAUGCUGAUAUGGUGUUAUGCAGAGUUUACAGAGCAUGAUGGAAGAACAUGAUAAGGCUGGUGGUUUAGCAUGUAGCUUAGUAUACCAGCUGAGAAUUAGUUAUGCUGAGCUGUCAAGUUGGUUAUAACUGAUUCAGUAGCCUUUAACCACGCAUGAAGAUUCCAGAACAAUCUAGCUACUAGAUUCUUGUAUCCAUCUUGUAGUAUAAGUAGAGUGAUCUGUAUAUUCUAUACACAUUGUUAAGUAUGCUAUGAUUGAAUAAAAUACAUUUUCCGUCACUUUCAAUUUCAUUUUCUCUAUAACCAAACACUGUUUUAGCCGAAUUCAAUCAAUGGGAAUUAUAAGAAAAUAAGCAGUAAAAGCAAAUAAACAUUAGGGAAAUGAACACUCAACAAUAUACCUACAUGUAAACAUCCUCGGAAGAUCUAAGAAGUUGAGCAUAGUACACAAACGCACACACAGAGCAAUUGAAACUUGUAGCAAGUCUGCACACUGCAGAUACAUGUCCGUAUCAGCACUAGAAUUUUGCUUGGAAGCGUAGCACUUUGGAUUAAAGAUAUACUUGUUGACUUGCUUCUGUCCACAGAAACAAUAAGAACCUUCAGUUGGAAUGAAAUCAGAGAUACAUUCAGAACCACCUUGAGGAAUUCAUGCUCAACAGCAACUUCAGUAAUAAUCAAGAUUAUAAACAGUAGAGAGACUCCAUUCAGCUUCAAUCCCGAGUGUCCCGAGUGUAUGGAAACUGGAUGGAGACUACACUUCUUCACCUUCAAUCCCGAACUAGUUUGAAACAACUAAACUUGGUCAGAUCCAAACUUCCAGUCAAGAUUAUUGCACUGUUGAAGAUCAAGAAUAUUAUGUAUACGAGCUUUAUUUGAUCAGCUUUCAUGUGGUAGUGGUAGUGGUAGUGAUGUUUAUGUUUGCCUCUGACAGGAUGUGAAUGUUUAUUAACACGAAACGCACAGCAAAUAGCAUAUCCAACCAUCUUCUUCUUAUCGUAUGAAUCUGGAGGACUUAUUAUUGAUAUUGAAGAUCCCUCAUUCGGAUAGUCGAACCACUCCGGAAUCUUACGUCUAGGAAUAGCUAUGAAAUCUGACUCCCAGGAAGAACAAUGGUGAAAACUCAGGUACUUUGUGGGAUCAUAUAACUCUAUUCAAUUAUUUAAUGGAUGAAUGACAUAUUAGUUGAGAAAUUCAACAUUACACGUGGGUAAAAUAGUAGAGUUUUGGAUCAGCCGUCAUCGUAUUCUUUCUUUAAUGUUAAACAAAUUGUUGGUUAUAAAUAAUUGGUGAUCAAAUUUGACUAAUCAAAAUUGAUUAAUCUGUUUAUAUAAAUUAUUGAAAUUGAUCUUGUUCAUAAAAAACACUGCAUAUAGCUAGUAUAGUUGAUCUUCCUAAUGAUGGAGGUUGAAAAGUUUUGAGUCUUCAUAUAUGCAUUGUGGGAGUAAUUUUUCUCUUUCUUUCAGAAACAUAUUAAAUUUUUUCAAGCUAUUUCAUACAUAACAUCAAGGGUUUACUUUUCCAAAAGAGAGAUUAAUGCAACUUAACUGGUCAAUAAAAAUUAACAAUAGGUUCAAUUUAAGUUUUAUCUUGACAAAAAGAAAAAUUACAUUAGGUUUAAGAAUUUAAUAAGCUAAAACAAUUAAGAAAUUAAUGGGUUAAAGUAAACAUGCAACUAAAGUGAAAUUAGAAAAAUAAUGAAGAUGAAAUGGAUACAAGUAUUUUUCUUGGUUUCACUUGGAAACCUCCAAUAGUAUGAGUUAAAUUUUAGAAAAUUGAUGGGUAAAGCUGACACACAACUAAAGUAAAAUUAAGAAACAAUAAUCAUAAAAAAACACCAGUGAUAACACUAUGAAAUGAGAGUUAUCAUGAUAUUUUUAUGCCUAAAUUAACAUUACUUAGAGAGUAAAUGACAUAUUUUCAUUACAUUUUAGCUACAUUUUGCAUGGGUAGUCAUUUAAGUUUAAUUUUAAUAAAAUUCAUGUGUUUUUAGAUUAUUGUGUGCUUUGAUUACUUGCAUAAUUGUAGGUGACUAAAAAGCUCAAAUUUCAUGGAUGGAACGUUGCUGUAGCAGGCUUGCGGAGUUACAAAAGAACUUGGAUGAGAAGUAAUUUUGAAAUAAUAAAAGAUGCUGGAGCAAUAUGUUGUAGUACUAUUGCUGCAGCAACUCCUGGAGCAACGAUAAAUGAGAUAUCACACGUUAAAUAGAAGACCGCAAUCUAAAGUUUCCAAAAAUAAGAGAUUCACUGCCAUAAGUUUCUGGUAACCCUAAUUUUGAUUUAUAAAAAGAGCACAUUACAAUGAAAAAAGGAGAGUUGUCAUUAGAGAAAAGAAUCGAGAAACAGUACAAGAGAAAAUAAAGAUAAAGAGACAGAAUUAAGGGCUGCAUCAAAGGAUUUAUGAAGAAUAUUAAGGGGAUUCAUAAGGACGAGCGGAUUUCGACUCUUAUUCUUACUCUCUUAUUUUUAUCUUGUUAUGAAGACUUGUUUGAUGGCUAAAACUAUUUUGGUUUUUGUUUUAUAACAAAUUAUGAACUAAAAUUACUUAUGGUUGAGUGAUAAACAAUGUUGAUGGUUAAUUGACUGAUUAUAUGUGUUGCUGCAUGUUUGCUAUAGCAUGUUGUUUUUGUAAUACUUAUUUCAAUUCACUAUUUCAGCUGACUACCCAUUUAGUGGUACUAGCUAAGUAAAAGCCUAAAAAAGGUCUGUCUUAGUGGGACAUAUCAAAGUAAUUCUUGGUUUUAGGUUGGAUUUCAUGAGUUGAGUUUAACUUGAUUCAAAAAAGGUCAUGCUUAAUCUAAAAUUAGUGAUGAACUAGACAUAGAGAUUUACCUUGUAGGAUAAUUAGAAUCUAAAACGUGUAAUGCUAUAUUUUAUGUUAGCAUAACAAUUGGUCACUGUUAAGUUGUAUCAAGAUAUAAGACAUCCAAUAAGUGAUAGCUGAGGAUACAUAAGGAUUCUGUAUAGUACUGUAAAAGACGUUGUGGCAACAUAACCAAAAAAUAGAAAAAUAGUCAAAACCAUUAAAAGAGUUUAAUCACUCAACUACUCCAUUCUCAUUGAUUAUAUCCUUGUAUUUGACGUGAUGAUUUACCUUAUUGCAUUUUUUAUUUUAAUUAAUUCAUUAGUUUUAUAAAUUAUUUUAUUUUUAAUUUUGGAACAAAAUAAGGUUGCUGUAGCAAUUCAUAUAACAUCAAUUCCUAUGGAGACAAUCUCGAAUACUUAUCAUUAUAUUACUUGUUGUGUACACUUGCACAAUGACACCCAUAGCAUACAACAAUCAGAAUUUUCAUAGUUAAACUUUUAGCCUACAUUCAUAGGUGAAGACAGAAGGAAAUGUUUUACUAACGAAAAGAAGUUACAAGUAUUGUAGUACUUUGUCUCACAAUCCAAAAACCUUAAUAUACCUAAACUCUAAAAACAUUAGAACAAGAGUUUAAAGCUCUCAACACACUCUUAGUCUCCAAUUCAUGGCUCUAUCACUUCUUAAUUAGAUUGAGAAUUAAAGAAAAUGAAAUGAAUGAAGAGGACAAAUGAAGCCUCUAUUUAUAGGCCAAGCAAUACCCAAAAUCAGCAAUGUUGGACUUUAAAAUAAUAUAUAUUUUCAUUCAACUUUCAACUUUGGUGACAAAGCCAAAAGUUGUGUGCUAGACAAAUGCCUCCCACUUACUCAACAAAUUAUGCCAAAAGUCAAAAGUUGCAUGUUAGCAACAUAUAAUUGUUUUCCAUAUACAUGCACAUGUUCAACAAUUCUCCCACUUAGAGACUUGAUUGAGAACCAAUCAUGUCUCCACACUAUCCAUUCUUUUUCGUCAUUGUUAUGUUGCUUACAUCUCUGCUAGGCUACAAGAGGAUCUACUCCAUACAAACUUGUCAGCAUUGGUUUGCUUGGUCAAAACAUCUCCUCGGUUCUCUUUGGUAUGGAUUUUUUUGUAAUAAAGUGGUAUUGUACCUGAUAACUCUAGAAAAUGAGAGUUAUCAUGGCAUUUUUAGGCUUAAAUUAAGACUCCUUAGAGAGUAAUUGAUGUGUUUUAGUGCAUUUUAACGAUAGUUUGCAUUACAUUAAUUUUAGUUUAAGUUUAAUAAAGUUUACGUGAAUUUUGAAUAAUUGUAUGCCUAAAACAUAUGUUCAACUAUAGGUCAAUGGAAACCUGAAUUUUAUGGAAAAGAUGUUGUUCCAAUAGACCUAUAAGGAGGACAAACGAGCAUGGCUAUAUAAGAAUUGGAGCACAUCUGGAAUAGUGAAGAUGCUAUAGCCAUUGUUGUAGGCUGUAGCAAUCCUUGAGCAUUGACGGAGAAAAUAUGGGCAAGAUUUUCAUAAUAUUGCGAUUUGCAGUUUUCUAAUCUGAAGAUGCAUGCCCUAGAGUUUCCAGUUACCCUAAUUUGUGAUUAUAAAAUGAGGCAUACAUGCAAAGGAAAGAGGAGGCCGUCAAUCGAAACCAAAAUAGAAAAGAAAUGAAGAAGAAACAAAAUUCCCGAGCAGAAUUUAAGGCUUCACCAAUAGAAGAAAUUUACAGAUUCAAUUGGAAUUCACUCUUUCUCAUUCUUUUCUUGUUUUCUUGUCAUUCAUUGAUCAUGACUAUGUACUCGAUGGCUACCACUUGGUUGUUUAAUUUCUAUGCACAAAUUAUGAGCUCAAUUUAUUUAUGGUUGACUGUUAAGCUAUCUUGAUGGUUGAUUGACCGAAAAUAAGUAUUGUUGCAUGUUUGCUAUAGCAUUUUGCUUUAAUAACAUUUAUUUAGAUUCAUUAUUCUGGUUGACCACUUAUUUAAUGAUACAAGUUAAGAAAGAGCCGCAAAAUGACCUAUUUUAGUGGAACAUAUUAGAGCAAUACUUAGUUUUAGAUUGAGUUUCCUAAAUUGAGUUUAACUUGAGUCCAAAAAGGGUCAUGCUUAAUCUAAAGAUUAGUGAUAAACCAGAUGUGGGGAUUCACCUUGUAGGGUAAAGAGAACAUGAACGUGUAAUGUUAUAUUUUAUGUUGACAUAACAAUUGGUCAUUAUUAGGUUGCAUAAAGAUAUAAGACAUCCAACAUGUUACUGCUGAGGAUAAAGAUGAAAUAUAAGUGUGCAACCCAAGAGGGGGGUGAAUUGGAAUUUUAAAAAUUAUCCUAGCAAAUCCACACAACAAGCAAUCUAAUGUCUUAAUAAAAAUUGAAAACAAUAAGUUCAAUAAAAGCACAAUAACAAAUGAGUAAGAGAGAAGAGAAACAAACACAUGAAUUUUUACGUGGUUCGGCAAUCCCCGCCUACGUCCACGCCUCCAAGCGAUCCAAACUUGAGGAUUUCACUAUCCAAACUUUUCUAAGGCUUCAACCGUUUACAAUUAACUUCAAGGUGUCAAUGAACCUUUACAACAAAGAGUUUAUCUCCCAAUCUCUUCAUUCAAGUGUCUCACACACUCAAACUUUUACAAUUAAGAUGAAGAAAUGAAAGUUACAAUAAAACUCACUCAAAGAGUAGAUAUUCAAAAAUGAAGAACAAGAGAUGAUUCAAUGUUUUGUGAUUUGCAAAUUGAAAGCUCAAGAUAUCUUGUGUGCUUUUUAUUUAUGCUUGCUAGAGAGAUUGAAAAUGAGUUGGAUUUGAGUUUAUAUAGUUUGAUCUCAAAAACUAGCCGUUAUGCACAUUUUGGUCAUAAUCGGCUUGCCAUUUAGGAAUCUGGUAAAGCCGCUUUUAUGUUGCCAUUAAGGCAAAAAUUUGAAUUUCAGAAUAUCUGGCAUGCCGCUUUUCAUAUCCGGUAAGCCGCGUUUGAAAUCCGGAUUGCUGCUUUGCGAAAUUCGGAUAGCCGUUUAUGCUCUAGAAGCUUACUGUCCAAAAUCUAGUUUGCCGUUUACCAUAUCCGGUAAGCCGCUUGCUACAGUAACUGCUACAGUGAAAUAUUUUUUAAAUUUAUAGUUUGACCCCAAAACUUUAUAAAACUAUGUUAUGGCCCAAAAUGUUAUAUUAUUUUGAAAAUAGGUCCAAUUUCAGAAUCUCUAAAUAAUGCUUGCUAUUCCCAAAACUUUUUAAAAUUAUGAUAUGACCCAAAAUGUUAUGAAACUUUUCCAAUAAGUCCUCCAAAAUUUCGAGCAAUACUUGUUGAUUUCAAAGUUUUCAAAACUCUUUCAAUUAAAUCAUAAACUUGAAAAACAACUAAUUUCAUAAAAUCAUUUUUCCAUUAAAUAUAAAACCUUUAUAAUGUGAAAAUAAUGAUUUAUUUAAAAUAUAUAAAAAAUAAUUUGAGCUUAAAAGAUUAAUCAUUCUUAAUCUUGUUUGUUAUCAUCAAAAUCAACAUUAUGCAAACAUAUAUAUUAACAAAAGAUGGUUUCUGUCCAGUGUUGUAACAGAUGCUGCAGUAACUAUACUCAAUAUAAAUAAAAUAGUUAACACCAUUACAAGAGUUUAAUCACUCAACCACUCUAUUCCAAUUGAAUUUACUUUUGUGUCUAACAUGCAAUUUUCAUUCAUUGCAUUUUCUUUAUUAUCGCGGUUUAUUUUACAUAGUCUAUUAGUUGUAUUAGUUACAUUGAUUUUUAAUUGAGAACAUAGAUUACACUGUGAAAUUGUUGUAACAAGUCUGAUAGCAUCAAUCCCUAUGGAGACGAUCUUAGAUACUCACCCUUAUAUUACUUGUUGUGUACAUUUGCACAUUGACAUUACUAGCAAUUAAGUUAAAGAUUACAAUAGUACCCCUAUGUGCUUUGUCUUGAAAUGAAAUGCUGGAUUCCUUACAAUGUACAAGAUACUCUAAUUGUCACAAAACAAAAACAUUUUCUCUUGUUUGUACCCAAACUCCUCCAACAACCUUUGAAUCUAAAGAACCUCUUUGCAAGGUUAUGUAGCUACCAUUAUUAUGCUUCUGUUGUAGAUAAAGUCACAACGGUUUUCAGUUUUGAAACGCAGGUUACAGCUUUUCUUGCAAGUGUAAACACAUAGCCAGUAGUAAAUUUCCUUUAUCAAGGUCCCCUGCAAAAUAUGAAUCCUCAAGGUCUCUGACAGUAAAUUUUAAUCCUCCAUAACAUAAUGCAACAUCUAAGAUUCAUUUGAUGUAUCUGAGAAUCCUCUUUACAGUUUUCCAAUAUUCUUCACCAGGAUUCACUCUCUAUCAACUGACCACUCACACGACUUGUGCAAUAUCUAAUUUCGUAUAUAUCACAGUGAACAUUAAACUUCCUAUUGCUGAUACAGAAGGUAUUCGAGACAUCUCCUUCCUCUCUACUCUGUUGCUAGAAUAUUUACUUGAGGAUAACUUGAAAUUAACAAGAAGUGAGGUAGAAAUUAGCAUACAAUCUUGCAUGUUGAAGCGUCACAAGAUUUUCUUCAAGUAAUUCUUUUGAGAUAGCCAAAUCUUCUUGUUAUUUAUGUCUUAGUGAAUUUGCAUUCCUAUAUUCUUGUUUGUGUUAGAGUGCAAUUUACGCACUAGUUUUGUAUUGUUUACUUCCCUUAAUAUCGAUGUUAUAAUGAUUUACUUGUGUUUUACUUUUGUAGGUACAAUUCUAGUGAUUGGUGAUAAAAUUGAACUAAAAGAUGAUGUUUAAGGAGGAUUGUUCUCUUGGAGAAAUUAUGAGCGUCAGAAGAACUUUGUUGAUAAGGCGUGGGCGCGUGCUGUCAACUGCGGACCUGUAGUUUUUAGUUUAACGUGUUUUGUAUUUUUGGUUAUUUUUGUAAUUACGAAUUUAAUAUUUCAGAUAUUAGGAUUUUAUUUUAAAUAGAAUUCUAAAAGAGAAGAGAGAGAGAGUAUUUAAGGGAGGAAUCUUUUGUGGAAAAGGGGGAUUUUUGGAUGGGAGAAAAGAAAGAAACCCUAGAUUUAAUUUUUCUCUUCUCUCUAUGAAGAACUAAACUUAUUUUUCUGGUUGAAGGUUAAUGAAGCUUUGAUUCAUCACUACUGUGAGAUCUUUCUUGUGCUUUAAUUGUUUUAUUGCUUUUUGGGUAUUUGUUUAUUCUCUGAAUUAUUUUCAUGAUUAUGUUUGUUAAUUAGGUAAUUGGCCACUAUUUAAUUAUCAACUUAAUCUAUUGUCAAUUAAAGGAUUCAUCGUAUGAAGAAUUUAAUGUUUGUGACAAAUAACAUAGCAGAGAGUUGUGUUGUGAGAAUAAACAAUCUAAUUUAAAUGAAUCAUCAUAUGUGUUGAUUAGGAUUUGGGUCUCUCUGGUUUUUCAGGCUGUCAAUUGAUUAAAUCCUAUGAUCGUAUUUAGGGUUGUCUAUUGAUUGGGGAAAUAACCAACGGUCAUACCUUGGUUAUCGACUAGUUAAGGAGAGAUUGGCUAUUAGAGGGUCUCAGUAGCUAUAACUGGUCUAUUCAUGAGUAAUAAUAAUCUAUAUUUGAAUCAAUGAUCAGUAGUCGAAUCAAGCUGAGUUAAUUCCUUCAACCAGAGCUUUCUCCAAUUUGAAUUACAACUUUAAUUUGCAUUCUUGUUAUUUUAAUUUGAUUUUUAUUAUUGUCAACAAAACCGCCAUUUUAUGUUUUACGUUUUAAAAGGAUUUAAAUAACUACUGAUCUCUGUGGACACGACCCUGCUCAAUUACUAUACACAAUUUAUUUAGAGUAGGAAUUUAUUUUUUUUGGCUUCGACACCCACCAAAUUUUGGCGCCGUUUUGGCUUCGACACCCACCAAAUUUUGGCGCCGUUGCCGGGGAUUGGUGUCAUUUAUUUAAUCAUUUUUACGUUUUACUUGGUGUAUGGUUCGUUCUUCUCGUACAGGUACACUUUCGUUUGAUCCUGAAAUUGAGAAGACAACUCGCCAGCUGAGACAGCAGAUGAAGCGAGCUAAGCAACGAUCCUCGUUGCCUUUGCUUUCUGAAACAGAUACGGUGCCUGAUUUAGUUGAAUCAUCUAGCGAUUCAGAAGAACAAGUGAUGGAUAGACCUGCACCUGUAGAAAGAACUCUUAGAGAGUUAGCUGAACCAGACUUGAAUCAACAACCACUCUGCAUUCAAUAUGUAGACUUGGAGGUAAAUUUUGAAUUAAAGUCUGGUCUUAUUCAUUUAUUACCCAAGUUUCAUGAUUUUGCAGGUGAAGAUCCUCAUAAACAUCUUAAGGAGUUUCAUGUUGUGUGUUCAAGUAUGAGACCACAAGGUGUGACUGAAGAGCAGAUUAAGCUGCGUGCUUUUCCGUUCUCUGUAGAUGGGCUAGCUAAAGAUUGGUUGUACUACUUGCCUCCUGGAUCAAUUACAACGUGGAAUGGUUUGAAGAAGCAGUUCCUUGAGAAGUACUUUCCUGCUUCAAGAGCUGCCAACAUCAGAAAAGAUAUUUGUGGGAUCAGACAACUUCCUGGGAAGACUUUAUAUGAGUAUUGGGAGCGAUUCAAACAAUUGUGUGCCAGCUGUCCUCAGCAUCAAAUUUCUGAUCAACUUCUUAUUCAAUAUUUUUACGAAGGACUGUCAUUGAUGGAUAGGAGUAUGAUAGAUGCUGCUAGUGGAGGCGUGUUGGUGAACAAGACCCCUACUUAAGCAAGGGAGUUGAUAUCAAAUAUGGCUGCCAAUGCACAACAAUUUAGCAGCAGGCAAGAGCUCACUUCAAGGAAGGUGAAUGAGGUAAAUAUUUCUUCUAUUGAACAACGUUUAGAUAAACUUACUUCUCUUGUGGAAAAGUUUGUUGUAGGUAAUGUGCAGCAGGUGAAGACUUGUGGUAUAUGUUACAAUAUGGGUCAUUCAACUGAUAUGUGUCCUACACUUCAAGAAGAACCCAUUGAACAAGCCAAUGCAGUUGGAGGAUUUCCAGGCAUGCCUCAGAGGAGGUAUGAUCCUUAUGCACAAACAUACAAUCCGGAAUGGAAGGAUCAUCCCAACUUCAGCUAUGGAGUUAGGCCGUCAGGAUUCCCACAACAGUAUCCACCAAGACAACCAGCACCUCCACAGUCAAACUCCAAGUCGGGUAUAUCUCUUGAAGAAAUUGUUAAAUCACUUGUGACUAACACUCAACAAUUUCAGCAGGCAACUACAACAAGCAUUCAGAACUUGGAGAACCAAAUGAGUCAAUUGGCGACUACAGUGAGCCGUCUGGAGUCUCAAGUAUUAGGGAGAUUGCCUUCACAAUCUGAGGUGAAUCCAAAGCAAAACGUUAGUGCUGUCAUCCUUAGAAGUGGGACGGAGUUGCAAGAGCCUAGUAAGAAAGUAACAAAGCAUGUAGAAGAUGAGCUUGAGAAGAAUGAAUUGAUGCCUCAAUCUCAAGAUGCACAACCCACUAAAGCGAAACCCCUACCUAUUGUGAUACCUCCUCCUUUUCCAAGCCGAUUUGCAAAAUCCAAGAAGGAGGAACAAGAGAAAGACAUCCUUGAGACAUUUUGCAAGGUUGAGGUAAAUAUUCCUUUAUUAGAUGCUAUAAAACAAAUACCUCGAUAUGCUAAAGUCCUUAAGGAACUGUGCACCUCCAAGAGAAAAUUAAGAGAAGAUGAAAAAGUUCACAUGGGGGAGAAUGUUUCAGCAGUUCUUCAAAAGAAACUCCCUCCUAAGUGCAAGGAUCCAUGUAUGUUUACUAUCCCUUGUAAAAUUGGUAGUGUUAGAGUUGAAAAGGUUUUGUUAGAUCUAGGAGCUUCUAUUAAUGUCAUGCCUCGUUCCAUUUAUUCAUCUUUAAAUAUUGGUCCAUUAAAAGAAACUGGUGUGAUAAUUCAACUAGCUGAUAGGUCUAAUGCAUAUCCUGAUGGGGUAUUAGAAGAUGUCUUAGUACAAGUUAAUGAGUUGGUUUUUCCUACUGAUUUUUAUGUACUUGAUAUGGAAGAUGAUAACUCCUCUAAUUAUGUCCCAAUUUUGCUAGGAAGACAUUUUCUUAAGACUGCUAGGACUAAAAUGGAUAUACAUAAAGGGACUCUCACUAUGGAGUUUGAUGGAGAGGUUAUAGAAUUCAAUAUGAAUGAUGCCAUGAAAUAUCCUAGUGAGGAAGAUUCGGUAUUUUCUGUGGAUGUUAUUAACCCUAUAGCGUAGGAAAUUUUUUACAAAGAAAAGACGAAGACAUUUCAUGAUAGAAUGAUUUUGAGAAAGGAGUUCUCUGUUGGUCAAAAAGUUCUUCUUUUUCAUUCUAAGCUUAAACUUUUUCCGGGUAAAUUACGUUCUUGUUGGGUUGGACCUUUUAUUGUUACUAAUGUUUUUCCUCAUGGUGCAGUUAAGAUUCGGAGUCCGACCUCUGACUGAGUUCUUAAGGUUAAUGGUCAUCGCUUAAAACCUUUUUAUGAAGGUUUUUCGGUGAAUAUUGUGGAGGAUGUGGCUCUCGAGAGUCCAAAUUAUGGAGAUUGAUGCAUAAAUGUGUCUAGCCAAAGACAUAAAACAAAGGCGCUUUUUGGGAGGCAACCCAAGUGAUUUAUUUAUUUUGGUUUUUGUUAUAUCUUCUUUUAAUUUUGAUUCAUAUUUUUUUUUUAAAUAAUGUGUUUGCUUAUUUUGGUCAGAAUAAAAUUUUUGAUAAGGCGUGCCCACGUUUUAACUAAUAAGUACUUCUGUCAUUUUUAAAGUAAAAUAGUUUUAAGGCGUGCCCACGUGCUUAUUAGAAAAGUACUUCUGAAGUUUUUAGUGUCUCAAAGUGAUUCAUCACUAAAAAAAAAAAUUAAUUUUAAUUUAUUUUAUUUCAUUUUAUUUUAUUUAUUUAUUUCUUUUGUUCUUUCUUUUAUAUAUAUAUAUAUUUUUUAUUUAAAAAAAAAAAUUUUACUGUUCACAAAAUCCCUAAUUUUCCAGAAAUUGUUUUCUUCUCCAGCCGUUUGCAGCACGCCAGCAGCAAACCAGCCAGCCGAAGAAUACAGCAUCAGUCGUGCGCAACGCAAGCACCAGCAACGAGCACGCCCCGCAACGCAACUCAGAACCAGCUCUCGCGCGCAACAGUCCUGCAGCAACACAGCCACGCAGCAGCUCUCGAGCGCAACGCAGCCACGCAGCAGCUCUCGCGCGUAACCAGCAGUGCGCAACCAGCCCCAAGCCGCGCAGCAAGCUCCAGCCGAGCACGCAACGCAACAAGCGUCACCAGCGCGCACACCAGCAAUCCCCCAGCGCGCAGCAACAGCCGCAGCACGCAGAUCCAGCGUCACCAGUUCACAGCAUCAGUCCCAUCCGUGCGCAACUGAACCACCAGCCGCGCACCAGUAAUCCCCCAGCGAGCAGCAAUAGUCCGCAACCAGCCUACGACCUGCAUUCCAGCCGCGUGAAUCGAAAUCCGUGACAAGAUGGAGCAGAAUUUGGCCGCAUACUUCAAGAGUGUGGGAUUUAUCCCACCAUUCCCGCCAAGCCCAUAGACGUUAUGAGGAUCAAAGCUCACAAUUCAGGGAAGUUUUUGCCUUUAAUCUUUUAUCCUUACGCUUUAAUUUUUAUGUGAGCUUUGAUUAUCUUUCAUUGGGGACAAUGUAAGUUCUUGGUGUGGGGGAGGGAUUUUUGCAUUAUUGAUGUCUGGAAUUAUUGUUUUCACUCUACUUAUCUUUUUUUCACUCUACUCAUCCUUAAAUGAUUUUGGAGUUAGUAUGCUUUAUAUAUUAUUAAUUUUCUUUUCUUUUAUCUCUCACUACUUUUUUCCCAUCUAUCUCACAUUAUUUACAUCUAUUUUUAUUCUAUCAUACUCUUUCAUCACUCACAUUUUAUCUUUCACUUUUCAUAUUACUACAUACGUCUUUCUCACUUCUUAUCAUUUUUACCUUUUCUUUUAUAUAUCACUCAUGCCUUCUUCUCAUUCUACACCAUUAUUGAUGGUUGAUUCAUUUGAAGAGUGUACAUGAUUUGAUGGCAAAUUUACCAACUUUGUGAGGAUUUGAGCCUAUAAGCAACCACUUUGCUCUAAUAUUUUUGUUAUGUGAAUAUCAAUCUUAGUUUGUUUAUUCUAGAACUUGCUUUGUUAUGCAUGUUGAAGCCACAUUACGGGAUUUUAUGCAUUAAAAUGAUAAGGGCAAACCAUAUUCCAUUUUUCUAUUUUCGCAUUUUUUUUCUCUACCCGAAGACCUUUAUUUGUUACCUUUGUUUGAGCCUUAACCAUUACCCAUCUAAUUCUCUCCGUUGACUUAACCAUUUUUCUUCUUUUUGAGCCUCAAUUUAAGGAGAUUUUUGAACUCAUUGUGUGGUUAUAUUUUGUUGCUUUUUCUACCUUGUAUUAAAGUUUCUCAAUUAGAUCAACAAGCAUUAUGCUUGAAUUAAAUUGUGCAACGUUCGUUUCUUUUGUUUGAUUAAAAAAAAAAUCAAUAAAAAAAAACAAAAACAAAAACAAAAAGAAAAAAGAAAAAAGAAAAAAGAAAAAAAAAAAGAAAGAAAAAGAAAAAGAAAAAUCGAAAAAAAAAGUUUACAUUCUUGGUGACUUGAGUAGAAAUAAGCAUUUUGAUAUCAUAAGUUCAUUCAAUGAGUUCAUUCUUCUCAUUUUAUUUAUUUUUCUUUCAUAGACCUUUCUUUUUUAUUUCACCUAUUUAACCCCAUUACAACCCUUUUAAGACCCUUAGAUUUUUGCAUUUUAUUCAUGUUUUGUGGAUUGAGAUGUGAUAUAUGAGCAAGCUUAUGGUAAUAGCAUUCUUUGAUUUGAUUUGAGUGGAUAAAUGACACCCUAAACACUUUGAGUGCAUGGAGUGAAGUCAAUGAGAGGGCUAUUAAAUCUUGUUGCACUUGAAUUUUAAAUGGAUCUUCUUGGUGGUUGAAUGUUCUUAUUCUAUCUUAUGAAAUUCUAUGCUUUAAAAUCCUUGUCUCUCGAAUGUUGAUCGACUUAAUUUCUUGAGGUAUGCUUGCUUAAAAUUGUUUUUGGAUGAGUUGAGAUGAGAAUUGAGUGGAGAUUUGGAAUUAAUCUUGAGUUAUAUGCUUGAGGACAAGCAUCAUCUUGGUGUAGGGGAAUUUGUUAGAGUGCAAUUUACGCACUAGUUUUGCAUUGUUUACUUCCCUUAAUAUCGAUGUUUUGCACUUAAUAAUAAUGAUUUACUUGUGUUUUACUUUUGUAGGUACAAUUCUAGUGAUUGGUGAUAAAAUUGAGAUAAAAGAUGAUGUUUAAGGAGAAUUGUUCUCUUGGAGAAAUUAUGAGCGUCAGAAGAACUUUGUUGAUAAGGCGUGGGCGCGUGCUGUCAACUGCGGACCUGCAGUUUUUAGUUUAACGUGUUUUGUAUUUUUGGUUAUUUUUGUAAUUACGAAUUUAAUAUUUCAGAUAUUAGGAUUUUAUUUUAAAUAGAAUUCUAAAAGAGAAGAGAGAGAGAGUAUUUAAGGGAGGAAUCUAUUGUGGAAAAGGGGGAUUUUUGGAUGGGAGAAAAGAAAGAAACACUAGAUUUAAUUUUUCUCUUCUCUCUAUGAAGAACUAAACUUAUUUUUCUGGUUGAAGGUUAAUGAAGCUUUGAUUCAUCACUACUGUGAGAUCUUUCUUGUGCUUUAAUUGUUUUAUUGCUUUUUGGGUAUUUGUUUAUUCUCUGAAUUAUUUUCAUGAUUAUGUUUGUUAAUUAGGUAAUUGGCCACUAUUUAAUUAUCAACUUAAUCUAUUGUCAAUUAAAGGAUUCAUCGUAUGAAGAAUUUAAUGUUUGUGACAAAUAACAUAGCAGAGAGUUGUGUUGUGAGAAUAAACAAUCUAAUUUAAAUGAAUCAUCAUAUGUGUUGAUUAGGAUUUGGGUCUCUCUGGUUUUUCAGGCUGUCAAUUGAUUAAAUCCUAUGAUCGUAUUUAGGGUUGUCUAUUGAUUGGGGAAAUAACCAACGGUCAUACCUUGGUUAUCGACUAGUUAAGGAGAGAUUGGCUAUUAGAGGGUCUCAGUAGCUAUAACUGGUCUAUUCAUGAGUAAUAAUAAUCUAUAUUUGAAUCAAUGAUCAGUAGUCGAAUCAAGCUGAGUUAAUUCCUUCAACCAGAGCUUUCUCCAAUUUGAAUUACAACUUUAAUUUGCAUUCUUGUUAUUUUAAUUUGAUUUUUAUUAUUGUCAACAAAACCCCCAUUUUAUGUUUUACGUUUUAAAAGGAUUUAAAUAACUACCGAUCUCUGUGGACACGACCCUGCUCAAUUACUAUACACAAUUUAUUUAGAGUAGGAAUUUAUUUUUGUUGGCUUCGACACCCACCAGUUUGCUAGUCUUAAGUCCUUCAUUUUAAACUACCUAGCUAAUUGUGCCUUUAAUUCUUGGACCCAAUCUUUGUUUGAGCCUGCUACUAACAUGUUAUCCACAUACAAUAGUAUAAUGAUAAAAUUAUUAUCCUCAAACCACUUGUAAUAUGCACAGGUCUAAACCGAGUCUAUUGUAGCCAAGACUCAUGAUGAAGGAAUCAACUCUCUUAUACCAACAUCUCAAUGCCAGUUUAAGACUAUAUAGAGAUUUGUUUAACCUGCAAAAGAAGUUUUCUUUACCUGUUUAAGCAAAACCUUCUGGUUAGAGUAUAUACAUUUUUUCUUUAAGUUCUCUAUGAAAAAACACAGUUUUCACAUCUAAGUGCUCUAGGUUUAUGUUAAAUACAACACAUAUUGCAAGGACUAUUUUGAUUGUCGUGAGUCGAAUUACUCGGGAAAAUAUAUCGUUAAAGUUAAUACAUUCUUUCUGAGCAUAUCCUUUCACUACCAAUCUUACACGAUACCGCUCUACUUGGUCAUUGCCAUCACGCUUGAUCUUGUAAACAUAUUUUUUUCCUAUGAUUUUUCUUUCACGUGGUAGUGGUAUAAGUUCCCACGUCUUAAACCUAUGUAGAGCUUUAAUUUCUACCUGCAUUGUUGUCAUCCACAAAACAACAUUUAAGCCAUUUAAAGCUUUAUGGAAAGUUGAUGGCUCUGCAUCCUCUGUUAGAAGAUAGUAUACAACAUUGAUCCUAUAACAUACUCUAAGUGCCACACCGACGGUUGUCUCUCGCAAGUUGACCGAUGAACUUCUGUAGCCUCAGACUCCACUGGUUCUUGCUUCUCAUGCUUUAGUGGUGUUUCAGAAUAAUCUAAAUCUUCUUUUCCCGGAUUAUUUUCAUAUACAUUGGUACAAUCUCUGACUUGUUCUUCAAAGUGCUAUCAUUCUCAUUUUUCUUUUGUAGUCGAUCUUCUACAAAGAUAACAUUUCUACUUAUGACAAUCUUGUGGGCAAUGAGAUCCUACAGAUAAUCUUGAUGAGAAUCUUGUAGUCAAUCUUCUUUCUUGAGCAUUGUAAGUGCAUAGGGCAUCCAUAUGCAUGCAAAUGAGAAUAAUCAGCAGGUUUCCUAGUCUACAUCUCCAUUGGUGUCUUUAACUUAAUUAUUGUAUGUGGCGAUCAAUUUACUACAUAAUAGGUGGAUUUGGUUAUUUCUAACCAAAAUGAGUUGACUAGAGCAGUCUUCAAUAUAACUUGUAUUCAUUCUGUAAGAGUAUUGUUCAUUCGCUCUGUCACUUCAUUCCAUUGAGGAGUGUAUGCCACAAUGAAUUAUUUUUUAAUACCUUUUUGCUUAUAGUAUAUAAAAAACUAACUAUUUGUAUAUUCUCCACUAUUAUUUAUUCCCCAAACUCUUGAUAUUUUUCCUGAAUUUAAGUUCCACCCGUGCUUUGUAUUCUUUGAACACUGAAAAUGCUUUUGACUUUUUCUUAAUUAGAUAAGUUGAGUGUUAGAAAAUGUAUAUUUAUAAAGGAGAAAACCGUCAUUUUACAUUUCAAGUCUUACUAACAACCCUUACUUUUAUGUAUUUAACCUUCUUGUGAUUUAAUUACAUGUGUUUUAUUUUAAUUAAGUAUUUUAUUUAUUUUAGGGGCAUUAUAGUCAUUUCACAAUAAAGGAGAGAUCAGACGGCAAAACGAACAUCACUUUUGAACUCAGGACGGUCGAAAACCUUAGGAGGAGCAUAAAAGGAAAAAUGACACUAUUCACAUGUACGGUACUAUUCACGUGUACGGUACUGUUUACAUUACUGUUCACGACACUGUUCACAUAGACGGAUCGAUGACGUGGCAUUGACCGAUGAUGUGGCAUUGACUGAUGAGGUGUCACGAUCCUGUUGGGCUAAAAUUCUUAUGUACUGUUGAUGAUGACGUGGCAGUAUAUCAGUGGAUGAAAAAUCUUGCGUACGGUACAUGCAUCACACAGGAUUAUUUUCAACCAAACCGCAUUACUGUUCAUCCAGGUCAAACCGUGUUACUGUUCAUCCGCGUGGUCAAACCGCGUACUGUUGACUGAUGACGUGGCGCAAUCCUGAGCGUCCAAACUAUUUUUAAUCCGAUGGCCAUGAUUUACUCCAUGUAUCUAUAAAAAGGGGGCCUCUCCCCCCUAAUUUGAUAUCUCCGAAUCCAUUUUUGGGAUCCAUUUUCUGUAAUUCCUUUUCCAUCUUGUAUUUUCUUCAUAUUUUAAUAAAUUUCCAUUUUGCCCCUAGUUCAAUUAUGAGUGGCUAAUUUUCUUUCAAGCUUGGGUUGAAGGUGAAGUCUCAACAUGUGUCAUGGGCUUUAUUUGGUAAAUUUAUUUUCUCUUCCCCUCUAAUUUUUGUGGAUGUUUUGACUUCUCGUCGACAAAUAAUACUAAUCUUGUCUAGUACCGCCUUGGUUUCACCGGCCCUCUAGUACAAGGUUAUUAUUAUUUGGCACGAUAAGCCCUUAGCACCAUAUUGAUUAGAGAGUGGUUCAUGAGGUGUGGAUUCCCCCCUCAUGAUUUAAUUGGCAUUAAUAAGGAUUAUUUAGUCCAUGAUGCAUGUUGAUACGGAUCCAGAUACCCAAGUAUGUCAUUUCAAUAGCUUUCUAUUCAAUUUAUUCUCGCCAUUUCAAUUCCAAUUGUAGAAUUUAAUCUCGCCAUUUCAAUUCCAAUUUUUAGGAUAAUUUAAAUCACUUCCACCAUAAUUCCAACCACCCAUUUACAAAAUUAAUUCUAUACACAAUUAAAAUCCACCUCCUCGUGGGAUCGACACUCGUCACCAUUAGUCUAUACUACAAUAGAUUCGUGCGCUUGCGAGUACAUUAAAAUUUGCACAACAAGAUACACCUAACAUCUCUUGGAAUAAUCAUCUAUGAAAGUCAUAAUGUACGUUACACCUCCUAGGGACAUAUUCCGGUGAUUCCCAAACAUUAGAAUGAACCAAGUCUAGAAUGCAUUUACUUUUGGUAUCAGAUUUACUGAACUUCAAUCUAUGUUACUUACUGGUAACAUAAUACUCAUAAAACAGUAAGUUCACCAAUUUGAGCCCCGAAGCAAUUUUCGUUCUAAGAGAAUCUUCAAACCUUAUUUUGACAUGUGGUCAAGUUUGAGAUACCACAUCAUCAUCGACUUUUCUCCAUUUGACGAGACACAUACAUUAGCUUCUUGUAAUGUUUCCUCUUUAAGUAUGAACUGACUAGCACUAAUUUUUUCCCAUCUUUAUCAAUACAAGCAUAUCUCUUAAAAUCUUCAUGAUUUUAUUGUCCACAUGAGUUUUAUAGUUAAGACUAUCUAUUUAUCCUAAAAACAAUAGAUUUUUCUUCAAUCCUUUGAUAUGUUGUACCUUCUGAAUUGUACGAACUGUACCAUUAAAUAUUUUUAUUUUGACAGUAUCAAUACCAACGAUCUCCAAGACAUGAUCAUCACCUAUAUAUUCUCUUAAAAUGGGUUCAUUUCUAUGGAACCAUUCUCUUCGAGAGGUCAUGUGCCAAGUGGUUCAUAAGUCUAUAAGCCAUACAUCAAAUAAUUGUUUUGUCUUCUGCAACCAUUGCUGCCUUGCUGUAUAAAAUGUCACCAUCAACUGAGGUACUUGCUACACGUCCUUAAACAUUUCAUGACUCAUGAUUUUUACUCUCUUUUCUCUUUUAGUUACUCCAAAACUUUUUCUUAACAUGCCCCAUCUUACCACAUUUGUAGCACCUAAUUUUCUUCUUCUUGAUUUUGAUCUACCAUGCACUGGAACCACGUUCCACUAAUUUUCGUCUCACCAUUAUUAGUGUUUCUGCUUGCUGCAAACUUGCUUGCCUAUCUUUAUUGUUCUUGCGUCUACCCACUUCCUCUAAUACAGAGGCUAUAACAUCGUCAAAGACUAAAUACUCUGUGCGGAUAUUAUUUGUCAAGUUGAUGAUGAUUUGAUCAUACCAGUCAGGUGAACUUUGAAAUAGAAGCUUUGCAUGUUCAAUUUUCGCUAUUUUAUGACCUAACAUUGUAAGUUGUAAAAAAAAAGUUUUCAAAGUGUUGAUAUAGUGGGUCAUUGAUAUGGUUUCUACCAUUUGAACACUAUAAAGUCUUCUCUUUAAGAAGAUUUUGUUGUGUAGCGACUUGGCCUUGUUUACUUUUGCAAGGGUAUUCCAAAUACACUUCCCUGUCUUUUGCUUUGCCAUACUGGAUAAUAUCUUAUCUGCAAGUGCCAAGUGUAGAUCAAUAAUUGCAUUGUCGUCCAUUUAAUUCCACUUGUCAUCGGUGAUUUCUAUAAACCUUUCUGCAAUUACUUCUAAAUAAUUAUUUUUCCUCGGGAUUGCUCAUGUCUUUAUUUUUCACAAUGAGAGAUUGCUCAUAUUGAACUUCUCAAUUUCAAACUUUGUUGCCAUUUUGUUAAUAAAUACCAUACACAAGUUAGUGUACCACCUUGAGUAGUUAUGAGUGAUCGCACGUGUGAAAAUGCACAGCAGAAAAGUUUCCAGGAAUGACUGGAGGGAUUACAACGGUGCCAUUUAAAACCCAAACUCUCUAGGCUCUUAUCGCCUUUGUGACGGAACUAUCCUAGACAUGUACAAGACCACGUGAUUACUUCUACUCACACCAAUACUCCUUACUUUACAUUGUGGAAUUCUUCGAUCGCUCCCACUAUUUUAAGUAAACAGUAUCAUAUACAUGAAGAGUAUUGUAUACGUGAACAAUAGCUGACUCCAAAAACUAUAACUAAAUGGCUCUGAUACCACUAUUAGGAAAUUGAUGUGUGAAGCAGACACAUAAUUAAAUUGAAAUUGAGAAAUAAUGAUCACAGGAUGACACCAUAAUUUAAGUGGUUCUGCUUUUCACCUACAUCCACGGGCGAAGGCAGAAGGAAAUAUUUUACUAGUGAAAAGGAGUUACAAGUACUGGAGUAUUUUGUCUCACAACCCAAAAAACCCAAUGCACCCAAACUCUCAAGACACUAGAAUAAGAGCUUAAAACUCUCAACACACUCUCAAUCUCCAAAUCUUGGCUCUUUCACUUCUCAAUUAGAUUGAGAAUUGAAGAAAAUGAGAUGAAUGAAGAGGGCAAAUAAAGCCUCUAUUUAUAGGCCAGGCAAUGCCCUAAAAUCAACAACAGUGGGCUUUAAAAUAAUAUAUAUUUUCAUUUAACUUUCCCCUUUGGUGUCAAAAACAAAAGUUGUGUGCUAGCUAAAUGCUUUCCACUUACUCAUGUCUCCCACUUACUUAACAAAUUAUGCCAAAAGUCAAAAGUUGCAUGCGAGCCACAUGAAAUUGUUUGCCACAUGCAUGUGCUUGUUCAACAGUAAAAACCACAAGCAAGGAUUUAACUAGUUUAAACAAGGACUACAAAACCUUCAACGUUGGUGGAUUUCACUAGUUUAAACGAGGAUCACAAAUUUAUCUUUUCUCUAAACAGUAAGAGAGAACUUGAAAUACAAGAAUGCAACCCAAGAGGGGGGGGUGAAUUGGGAUUCUAAAAAAUUAUUCAAUUUAUUAAAGAAAAUCUUAAUGCAAUUAUAAAUCAAAUUCAAAGCAAUAACAAUUAAGAGAAUCACAAUAUAAAAAGAUAAGGGAAGAGGGAUUCAAACACCGAGAUUUUUACGUGGUUCGGCCAACCUCGCCUACGUCCACGCCUCCAAGCUUUCCGGGCUUGAGGAUUCCACUAAGCAAGCCUCCAAGGCUUCAAAUGCUUACACUUGACUUCCAAGGUGUCAAUGAACCUUUACAACAAGAGAUUAUCCCCAAUCUCUUAACCCAAGUGUAUCCCAACACUUACAAUCACUCAAAAUAAAAGAUUAUAAAUUGUUUUGCCUCUCACAAUAUAUAAGAUUACACAAUGAUGCUUAAUAUGUGAAUAGAUGAAGCAAGAAUAUGUUCUAAGCUCUAUGAAGAUUGUAUUCUCGAAUAUUAGCUCAAAUGGUCGUGUUGUGAUCAAUCUUCUUUGAAUUUGAAUGAGCUUAUUUAUAUUUGGAGCCGAAAAUCUAGCCGUUACAAACUGUCGGACAGAAAACGGUUCGCUGUUAACCAUAAACGGUUAACCGUUUAGGCUGGUCAAAGUUACCGUUGGGCCAGAUUUCAAAUAAACGGUUUGCCGUUUAGGGUUGCCCUUUCGCCGUUAACUUCCAGAGACCUGCAAAAUGAGUAUUUGUUAUCCGUUUACGCUAAACGGUUAAGGACUUGCGUGAAGUGGCUUCUCUGGACAUUAUCGGUUAACCGUUUGAUAUAAACGGUUCGCCGUUUGUCUCCAGUAACCUGCAAAACAAUUUAGCCUUAUCAGUUUUCGUUAAUCAGUGCCAGAGGAGGACAACCUUCAAUUCUGGACGUUAUCGGUUAACCGUUUAAAAUAAACGGUUCACCGUUAGGUUCCAGUAGCCUUCCCAUCUUGGGUGUUUUCCGGUAAGCAUAAACGGUUAGAGCUUAGGUAAUAUGUUGCUCUCUGGUGAUAAUCGGUUAACCGUUUAAAAUAAACGGUUCACCGUUAAGUUCCAGUAACCUUCCCAUCUUUUGUGUUUUCCGUUUUUCAUAAACGGUUAGAGGUUUAGGAAAUAUGUUGCUCUCUGGCUGUUAUCGGUUAACCGUUUAAUAAACGGUUCACCGUUUAUAACCAGAAUUACAUUUUAAACCAGUUUUUUAUUUUUGCAGAGAAUCUUUUUCUAAUUUUAAAGUCCAUCUUUUAUGAAGCAUGAAUUGAAUGAUUACUAAGGCUCUCGUUUAUUAAGAAAUAGCUCCAAUACUUUUAUAAAAAAUCAUUUAAAAUUUGUUAUCAUCAAAAUCAAUAUUAUUAACAUAUUUAUGUUAACAAUCUCCCCCUUUUUGAUGAUGACAAAUUCUAAUCAAUGUUUAGCUCCCCCUUAAUAUGUGCUCCCCCUAAAUGUAUGGCCAAAUUGAGAAAUGUGAAUAAAAGGAUAUUUGCUUUAAAUUGCCCCAUUUUAAAUCCAUCUUAAAACAAAUAUCUCCCCAUUUAAAAACCAUCUUAAAAAAAUAUCUCCCCAUUUAAAAAACUAUCUUAAAAACUUAAAAACCAUCUUAAAAACUUUAAUUAUCUCCCCCUUCAUCAUCAAAAAGAAAAGAGGAAAUAAGAAAUACGCAAAUCCAUGAAAGAAAGUGCCCGGUUUUGGCAAACAAAAAAAAAAUUUUGGCAGAGUUUCCCCUUAAAAAUGAGUAAAACCAUAAAUACAAAAUGAGAUAAAACACUUCCAAAAUUAGAUCAACAUUAACUUCUGCUUUCAACAAGCCAACAACUCCAUGAACAAGACAAAAUAACACUUCAAUAUCCACAAAUAUACCAACACUCCAAUAUCCACAAAUAAACCAUUUCUACAAUAUCCAACCAAUUAGGCAAUCACAAAGCAUCAAUAAGCUAAUCAUCAAGAACAUCACACACAUAUGCAUCAAAAUCAAAAUAAUAAUAAAAAUGCUAGCAACCAAAAUGUAAAAUGUAUGUGCGAAGACAAAGCUCAGAAACUACGGAGGCGGAGAAGAUGUGCUCCCUGGAUCAUAGCCGAAAUAGCCGAGAAUAGUGCGCUGUCCAGCGAUAAGCUCCAUCUGCUGAUCAAGGCUCUGCCGCUGGAAUAUCUGAAAGUCAGAACGCAGCUGCUGGUGGUCCCGGGAAAGAGUGUCCAACCGAUCAAGAAUCAGCUGCUGGCGCUCCGAAAUCCGCUGAACAUCAGUGAUCAGCUGCUGCACUGCGUCUGAAGCAGGGGGCUGAACUGGAGCUGGAGGCGGCAUAGAGGCAGAUGGCUGCUCGGGAACAGCAGAAGGCUCAGGAGCAAGAGGCGGCUCGGAAGAGGAGGGAAUAUCAGCAUCCAUCGCACGCUCCUCAGAGUCUGAGUCAGCUGGAGGCUGAGGAACAAAACGGCGACGCGGAGGAUGAGGAUGAGCGCCUAGUCUAAAGUCAGGAAGCUGGUCGGGACGAUAGACAUCAUUGAGCAUCCGAUCGUCCUCUGGAGCAAUCAAGGUAUCCCGGUUUUUGGAGUUGCUUGUCUUUAUCCACACUCCAUUCUUUCUAGAGAAUCCGAUACUGGUUACUGCCUCGGAACCAAUCCGUCGAGUCUCCAUAUGUCCAGUAUCAAGAAGUGGCACCUCAAAGCGUCGCAGUAUUUUAGUGAUGAUACUGCCGUAGGGAAGCAAGCGGUGGUUGACCACUGGAGUACUCAGCAUAUGUCGCACAAUAAUAUACCCGAGGUUAAUGGGACGGUCUGUAAGAAGGCUAUCCAAUAAGGCGACGUCUAACCUCGUAACCUCAUCCGAGUGACCCUUCCUAGGAGUCACUAUGUGCUGUAGAAUAGAGUGAAGAAUACGAACUUGGAGCGGUAAAAGUUGAGACCGAAAUGGAAGCUGACAGACAUCAUCCGAUAAGUCUCGACGACGACAUAUAUUACGGACGCCGUGAGUAUGAGAAAAAGUAUCAAAGGAGAGGGUUUUCCUAGAGGUGUAGAUGUCAAUCCCCUCACAAGAGAUACCUAGAAAGUCAGCUAAGUCCGCAUCAUCAAAUUCUAUGGGUACACGGCCGACUUGAGUGACUAUCCUAUUUGGACGAGUAUUGGAGAUUUCCAUGUUCGAAUAAAAGACUCGCACUAAGUUUGGAUAAACUCGGUCAUCAAAAUCAAUGCCAGACUCCCAAGGCCGAAGCAUAUCCCGAAUACUUCUACCACAUACAACCAAAUUAUGGAAUUCAUCAAUGUCAACAAAGAAGGAGUCAAGUACCUUUCGACCAUUGAAGCGUUCUUCGAAUCGCUUGGCCAAGGAAGGAGUGGGGAAGUGAAUCCUUGCAAAUUCCGAGACUUCCCGAGGUGGUAUGGGAUUCCUUGGAGGCACAGAUUUACGUCUGAGAUUUCUCCGAGGAGGUUCAGCCAUGGAAACACGUAAUGAGGAGUAGAAGAUGUGAGUAGGAUGUUUAAUUUGGUUGAAGAAAGUUGGAAAUCGGAUUAAGGACAAGGAAACCCGACCCGCGACAGUUAGGGUUUAGAUUUGGGAUUUUUGAAUUUUGGGUUCGAUUUGAAGUUUUGAAUCGGUAGAAAUGUUCUAAAGGUGAUAAGAAAUGAUUUUGAAGGUUUGAUUUGGCAAGGAAAGCAAGAAAAAUGAGGAUUUGAGGACAGAGAAACCUUCGGCUGCGCAACAAUGGUGGAAACGGUGAAAGGGUAACUGGAGAAGAAGAAGAAAACCUUUAAACAGUUUAUACACUUCGCGAAAACGGUUAACCGUUUAUUGAAACGGUUAAAGGGUAACGUCCAGAGGCUGAAGAAAGGGAAACGGUGAAAGCCUAAGCGCUUAACGGCUAAGGAGUAACUGUUAGAGGACUCUCUGUUGAAAAACGGUUCACCGAUUGUGGCAAACGGUGAAAGGGUAAACGGGCAGACACAUAAUCUCGUUUCUGGAAUUAAACGGUGAUCCGUUUAUAGGAAACGGCUAACCGUUUAUUCAAUCUGUAAUUUCGCACAUUUGAUUUAAUUUUUGGCCAGCAAAUAAUAUAUUCCAAGAUCAUUUAAUUGAUCUGAAAAUAUUUUAUGAGCCAAUUUUAAUGCAUGAUUCAUGGACAUGUUUUCAACCAAUCAAUUCAUAUAAUCAAGAGUUAUUAAUGCAAAUUCAUCAUUUGUCUACCAAGCUCAAACAUUUCAUAAAUAGUAAUCAAUCAAUUCAGUACACUCAAUAGCAUGAAUAGAGAUGUUAAUGCAAAAAUUUCAUCAUCCCAAGUUCAUGCCGAAUUUUUGAAAAUUGUUCUUCGCAAAGCGGUUUUGUGAAAAUAUCGGCAAGUUGUUUUUCCGUGGAAAUAAACUCUAAUGCAAUAUCUCCCUUUUGAACAUGAUCUCUCAAGAAAUGAUGUCUUAUUUCUAUAUGCUUGGUUCGAGAAUGUUGAAUGGGAUUCUUUGAAAGGUUUAUAGCACUAGUAUUAUCACACUUAAUAGGAAUUUGUUCAAGAUUAAUGCCAUAAUCUCUAAGUGUUUGUUUCAUCCAAAGUGCUUGUGCACAACAACUUCCGGCAGCUAUAUAUUCAGCCUCAGUAGUUGAAAGUGCAACAGAAUUUUGUUUCUUGCUAAACCAUGAAACAAGAGAGUGUCCUAGAAUAUAGCAAGUUCCACUAGUGCUCUUCCUAUCCACUUUAUAACCAGCAAAAUCCGCAUCCGAAAAACAUGUUAAAUCUAUAUGAGUUCCCCUAGGAUACCAAAGGCCAAUAUCUAUGGUUCCACUCAAAUAACGGAAAAUUCUUUUAACAGCGAGCAAAUGAGAUUCCUUGGGACAUGACUGAAAUCUUGCACACAAACAUACACUAAACAUGAUAUCGGGUCUACUUGCAGUCAAAUAGAGUAGGGAUCCGAUCAUACCUCGAUACAUUUUGAUAUCCACUUCUUUACCUUUUUCAUCUUUGUCCAGCUUGGUUGUUGUGCUCAUUGGUGUAUUCUUGGUCUUUGAAUCAUCAAUGCCGAAUCGUUUGAGUAGAUCCUUUACGUACUUGGCUUGAUUUAUGAAAAUUCCUUCCUCGCUUUGUUUGAUUUGAAGUCCAAGGAAGUAUUUCAACUCUCCCAUCAUACUCAUCUCAAAUUCUUUGCUCAUACACAAUGAAAAUUCUUUACACAACAACUCAUUAGUAGAACCAAAAAUAAUAUCAUCAACAUAAAUUUGAACAAUAAGUAUGUCUUGGUUCUUAUGCUUAACAAAAAGAGUAGUAUCCGCUUUACCCAUAGAGAAGUCAUUUUCUAGCAAGAAAUUUUUAAGUCUAUCAUACCAUGCUCUAGGUGCUUGUUUUAAUCCAUACAAGGCUUUGAGCAACUUAUACACAUGAUUUGGAAAUUUUUCAUUUUCAAAACCAGGAGGUUGUUUCACAUAAACUUCCUCCAAAAUAUAUCCAUUUAAGAAAGCACUCUUGACAUCCAUUUGAUAUAAAAUAAAAUCCUUAUGACAUGCAUAUGCUAACAACAUCCUAAUGGAUUCUAACCUUGCUACAGGUGCAAAGGUUUCAUCAAAAUCAAUUCCUUCCUCUUGGUUGUAACCUUGAGCCACUAAUCUAGCUUUGUUUCUUACAACCACACCGGAUUCAUCCAUCUUAUUUCUAAACACCCAUUUAGUACCUAUUAUAGAUUGAUGUUCAGGUUUAGGAACUAGUUCCCACACAUUGUUUCUUUCAAAUUGAUUUAACUCCUCUUGCAUUGCCAUAAUCCAAGAUUCAUCAUUUUCUGCAUCCUCAAAGGAUUUUGGUUCAAUUUGAGAGAUGAAUGCAUUAUGCUCACAAGUAUUUCUAAGUGAUGAUCUAGUUGUUAUACCUCGUGAGGGAUCUCCUAAAAUUACAUCUUUAGGGUGAGAAGAGACAUACCUCCACUCCUUGGGGAGUGUUUGAGAAGUACCUUCAUUUUGCUCCACAUUUGGUUCUUCAUGAUGUUCCUCUUGAAUUCCAUGUGGUGCAUCCUCUUGAUUGUCAUUUGAUGCUUCUUCUUCUUGUUCUUCUUCUCUUGCAUCAUCAUCAACAACGACUUUCUUCGUAGAGGAGGGGUUAGACUCAUCAAAUGUGACAUGCAUAGAUUCUUCCACAACUAAAGUUCUUUUGUUAUAAACUCUAUAAGCUUUGCUUGAAUUUGAAUAACCAAAAAAAAUACCAACAUCGGAUUUUGAAUCAAAUUUACCAAGAUUGUCUUUUGUGUUCAAAACAAAACAUUUGCAUCCAAAAACUUUAAAAUAGCCAAUGUUGGGUUUUCUAUCUUUCCAAAGCUCAUAUGGAGUUUUAUUAAGAUUAGGUCUAAUCAACACCCGAUUUAAAACAUAACAAGCGGUGUUGACGGCUUCGGCCCAAAAAUAUUUUGGUAAUGCAUUUUCAUUUAACAUGGUCCUAGCCAUUUCUUGAAUAGACUUAUUCUUUCUCUCAACAACUCCAUUUUGUUGUGGAGUUCUAGGUGAAGAAAAUUGAUGCUCAAUGCCUAGAUUAUUGCAAAAACUCUCAAAUGCAUGAUUUUCAAAUUCUCCUCCAUGAUCACUCCUAAUGCAUACAAUACCAUGCCCUUUUUCAUUUUGUAAUUUCUUACAAAGCACUUUAAAUGCAUCAAGAGCAUCAUCCUUAUUGGCUAAGAAUAAUACCCAUGUAUAUCUAGAAUAAUCAUCCACUAUCACAAAAGCAUAAUAUUUGCCAUUUAGACUUGCAUAUCUAGAUGGCCCAAAAAGAUCUAUGUGAAGAAGUUCAAGUGGUUUUGAAGUAGAAAUAUGGUUUUUAUUCUUGAAAGAAGUUUUAAUUUGUUUUCCAAAUUGACAAGCUUCACAAAUCUUAUCCUUUUGAAAACCAAUUUUCGGAAGACCUUUAACUAAAUCAUCUUUCGAAAUUUUUGAAAUCAAAUCCAUACUUGCAUGUCCUAACCUUCUAUGCCACAACCAACAAUCAUCAUGCAAUGCCGAAAAAUAUUUAUCAAGAGUAGAUGCACAUUCUAUGUCAAUGAUAUAAACAUUACCACAUCUAUUUCCAACAAAUAAGGUUUUGCCAUCACAUGAGUUCUCAAUAACACAACUAAAUUUAUCAAAGAUAACUUUAUAACCUUUGUCACAUAAUUGACUAAUGCUAAUUAAGUUGUGUUUCAAGUUUUCAACCAAACAUACAUUCUCAAUUAGAGUUGAAGAAACUUUACCAACAUUUCCAAUUCCAAGGAUUUUUCCUUUUGAGUUGUCUCCAAAGGAUACGUCUCCACCAUUUUCAAUUUUGGUAAAGCUUGAGAACCAUGCAUAGUUUCCGGUCAUGUGCCUUGAACAACCGCUGUCCAAGUACCAUUUAUUCUUCUUCUUCUUCAAGCCCUACAAGAAAAAGUCUCAAGUUUUAGGUACCCAAAGCUUUUUGGGUCCUUGAGAGUUAGCAACGGUUCCUUUUGGAACCCAAAUGCACUUGACACCAUAAUAUGCAUUCCUUUUCACGGGACAUUUAAAUUUCAUGUGACCAUUUUGAUUACAAUAAUGACAUACAAUCUUAUGAUCAUUUGUGGAGGUAGCUUUAACAAAAUAAUUCUUAUAAUACUUUUGCUUCAAAUUUGGCUUAUAUCCAAGUCCUCCUUUAUCAAAAACACAUUUUUGUGAGUUAAGCAUAUUAUCCAACAUCUUUUGCCUAUUUGUAAAUUUCAAAACAAUUUCAUUUAAUUCAUUAUUCUUUUUCUUGAGCAAUUCGUUCUCAUUUUUCAACUCAUCUAUGUGUGAUUUCAAAUGCUCAUGUAAGAUGCUAGGUUUCUCAUUUGAUAAUGCAAUUUCAUCAUGCAAUGUUUUGUUUCCUACUUCUAGGCAUACAAUUCUUGCAUUUAGAGAUUCAUUUUCAUUUUUAAGCUUUGCCAUUUCCUUUUUAAGACAUACAUUCUUUUUACUAAUUUUCAUCAACUCAUUAUGCAAAUCUUGAAAAGCAUCAUAUAAUUCAUCAUAGGUAGGAUCACUUACCUCAUUGAGAUCAUCAUCUCCUCCUAUUGCCAUGAGUGUUAGGUUUGAUACUUCUUGCGAUCCUUCUUCAUCAUUUGAUUCUUCCUCACUAUCAUCCCAAGUUGCAACCAUUGCUUUCUUCUUGAGUUUGUUGAUAAGUGGGCACUCCGAUCUUAUAUGUCCAGGCUUCUUGCAUUCAUAGCAAGUGAUUGCCUCCUUCUUCUCCCUAUAGUUCUUGAAGUUUCUGAAAUUUCUUCGCUCUCCGGUUUUCUUGAAGAAUUUUCUGAACCUCCUUGCUAGCAUGGCUAGUUCUUCAUCAUCCGGUUCACUCUCCUCAUCACUCUCAUAUUUUGAAGCUUUGAGAGCAAUGCUUUUCUUCUUCUCCUCAUGUCCUCUUUCUGCAGCUAAAUCCUCUUCAUACGAAAUAAGAGAACCAAUUAAAUCAUCAAGAGGUAAAGUAUUUAAAUCUUUGGCCUCUUCAAUAGCGGUUCGUUUAGGUCUCCAUUCUUUUGGAAGAGACCUAAUGAUUUUCUUAACUUUCUCACUAUUUGAGAAGGUUUUCCCUAAGGCACCUAGGGUGUUCACUAUGUCCGUGAAUCUAGUAUACAUAGAAUACACAUUUUCAUUUUGUUCCAUUUGGAACAACUCAUAUUGACGAGUGUAUCUACUGAUUUUAGACUCUUUCACUUGAUUUGUCCCUUCAUAGACAACUUCAAGUUUGUUCCAUAUCUCUUGUGCACUUUCACAACUAGAUACUCUAUGGAAUUCUUUCUUAUCAAGGGCACAAAACAAAGCAUUCAUAGCCUUGGAGUUUAGAGACAUCUUUCUCUUUUCUAACUCACUCCAUUGACUCGAUGGUUUAGGAAUAUCAUCUCCUACUUCAUCUUUGAACGUAGGCAUGAAUGGACCAUCACAAACAACUUCCCAAAUUUCAUAAUCUAAGGCUUGCAAAUAAAUUCACAUUCUAGUUUUCCAAUAAGCAUAGUCAUUACCAUCGAAAAAUGGUGGUCUAGUUGUGGAUUGCCCUUCUCUAAAGGUUGAGUCAUUUAGGGUUGCCAUGGAUCUUUUACUCUAGACGAUUAAGUCUUAACAAGAGAACGAGGCUCUGAUACCAAUUGAAAUACAAGAAUGCAACCCAAGAGGGGGGGUGAAUUGGGAUUCUAAAAAAUUAUUCAAUUUAUUAAAGAAAAUCUUAAUGCAAUUAUAAAUCAAAUUCAAAGCAAUAACAAUUAAGAGAAUCACAAUAUAAAAAGAUAAGGGAAGAGGGAUUCAAACACCGAGAUUUUUACGUGGUUCGGCCAACCUCGCCUACGUCCACGCCUCCAAGCUUUCCGGGCUUGAGGAUUCCACUAAGCAAGCCUCCAAGGCUUCAAAUGCUUACACUUGACUUCCAAGGUGUCAAUGAACCUUUACAACAAGAGAUUAUCCCCAAUCUCUUAACCCAAGUGUAUCCCAACACUUACAAUCACUCAAAAUAAAAGAUUAUAAAUUGUUUUGCCUCUCACAAUAUAUAAGAUUACACAAUGAUGCUUAAUAUGUGAAUAGAUGAAGCAAGAAUAUGUUCUAAGCUCUAUGAAGAUUGUAUUCUCGAAUAUUAGCUCAAAUGGUCGUGUUGUGAUCAAUCUUCUUUGAAUUUGAAUGAGCUUAUUUAUAUUUGGAGCCGAAAAUCUAGCCGUUACAAACUGUCGGACAGAAAACGGUUCGCUGUUAACCAUAAACGGUUAACCGUUUAGGCUGGUCAAAGUUACCGUUGGGCCAGAUUUCAAAUAAACGGUUUGCCGUUUAGGGUUGCCCUUUCGCCGUUAACUUCCAGAGACCUGCAAAAUGAGUAUUUGUUAUCCGUUUACGCUAAACGGUUAAGGACUUGCGUGAAGUGGCUUCUCUGGACAUUAUCGGUUAACCGUUUGAUAUAAACGGUUCGCCGUUUGUCUCCAGUAACCUGCAAAACAAUUUAGCCUUAUCAGUUUUCGUUAAUCAGUGCCAGAGGAGGACAACCUUCAAUUCUGGACGUUAUCGGUUAACCGUUUAAAAUAAACGGUUCACCGUUAGGUUCCAGUAGCCUUCCCAUCUUGGGUGUUUUCCGGUAAGCAUAAACGGUUAGAGCUUAGGUAAUAUGUUGCUCUCUGGUGAUAAUCGGUUAACCGUUUAAAAUAAACGGUUCACCGUUAAGUUCCAGUAACCUUCCCAUCUUUUGUGUUUUCCGUUUUUCAUAAACGGUUAGAGGUUUAGGAAAUAUGUUGCUCUCUGGCUGUUAUCGGUUAACCGUUUAAUAAACGGUUCACCGUUUAUAACCAGAAUUACAUUUUAAACCAGUUUUUUAUUUUUGCAGAGAAUCUUUUUCUAAUUUUAAAGUCCAUCUUUUAUGAAGCAUGAAUUGAAUGAUUACUAAGGCUCUCGUUUAUUAAGAAAUAGCUCCAAUACUUUUAUAAAAAAUCAUUUAAAAUUUGUUAUCAUCAAAAUCAAUAUUAUUAACAUAUUUAUGUUAACAGAACUAUUACUCAUUUUCGUAAUAGUUGGGGGCUUAGGCCUAAGAUGCAAAGGUAUGCAUCCAACUUAAAUGACUAGUUUUUCACUAGUGAAUUUGGGACACACAACUCAAUAGAGAGAACACAGCACUCUCUCACAAAGCUUAGGCCCUGUUUGGCAUUAUUUUCUAAAUGAUGUUUUCAUGAAACAAAAAUGAGAAUGGAAAUGACGUUUUCAAAUUUGUUUUUAAAAUUUAAAGUGUGUUUUGUAUCAUUUUAAAAAAUAAUCUUGAAAAUGAAAAAAGUUAAAUACUUUCGAUAAGAAAAUCUUCAAGAAUUAUUAUUAGAAUAAUUUUCCUAAACUUAAAAUUGAGUAAUGAAUAAUUAUUUUUAUUAUUUAAUCAGUUUAUUUUUUUAAUUUUAAGAAUAAAUUAGGUGAUCCCAUUAUUAUUUUUUGUUUAAAGAAAAGUUAUAAACUCUACAUAUUUGAUUUAAUUAAUAUAUAAAAACAUAAAUAUUAUAAUGUAUAUAAAAAGAAAAGAUUAUUGUGGAGGAGGGAAAUCAAUUUUUUGGGAAUAAUAAUAAUAAUAAUGUUGAAAUUAUUAAUAUUUUUUGAGGUGUUGGAAGAAAAUUGUUCAUUUUGAAACUUAAUACUGUAUUGGAAAAUAAGGAAAACAAUAAAAAGCUGUUUUCCUAUUUCUUUUGUUAAAAAUGUAGAAUGAAUUUUAUAUUUUCAAAAAUAUGUUCAAAAAUGAUCUACCGAACAAGUAUUUAGUGUUUUCUGAAUGCAAAAAACAAGAAGCAGGAUUUGGAAACAAUACUAACGUACCUUUACUUGCUCUCAAACAAUGAUCUUGCAGAUACUUUAUUUUAUCGAAAUGAACCUCAAACAACUUUAUUUGCUUCUGGCUGUCAUUGACUCAUUGACCAUUAGCAAUAUAGCAUUAGGUAGUGCCCUCUCUUUUCUUUUUUGUCUUUGUCUUCUCCAAUUCGGGCUACAAAUGUUGCGAAGAAUUCCUUUUCCAUCUCCUCUCCAUUGUUUGGCUUCAAUAUUUUGGAGUUGAAUGGAAUCACAAUUUCUCACCUAUUGUCACACAAAGUUUCGAAUACAUUAUUAUAUAAAAGUGUAAGUUAAAAAAAAUUAGAAUAAAAUUUAAUAAUAUCAUAAAAAAAUUUAUAUUUUACAUCAUCCAAUUUUUGAUAAAAACUCAAGUAGAUAUCACAAGUAACGCAGCACCAACAUUUGAUUUUUUUCUACUUUUGUACCCAAUUUUGAGCCAGAGUUAAAGUAAAUAACUUUUAAUUAAUUAUGAAAAAAUAAUAAUAAUAUGAGAUCGACGGGUCCCAUCGAGAUUUUCUUAUCUCUUUAGUAAAUUUCCUGCAUAUUUAUUUUGCAUCAACCUUAACAUUGUAUGUGAAAAAUUUCUGCAUAUUUAUUUUGUCCUACGGAGACAAUAUUUUGAGAUUCAUAUACAAUUAACAUAAGGAAGCUUCCAAGAAAUUUCUGGGUGGACUUCAAAAUGAGAAAAGAAAUUAAAUUUGUUGGACCACCAUCAUGAAAUUUUAAAUUUUUUGGACCCCAAUCUGCCUUUGUCUUUUCAUCUGAUUGGAAGCCACUUGAUGACAGUGACUGAUCAUUGACCAUUUGGUGCUCUCUUCUCUUCGUCUUCUAAUUCAACUUACCCUCAUCAAAUUAAACGAUCAUUCUAGGCAUCUUCUUUGAAAUUAUUUGUUGCGACAAUCCCAUAAUAUACGGCAAAUAUCAAUCGCAUAAAGCAUACAAGGAUAAGUCAAUGUUUACGGGGAAAUAUAAAAAAAAAAAAUAUUUCACUAUAAAAAUAUAUAGUGAAAUAUUUGAUCAUUUCUCUAUCUACUCUAAAUAAAGACAAUCUGCCUUUGUCUUUUCAUCUGAUUGGAAGCCACUCGAUGACAUUGACUGAUCAUUGACCAUUUGGUGCUCUCUUCUCUUCGUCUUCUAAUUCAACUUACCCUCAUCAAAUUAAACGAUCAUUCUAGGCAUCUUCUUUGAAAUUAUUUGUUCCGACUAUCCCAUAAUAUACGGCAAAUAUCAAUCGCAUAAAGCAUACAAGGAUAAGUCAAUGUUUACGGGGAAAUAUAAAAAAAAAAAAAAAAAAAAAAAAUUCACUAUAAAAAUAUAUAGGGAAUACAAAUAUUGAAAUAUUUAUCACAUAAACCAAAUUCUUAAUAAAAUCAAGUUCUUAGAUCACUCGAAAACAUUUUAGUUAUCUCAAAGCUAAAGAAUUGCUUCUCAUAGAACACACGUUAAGUUUUCAAAUUGUUGGAGACUUUUCUAACACUGGCUCAUGGAUUCUGCAUCCAAUUUAUAGGCAAAUCUAGAUUUCAAAUGUCAAGAAUAACGGAAUCUAAUAGCUCGCAAUUAGAGCAUGCAAAUCUUGACUUUUAGAAUGCGAAAUCUCUGACUUUUAGGCCUGGUGAAAAAGUGAACAACGAACAUGGCUUGUUUCCAAUUGCACGAUAAAAAAAUUCUAGUGGACGGUAAUUAUUGAAACAUGAAUAACGAGAAAUAUUUUAGAUGGUGUAUUAAUUUAAAGAAAAAAACGUACUAAAAAAUCUAAGUCGUGUAUUGAUGCGCAUGGGAGUUGUUAAUAGACCCAAUUGUUGUAGUUAAUUAGAUGACUCAAUGUAUCGGCUUUGACUGUGAUCUGAGAGAUGAAAUUACAAAUAUAAAUGUGGGUAAUAAAAGAAAUUUUCUUGUCAAAAUCUUUAAAAAAUACGCUGAAAUGUCCGGGGAAAAUUUUUGUUUUUUUUUUCCCCUCAGACGUGUAGUUUGGGGCAAGCAAAGUUUUUUCUCUUCUAAUAUAAAUAGGAAAAUUAUGAUUUUUUGUCCUUCACAUCCAGAAAGGCUCAAGGAAAGUAAGUAAUCGUGAGUAUGAGUUUAUUGAAAAAUAUGCUGUGAGAUUAAUUGGUCUUUUAUUUUAUUUUUAUUUUUAUUAUUUUCUUUAGUGACGGUGGCGAAUAGUAUUUACACCUUUUUUUAAUAUUAAUUUUUAACCAUCAUUCACUAUUUCUUUUGUUUUUUUGGAGAAACGCGGUUCAACAGUAACCAUAAAGCUGCAUUUAAUUGUGGAGGGUGCACAAGAGUAAUAUAGAGUGUUUUAGUCUAUUCAGUGUGCAAAUAACCCAAUGUUAUAAGAGUUAUGAAUAUAUGUUGUAUGUAUUUGUAAUAUUUUUGUUUUGGGAGGGGCUUAUAUUAAUUUAAGAAUUCAACUUCAAUCUAGACAUCAAAAUAUGACCAUUUAUUUCGUUCAAUCAAUUAACCCACGAAUUUAUGGUCAGACCCUUGGAUUGUUUGUUGAUUGGAGAGGCUAAAAUUGAGUGGGAAAGUAAAGCAAUGAGGAAUAGAAAAGAUCUAUGGCAAAGAUCGAUGAACAGUGGGCAUGAUUUAAUAAUGAAUUACAGAUAUGUUGGCGUUACGGAAUAUGUUGUUGACAAAAUUAUGGAGUCUUGAUUUCUUGGGGAUGAAUUUUUUUUGUUUUUUCAAUUUAGGUUAGGAAUUGUUAUUUACUAGUAUAAUCGUUGAGGAAUGAGGGAAAAGAGUCGGUAUUCUUUCUCUCUUUCUUUAUUAAGUUUUAAUAUGUCAUCUAUGCUUUUUGUUUUCUGAAUCUUAUUUUAUUAAAGUUUUAUUAUCACAUAAUCAAUUAUCUCAUACCGUGGAUUGAAUUAAAUAAAUUUUCAAGUUUUCAUGCUUAGAUUACAAUCAAAUUCUUAAGUUAAAAUCCCCCUCCCGUUUGUUUUGUCUCUAAAAAAAAAACAUUGGUACUAAAAAAUAAAUAAUCUUAUUUUUAAUGAAAAUAUAAUAUUUUUAGUCUUCUAAUUUGUUUAUUUUAAAAGUAACUCAUUCACUGCUUUGUAAAAUCAAAAUCUCAUGUGGCAAUGAAUUUAUUUUACAAGAAGUAAUUUUAAAAAGUUUUUAUCAAACACUUAAAUUAAUCAUUAGCUUUUCAAUAUCACUUUUGAACAUCCCAACAACAAUCUCAAAUUGGUCAUAAAUUAUUUCGUUUUCUAGAUAAUAAAUGUAAAUUGAUGGAAAUAAUUUUUAUAUCAUAAAAGUAAAAAUAAUUUUAUUAUUUGUAUCAAAUUAAUAUUAUUUAGAUAUAUUUAUAUUUAAUUAUUAUGUUAGUAAAUUAUCAAAUAAUAUUUUUAUUCAUAAUAAGACAAAUUUAUGGUGUGUUUACUUCAUGGAAUGAGAAAUGGGAAUGAAGGAAUGAGAAUGAAACCCAUGUUUACUUGGCAAAAUGUAAGUUGGGAAUGGAAAUAAAAUGUGUGGGUCUCACAUAAUUUGGGAAUAAGGAAUGGGAAUCCCAUUUCCAUGGGGGGGUUGUGAAUGAAAAUGAGGGAAUAUGAAUGAAAUAUAUGUUUACUUUUGUAUCUCUCUAAUUUUUUCAUAUUUCCCAAAUUACCCUCAUUCAAAUCACAAUUAAUUUUAUUAUUUUAAAUGUCAUUAAUAAUAAUAAUUAUUAUUAUUAAAUUUUAUUAACUUUAUUAUUUUAGUUAUUAUUAAUUAUUUUUAUUAAUAUUAUCUAUAUUAACAAUAAAAAAUGAUAAAAAUAAUAAUUAAUAAAAAUAAUUAAUUUAUCAUUAUUAACAAUAUUAUCAUUAUUGUUGUUAUUAUUAAUAAUAAAAAUAAUAAUAACAAUAAUUAAUAAUAUCUAAAAUAAUAAAGUUAAUAAAAUUUAAUAAUAAUAAUGUAAUUUUCAUUAUCUAGAUACAUGUAUAAAUUAUAUUAUAAAAAUGAUAUUAAUUAAAAUAAUAAUAAAUGUUAAUAAUGAUAAUAUUAAUAAAAAUAAUAAUAACAAUAAUUAAUAGUAACUAAAAUAAUAAAUUUAAUAAAAUUUAAUAAUAAUAACAAUAAUAAUAAAUGUUAAUAAUGAUAAUAUUAAUAAAAAUAACAUUAAGAGUAAUUAAUAAUAACUAAAAUAAUAAAUUUAUUAAAAUAUAAUAAUAAUAAUAAAUAUUAAUAAUGAUAAUAUUAACAAAAAUAAUAAUAACAAUAAUUAAUAACAACUAAAAUAUUAUUAAUAUUAUUUUUAUUAAUAAUAAUAAUAACAACAAUAAUAAUGGUAAUUUUGUUAAUAAUUAUAAAUUAAUUAUUUUUAUUAAUUAUUAAUAUUAUGAAUAAUUUGGUAAAUUGAUUCUCAUUCUCAUUUAUUAUUCUAAUUUAUUUUGCCAAAUAAACAUAUCAAUGACAUUCCAGCACAUUUUUAUUUCUAUUUAUUUUUGUCAAAUAAACAUUAAAAUUUCAUUCUCAUUUCUUAUUUUCAUUCGAGUCCAUUCUUAUUUUUAUUUCUUAAAGUAAACGCACCAUUCGAGAAAAAUUAGAAGGUGUUUGCUAGGAAACUUAAGAGAAAAAUUAAUAUGGAACUGUCCCACCACUUGGGAUUCUUUCACGUAUUGUUUCAGUGGAUCUGAUUGAAUUUUAUUUUGAAAAAUCAAUUGAUAAUACUCGGAUGGUAUAGCCUGGUAGGGUGAUACUCUAAGCGGUCCCUUUAACCUUUUUAGUUGUCGUACACGAAUUAUUUCUUCACUUGAAAUAAAAGUCAACAAAGCUGCAUCUUCACUGAAAUUAUUGUCCACAGUGCUUCCUGGAAAAUGAGAUAAAGAUAAUUUUAAAGAAACUUUUAGGAAAUUUUCCGGGAAAUUUUUGCUUUUUCUCUUCAAACGUAAAGUUUGGGGGCAGAAAUGUUAAAGGUUUAAAGGUGGGUACAAUUAUUCUUCUUCUUGUUAUUUAAGCAUUUCCUUCCAUUCACAUUAGUCGGUCUUCAAUUAAUUUUAGAUAAGGAGAUGAAACUACCACAAAAUUAACUCCAAGUGAAGGACUACUAAAGUAGCCAUAUAUUCCACGCACAUUUUAUUCAAUUAAUUAAUUUAUGAUCACAUCCCACAUCAUAUUAUUAUUGUAUCAACUUGCACGGUCGUAACAAUUAACAUAAAUUUUCAUUAAAAUUAUUACAUUAAUUUUUAAAUAGAAAUAAGAAAAAAAUUCUUAAUACUGAAAAAACAUAAGAUGAAAUCGUGUGUCGUUUGUCACGAGUCAAACUUUUGAGAAAAAUACACGAAUGAAUGUGGCGCGUAAAAGGUGUUGAUGUACUAUCAACAUUUUCAUUUUAUUUUUAUUGAACUUUCAUAUAUUUUUUUUAUAAGCUGUCAUCAAUUAUUUGUUUCUUGCUCUGCGCGUGCACGACAAGACCUACUAUUUGCACCCUUUUAACCCUUUUAGUUGUCAUGCACUAUUUUCCUUCUUCACUUGAAAUGAAACAGUCUGUAAAGCUGCAUCUUCAGUGGAAUUCUUAUCCGCAGUGCUUGGAAAAUAAGACGAAAUUGAUUAUUAGUUGGGUCUUCCUAAGCUACAACUCAUGUAAUUUGAACUUUACAUGUUUCGCAUGAGUUGUAAAUUACAUAUUUUUACAUGUUUUGCAUGGAUUGUAAAUUAUAUGAAUUGUAAAUUAGCAAAACCCUUAUCACGAAACUUAAGUCUCAGGAAGAUUCCCCCUUCCAAGCAUAAUGUGUUCUUGAUUUCAUCUCGUCGAAAUUUCGAAGUUGGUAACUGCUUUUGGUAAUUAUAUCUUCAUCACUUGCAAUCUUUUAUUGCUUUUCCAAGUUAAUUUUUAGGGUAAGUAUCAUAAACCUCUGCUAGAUUUGAUUUAUUCACAGUUUCAUAGAUUGUAUUCGUAUAUUCUCAAAUACCUCCCUUAACGUUAGUAUAAUGUUUCUUUGAUUGUUUGUUGCAUAAUAAAUUAUCAAAAUACUCCAGCAAAAAUUAUUUUAUACUGAAAAUAAAGAAUUCUGUACCAACAUGUUUGAUUUGGCGCCAAGGGAUGUAAAUAUAAUUAAAAUACCAAAUCACCCCCCACUACUUUUUAAAAUGACUUUGAUGGAUGAAACAAACAAAAGAUUUGACUUAUGUCAAAUAUCAGCGAAUUCGAAAGGAAGCUUUUUUGCACUUUGCCUCAUUGCUCUGCUUUCUACAUCAAAUUUCUUUAAUCUUGGUGAAGAUUUUGGUGUCCCGAUUUGUGUCUCUCUCUCUAAUUUUCUAUUUUUCAUUUCAUGAGCACAUCUUCCCUUAAAAUUGUAGAGAUACUAUAUGAAAUCACCAAACCAUGAAAAUAUUAUAUUAGAGAAAAAAAACAAUUAUAACUUAAACAAUAUUUGUAAUCAGCAUUUGCACUUUCAUUCAUGGUUAAUUUCUUUUAUACAUAACGAAAGCUUGAUUAGGGAGAGAGAAUUUUAGUCGAUCCCAAAAGAUAUUCAUAAGAAGAAAAAAUUAUUGGCUAAAUUCAAGCCUUGAGCAAUAAUAAAUUUUUGGCCAAAUCGAAAUAUAUAACAACUUCAUGCAAUUUUAAUUCAGUUGAAUAAUAUAUGGGUUUUCAUGAUCACGUAUAAAUUUUCUCGCGCUAUCAAUUAUCGCGUCGCAGUCAGCUUUCUAUUAUCCAUUCUGCAUUCAAUCAACCUAUCAUAUUCUAUCUCUUCAAUUAAUUUAUUUCGUGAGCUUUGUCAAACUAAUCAAAUUAAUUCAUUAAUGGAGCAAAACCGUGAAGGAUUAUUUUUCAAACUUUUUAAGAAAAUAAACAUGUUAGCAACCAAUCAGGGGCAUGAAAAUGGUUGUGCAUAUAUAUCUUUGUUGACAAUUCCUCUUUGAAAUUAAUUGUCUUGUUUAGGUUAUAAUAGUAUUUUAUGUUAGAGUUAUUUUAUUAAUAAAAAAUUUAGUUAAAAAAGGGUCUAAUGAAUAUUUUGGAGGGUUUAAAUAACCUCACCUUUUUUUUUUUAUCAUUAAUAGAUGCUCUUAUGAUUUUAUCCUCACCAACCUAAUUUAUAUGAAAUAGUAUACUAUCGCUAGGGGAGAUAUUUAAAAAUAUGUGAAUAUAAUUUAUAAAUAGAGAAUACGCCAAAAAUUAGGGGAGGUUUCCGAUAAUUACCCUUUCAGUUACUCCUCCUCAAUCCGUCCUGGUGCAUGAACUUGAGGGAAGGGUCAGGUUCUGUGGUGGUGUUAAUAAAAAGAUAAAUUAUAUUGGAAAGUAAAUGGUGUUUGUUGGGAAAUUCACACCCUUUAACCUUUUUAGCUGUCAUUCGCUGUUUUCUGAUCAAAAUGAGUCAACAAAGUGAUUCAACUUCCAAGCACCGACAUAUUCCACAGUUCUGUGAUUCAAUUAAUGUUUUAUCUGAUCAAAAUCUAUCUAAUCAAUUGAACUGUUUCUGCUAUGGCUUCAGGUACCAGUACCACAAUUAACAUGUAAAUUAGAAGGAUCAUGCUAAGUUACGAUUUAUAAAAUGGGAUGUCCGAUAUACUUAGAUCCCACCAGUUAAUUCAUUGGGUUUAUUUUAGAGCAUCUCUAAAAAUUUUUAUAAAUUUUAUUUUUUAAAUAUUUAUUUACUUAUUUAUGUAGUAAAUAGAAGGGUGAAAAAAUAUGAUAUUUUUAAAAAAAAUUUUUUUAAAUAAAAUAAAAUAAAUAUUAUUUUAAUUAAAUAAUUAUUUUUUUUAAAAAAAAGUCAAUAGUAAUUAAAGUAUUUCUUUCUCUUUCUCUAAUAAAAAAUAAUAAAAUAUAAAUUGAUGAAAGAGAAAUCAACUCUCUAAAUUUAAAAAGUGAAAAUCAUUUCUUAUUUAAAAAACUUAAUUAGAAUAUCUUUUGAAACCUUAAAUAUUGAUGUGUCUCUUCAAAUAAAUAAUAAAAUCUUAUUUGAAAUUUUUUUUAAUGAUGCUCUUAAUUUUGCCUAACAUAAUUUGUACGGUAGGCGAGCCGAAGGUUUAAUAAAUCACGUGUUCAAUAAGAAGCGAUAAAAAAUUGUUAAACAUAAUUCUAUAUAUUAUGGAAGUGGUGUAAAUCGCGUAUUUAUAGAAAAAAGUCAUAUAUUGAUCUACAAGUGAGUGGUCAAUAGACACUCUGUAAUUAAUUAGAGGAGCUGUGAUUUGAGAUAUGAAUUUACAAAUGUAAAUUUCGGAGGAAAAAAAAAAUUUCUAGUCAAAAUCUUUGAAUACUGUAGUGAAUUGAAUGAAACUCGUCGCUUUUUCUGGGAAAUAUUUUAGUUUUUUGUCAUUGCCUCACAUUAGUCGGUCUUCAGUGGUCGUGAAGCAUCCAUAUGUCUCACGUGCAUUUCAUUCAAUUAAUUAAGUAUUAUCACAUCCCACAUUAUUGUUUCACCUUGCACCGUUAGAAUAACUAACAAGAAUCUUUAUUGAAAUUAUUGUGUCACUUUUAGAAAAGAGAUAGGAAAAAAGUUGAAUUCACAAGCCCAACUUAAUUAAAGUUUUACUGUCAUAUAAUCAAUUAUCUCAUACCUUAGAUUGAAUUAAAUAAAUUUUCAAAAUUUGAUGCUUAGAUUACAAUCAAAUUCUUAAGUUAAAAUAUCCCUUCCCGUUUGUAUUUUAUUUAAAAAAAUCGUUGGUACUGAAAAAUAAAUAAUCUUAUUAUUACUGAAAUAUAAUAGUUUUAGUCUUUUAAUUUGUUUAUUUUAAAAGUAACUCAUUCACUACUUUGCAAAAUUAAAAUCUCCUGUGGCAAUGAAUUUAUUUUACAAGAAGUAACUUUAAAAUUUUUACCAAACACUUAUAUUAAUCAUUAGCUUUUCAAUAUCACUUUUGAACAUCCCAAUAAGCAUAAACAACUAUUUCAUUUUUUAAAUAAUAAAUGCAAAAUGAUUGAAAUACUUUUUAUAUCGUAAAAGUAAAAAUAAUUUUAUUGUUUGUAUCAAAUUAAUAUUACUUAGAUAUAUUUAUAUUUAAUUAAAUUAUUAUAAAAUUAUUAAAUAAUAAAAUAAUCUUUUUAUUCAUAAUAAGACAAAUUUAGAGAAAAAUUAGAUGGUAUUCGUUAGGAAACUUUAGAGAAAAAUGAAUAUGGAACUGUCCCACCACUUGGGAUUCUUUCACAUAAUCUUUCAGUGGAUCUCAUUAAAUUUUAUUUUGAAAAAGGGUAAUUUUUAAAAACUCUCCUGAAGUUUGAGCUUGUUGUAAGUAGAUGGCGAGAAUUUGUUUAUUUGUAAAAAACCCCAUACCAUCAGUUAACUUUAACAUUGACCGUUAGUUGACUGUGCAAAGAUAAUAUUACCCUUAACAACAGUUUGUAGAUGGAAAUAACAAAAAAAAAAAUUAAAAUUGUUGGCUAUUUUACCCUCUUUAAAUUAUUGAUAUUUUCUUAAAGUUCCUACAAGAAAGAUAAAAUUAAAAAUUUGAAAAAUUCUCUUUAAAUUAUUGAUAUUUUCUUAAAGUUCCUACAAAAAAGAUAACAUUAAAAACUUGAAAAUGAAAUAAUUAUAAUUUUUACCUAUGAUAUUGUAAAUCUUUGGAAUUGACAAGGAUAAAAUUGUCAAAAAAUAGGAUUUGUUCUUUUCGCACCAAUAAUUUUAAUUUUUUUUAGUUAUUUUCGUUUACAAACUAUUAUUAAGGGUAAUAUUGUCUUUACAUAGUCAACUAACGGUCAAUGUUAAAGUUAACUGACGGUAGGGGGUUUUUUACAAAUAAACAGAUUUUCACCAUCUACUUGCAACAAGCCCAAACCUCAAUUGAUGGUAUAGCCUGGUAGGGUAAUACUCUAGGUGGUCCCUUUAGCGUUUUUAGUUGUCGUACACUUCACUUGAAAUAAUAGUCAAUAAAGCUGCAUCUUCACUGGAAUUAUUGUCUACAGUUCUUCCUGAAAAAUGAGAUAAAAAAUAAUUUUAUGAUAAAUUAUUUAAAUAUACUCAUAAGAAAUUAUUUUUUAUAAAAAAUGAGUGCUUAAAAUAACUGUUUAGAGUGCAAAUAAUAUCGUCUAAUUAAUUGAUAAUACUCCCAGCACAAAUACAAUUUCUUAAUAGGACACGUGUCAGUAGAAUUGAGCACAGAAGCGUGAUUGGAAAAGUCUAUGGUGGAUUGUUGGGAAACUUAUACCAUCUCCACCUUUUUAUAAGAAAUUAUUUUUAAUAAUAAUAAUAAUUUAUAUCAUGAGUAUUUUUAUGAUAAAUUUUUUAUAAAAAAUGAGUGCUUAAAAUAACUGUUUAGAGUGCAAAUAAUAUCGUCUAAUUAAUUGAUAAUACUCCCAGCACAAAUACAAUUUCUUAAUAGGACACGUGUCAGUAGAAUUGAGCACAGAAGCGUGAUUGGAAAAGUCUAUGGUGGAUUGUUGGGAAACUUAUACCCUCUCCACCUUUUUAUAAGAAAUUAUUUUUAAUAAUAAUAAUAAUUUAUAUCAUGAGUAUUUUUAUGAUAAAUUUUUUAUAAAAAAUGAGUGCUUAAAAUAACUGUUUAGAGUGCAAAUAAUAUCGUCUAAUUAAUUGAUAAUACUCCCAGCACAAAUACAAUUUCUUAAUAGGACACGUGUCAGUAGAAUUGAGCACAGAAGCGUGAUUGGAAAAGUCUAUGGUGGAUUGUUGGGAAACUUAUACCCUCUCCACCUUUUUAUAAGAAAUUAUUUUUAAUAAUAAUAAUAAUUUAUAUCAUGAGUAUUUUUAUGAUAAAUUUUUUAUAAAAAAUGAGUGCUUAAAAUAACUGUUUAGAGUGCAAAUAAUAUCGUCUAAUUAAUUGAUAAUACUCCCAGCACAAAUACAAUUUCUUAAUAGGACACAUGUCAGUAGAAUUGAGCACAGAAGCGUGAUUGGAAAAGUCUAUGGUGGAUUGUUGGGAAACUUAUACCCUCUCCACCUUUUUAUAAGAAAUUAUUUUUAAUAAUAAUAAUAAUUUAUAUCAUGAGUAUUUUUAUGAUAAAUUUUUUAUAAAAAAUGAGUGCUUAAAAUAACUGUUUAGAGUGCAAAUAAUAUCGUCUAAUUAAUUGAUAAUACUCCCAGCACAAAUACAAUUUCUUAAUAGGACACGUGUCAGUAGAAUUGAGCACAGAAGCGUGAUUGGAAAAGUCUAUGGUGGAUUGUUGGGAAACUUAUACCAUCUCCACCUUUUUAUAAGAAAUUAUUUUUAAUAAUAAUAAUAAUUUAUAUCAUGAGUAUUUUUAUGAUAAAUUUUUUAUAAAAAAUGAGUGCUUAAAAUAACUGUUUAGAGUGCAAAUAAUAUCGUCUAAUUAAUUGAUAAUACUCCCAGCACAAAUACAAUUUCUUAAUAGGACACGUGUCAGUAGAAUUGAGCACAGAAGCGUGAUUGGAAAAGUCUAUGGUGGAUUGUUGGGAAACUUAUACCCUCUCCACCUUUUUAUAAGAAAUUAUUUUUAAUAAUAAUAAUAAUUUAUAUCAUGAGUAUUUUUAUGAUAAAUUUUUUAUAAAAAAUGAGUGCUUAAAAUAACUGUUUAGAGUGCAAAUAAUAUCGUCUAAUUAAUUGAUAAUCCUCCCUGCACAAAUACAAUUUCUUAAUAGGGCAGAAUUGAACAUAGAAGCAUGAUUGGAAAAGUCUAUGGUGGAUUGUUGGGAAAUUUACACCCUCUCUACCUUUUUGGCUGCAUUCACUGUUUUCGUAUUUCUUCACUGGAUAUGAAAGUCAGGAAGAAAGCUGCACCUUCAGUGAAAUUAAUUUGUCCACAGUGCCUCGAAAAUGAGAUGAAAUUAAUAAUUAUUCCCGAAACUUUUUUGUAGGGGGGGUAGGAGGGAUAUAUUUUAUUUCAUAUAUUUACUUCUCCGUUUAAGAUCCUUCCACUACAAUCAAUGAUGCAACUUUUUGAACCAUUUCUCAAAUGGAAGGAUUUCAAAUAUCCCUUUCUUUUUUUUUUUUGGGACAGUUCAAUUGCUGUCUUAUUAAUUAUUAUUAUUAUAUAUCUCUCCUUUGAUUGUCUCACGUCUUUAUGAAAUAUUUUUAGAAAAGUAAAUACUAAAUAGCUUUUGUUCACAAAUUAUUUUUGUUAGAGCUCAUAAUUUAACCAAAACAAAAAAAGAGGACAAAAGCAGGACACUAUUGCCAAUAGUUAUGGUCCGACAAAUUUGAGCAUCGAUCAAGAAAGCAAAGGGUAGCCGGUAGCGUAUGAAAUUGCGCGUUGAAAUUAGGGUGCUUUUGGGGAAUUCUUUGACCUUUUUAACAUUUUUCUUUCAACACUUGAAUAGCGCGGAAUAAUUUCAAUUAAAAGUGAACAAAGCUGCAUUUUAAGUGAAAGUAUUGUCCACAGUGCUAAGGAAAUCAAAUGAGAUGAAAUUAUCAAGAAACUCCCUGGAGGGUUCCAAGCAUCGUUUUACUCUUGACAGAUACUACAGUCACUAACAUUUGCUCGAGAAAACUACGCCGAAUUUUCCGGGAAAUUUUUUGCAUUUUCUCUUCAAACGUAAAGUUUGGGGGCAGAAAAGUUAAAAAGUUUAAAGGCGGGUACAAUUAUUCUUCUUCUUGUUAUUUACGCAUGGCAUCCCAUUUAGAUUAGUCGGACUUCAAUUAAUUUUAGGAGAUGAAACUACCACGAAAUUAACUCCAAGUGAGGGCCUAGUAAUGCAGCCAUGUAUUCCAUGCGUACUUUUUGUAUUGUAAGCCCCUUGUAUUCUGUUUUAUUUUAUUAAAACUCUUACAGUACCAAUUCGUCCUUAUAAUUUUAAAUUCCCAAAAUACCCUCCAUUUAAUUAAAAAAUAUAAUAAUUAUUAAAUAAAUUAUAAUUAUAAUAAUUAUUUUAUUAUAACUAUAACUAUAAUUAUAAUUUUAAAUAUAUCAUUAUUAUUAUUAUUAGUAACAAGAAUAAAAAAUAUUAUAAUUAAUUAAUCUAUUAAUAAUAAUUAAUAAUAAAUUUUUCGUUAAAUUGUUAAUAAUAAUAAUUAAUGAUAAUUAUUAUUAUUAAUGAUUCAUUUUUUAAUAAUAAUAAUAAAAAUAAUAACAAUAAUUAAAAUACAAAAUAAUAAUUAUGAUAAAAAUUAAUUAAGGAUUUUAUAGUAAUUUUUUACAAUUUAACUCAUUCUGAUUUUCAUUAUAAGACAAAUAAAACACAUAAAUGCUAAUACGGCUCAUUAUAAUUACGAUUCAUGCAGUUGAAGUAAAUAAAUUUUUCUAAUUUCAAUUCCUCAUUUUGAUUCUAGCUAUUUCGAUUAUAACUCAUUAUGUUUCCAACUAAUUUCAAUUUCUGUUUAGUGAACGCACUAUAAAAUUAUAAGCUACUCUAUAAAAUUCAUAAUACUUAUGAAUAAAUUGUAAAUAAUAUAGAGUGGUCUAAUUACAAUAAUAAAAUGUAAAUAAUAUAAAAUUCUAAUUGAAUGAUAUCAUUAUUCAAAAAUUAAUUAUUAAUAAUAAUGAUCUAUUAUUAUUAUUAUUAACAAUUUAACGAAAAAAUUCUUAUUAAUUAUUGUUAAUAGAUUAAUUAAUUAUAAUACUUUUUAUUCUUGUUAAUAAUAAUAGUAAUAAUCUAUUUAAAAAUCAUAAUUAUAUUUAUAGUUAUAACAAAAUAAUAAUAAUAAUUAUAAUUCAUUUAAUAAUUGUUCUAUUUUUUAAUUAAAUGGAGGGUAUUUUGGGAAUUUAAAAUUAUAAGGGGCGAAUUGGUACUCUAAGGGUUUCAAUGAAAUAAAACAGAGUGCAAGGGGCUUAAAGAAAGUUUACAAUACAGAAAGUUGUAUAAUACUUAUGAAUAAAGUGUAUAUAAUAUAAAGUAUAGGGGCUGAAUGAAAUUUGACAGGGCAGCUGUAACUUACCUCAGCUGUAAGUUAGCCAAAACAAUGGAGUUAACUAAAGUGCAUUUGAAGUCCAUUAGGGAUAUUCUUCUAAUCUUCUCUUCAUUAUUUUGUUUUUGCUCUUUUUUUUUUAAUCCCAUUUUUAGACGAUAUAGAUGUAUAUGUUUGAUUAGUCCUUGUCGAUUAUAUAUACAUAUGUACUUUUGGACUGUCAUGGGACUGUACCAUUUGGAAAUAUCACAUUUUAUUUCCCGAUGCGAUAAAUUUUCUUCUCCAUUGAACGUUCUCUGGAUGCUAUUAACCAAAAAAUGCAACAUUUUGUUCUGUUUAUAAAUUGGGAUUAUUUGCUUCUGACUGUCAUUGACUCAUUGACCAUUUAGCAAUAUAGCGUUAGGUAGUAGUACCAGCUCUUUUUCUUCUUUUGUCUUUCUCUUCUCUUAUGUUAAACCAUUAUUCUAGGCAUCUUCAUUGGGAUUAUUCCAUCUGUACUUUACCAAAGGGGAAAAAAAAUUGUCACGAAACAGCGUGGAAGGUUCAGAGAAAAAUUUGCUUGUGUUUUCUUUUUGUUAAAUUCAAUUGGUUGAAUUUAUUUUUUAUUUUUUUAAAAUAGAAAACUAUAUUACAAAACUUCCCGGUAGGUUCCAAGGAACUAUCUAAUAAAGCAUCUUUAUAUAACCUCCAUAGACUCAGUCGCAUUAAAUUAUUUUCACAUCCCAAAUUUUCUCAUCUGAUCAAUUUUCUCAUCCACUGAACUGUCAUGGCUUCUUCUUCUUUUUGUCCACCUCGAAACGCUAAGAAGAUGUAUGAUGUUUUUCUGAGUUUCAGAGGAGAGGACACCCGUGACAACUUUACUAGCAUUCUUUACUAUGUUUUGUCUCUGAAAAGUAUCAAAACUUUCAUUGAUGACCAACUUAUCAGAGGAGAGAACAUUUCUCAUUCUCUUCUUGAUACAAUUGAAGCAUCGAGCAUCUCAAUUAUCAUUUUCUCACAAAGGUAUGCUUCUUCUAGAUGGUGUCUCGAUGAACUUUUGAAGAUCCUCGAAUGCAAGCAUAAUUAUGGACAGAUUGUGAUUCCAGUUUUCUAUCACGUUGAUCCAUCACAUGUGAGAUCGCAAAGCCAGGAUUCUUCUUUUGGGAAGUAUUUUAGUGAGCUUGAAAAAUGUUAUCCAGAGAAGAUGCAAAGAUGGAAGAAUGCUUUGACCGAAGCAGCCAACCUCUCGUUUACAUAUAUUGAACUAUAUAAUUGCUGUUAUUUUUUUACCAGGUCUGAAUCUAAACUUAUUGAGGAAAUUGCCAAUGACGUUUUGAAGAGGCUAGAUGCGACUUUUCAAAGUAAAAACAAAGGCUUGGUUGGAGUUGAAUGCCCCAUUGAAGAAAUUGAAUCAUUAUUACGCGUUGGGUCUGAGGGUGUUUGCAAACUAGGGAUUUGGGGCAUCGGUGGUAUAGGCAAGACAACAAUCGCUGGUGCUGUUUUUAACAAAAUCUCUAGACAUUUUGAAGGUUCUUACUUUGCGCUUAAUGUUAGAGAUGCAGAAGAAACUGGCGGAAUAAAGGACUUACAAAAGGAACUUCUGUCCAAGUUAUUGAAUGAUGGAAAUGUGAGGAACAUCGAGUUUGAACUCUACAGACUUGCUCGCAAGAAGGUUCUAAUUGUUUUUGAUGAUGUGACUCAUCCAGGACAAAUAGAAUCAUUAAUUGGAUGCCUUGAUCAGUUAGCUUCAGGGAGUCGAGUGAUGAUAACAACAAGGGAUAAACAAGUUCUUGAAAAUUGUUGGGUCAAUCAAAUAUAUCCGAUGAAGGAAUUAGUAGAUGCUGAUGCUCAUAAGCUUUUCUAUCAGUGUGCUUUUAGAGGAGGCUAUCUCGACGCAAGUUACACAGAGGUCACAGCCAAGGCAAUAAAAUAUGCGCACGGAGUUCCUUUAGCUCUUAAAGUUUUGGGUCGCCAUCUAUGCGGAAGGAGCAAAGAGGUAUGGGAAAGUGCAAUGAGAAAACUGGAAAUAGUUCCUCACAUGGAUAUCCAAAAGGUGUUAAAAAUCAGUUAUGAUAGCUUGGAUGACUCUCAGAAGAAUGUUUUUCUAGAUAUUGCAUGUUUCUUCGAAGGAGAGCAUAGAGAUGUGGUGAUAAGCUUUUUUGAUGCCAGUGGCUUCCAAGCUCAAAUAGAGUUAAGUGUUCUUGAAGAUAAGUCCCUCAUAACUUUAGACAACUUUCACCGGAUAAGAAUGCAUGACUUGCUACGAGAUAUGGGAAGAGAAAUUGUUCGAAAUGAAUCUUUCGAUCAUCCAGGAAAGCGCAGUAGGUUGUGCAAUCAUAAUGAUAUUUAUGAAGUUUUGAAGAAAAAUACGGUAAGCAAUAAUAACUUUUCAAUUGUAUCUUGUUUAUGUUACAUUUAUAUUAGUAGUUUGUCUGAAUUUUUCUUUUUGAAUAAGAAUAGCAUUAAUACAGCUUAAAAUUAAUUGAAAAAUAAUAUUAAAAAAUUGGUAAAAUAAAAUAGAUAGAUCCGAUGUUUCCCCAUCUCAGUUUGAAACAUGCCUCUAAAAUCCCCAGCAAACUAGCGCCUUCGGAGAGAGACACCCCCCCUCCAAAAAAAAAAAACACUUCAAUCUUAUUGCAUUUCCUUUUCAACUCUGCCCCUUUCCUUAUUUGUCACUAAAAAAAAUUGAUUGAAUUAAUUUUACAGUUUACAUAUUAAGCAUUUUCUUGAAUUUUCUAUUUUACACGUCCUAAAAGCCUUACCCAAAUAGUUUAUUAUAAAGUGAUUGUAAUAUCUCUAUUUGGGUUUGACGGCUUAAAAAUAAUUGUUCAUUUGUUUGCUUCAAUUAUAUACCAACUUAUGAUCUCUUAUUUGAUUGUUAGGGAACUGAAGCAAUCAAGGGCAUCUCUUUAGAUAUGGAUAAAGUCAAUAGUGAGAUACAAAUAAAUACUUGUACUUUCUCAAAGAUGACUAGAUUGAGAGUCUUAAAAUUCUAUGGAUAUGAGAACAAAUGUACGGUGUCUUCUUUAGUGGGUGUGCCAUUUACUGAGGUGAGGUAUUUCGAGUGGCAUCAAUUUCCAUUGAAAACGUUGAAUAUAUUACAUUGGAAGAAUCUUGUUUCACUUAUCAUGCCAGGCAGCAAAGUUAAACAACUUUGGGAUGACGUUCAGGUAUAUAUUUAUUUGAAAUUCUUUUAGUAAUAAAUUCUAAAUACAAUUGAUGCUAUAAUAAAUAUAUGUGAUGGCAUCUCUUUAUUUAUAGAGAUAACAACAACAACAACAAUAAUAAUAAUAAUAAUAAUAAUUUAUUUUGGGGCGCAGGAUCUUGUUAACUUAAAAGAAAUAGACAUCAGUGGAUCCGAGUCAUUAACGAAACUCCCGGACUUGUCACGGGCCAAAAAUCUUGAGAUUCUGGAGUUAGAAGGCUGUUUAAGUUUGAUGGAGACUCACCCAUCUAUUCAAUAUCUAAAUAAACUUGAAUUUCUUGGUCUAGGUAAUUGCAAAAGCCUGACGAGUCUUCCAACUAGCAUUCAUUCGAAAUAUAUCAAGGAAAUUAGUCUUUGGGGUUGCUCAAAUUUGAAGAACUUCCCAGAGAUCACAUCUUGUCAAACUUCUUUUUUAGAUUUAGGAGAAGUUGGAAUCAAAGAACUGCCCUCAUCCAUUGAGUGCCAGUCCAAUCUGAAACGACUACUUAUUACGGAUUGUUCAGAGCUUGAGAGCAUCUCGAGUAGCAUAAUUAAGUUGAAGUCUCUUAAAUCUAUUGAAAUCUGUAAUUGUUCAAAUUUUAAGAGGUUUCUAGAGAUCCCAUCUUGUAAUGUAGAUGGAGGUGCUGGAAUUGAGCAACUACACUUAUGUGUGUUGGUAUUGAAAGAAUGUCCAAAUAUUGAGAGUCUCCCAAGCAGCCUGUGUAUUCUCAAAUCUCUGACGUCUCUUUGAAUCAUUGAUUGCCAAAACUUCAAGAGAUUGCCUGAUGAGCUUGGAAAUUUAGAAGCCUUGAAGAAGUUGAUCGUUAAUGGAACUGCCAUAAGAGAAGUACCAGAAAGCCUCGGUCAGUUAGCCAUAUUACAGCGGUUGAAAUUGACUAACUGUUCAGAGCUUGAGAGCAUCUCGAGUAGCAUAUUUAAGUUGAAGUCUCUUCAAUUUAUUGAAAUCUCUAAUUGUUCAAAUUUUAAGAGGUUUCUAGAGAUCCCAUCUUGUAAUGUAGAUGGAGGUGCUGGAAUUGAGCAACUACACUCAUGUGUGUUGGUAUUGAAAGAAUGUCCAAAUAUUGAGAGUCUCCCAAGCAGCCUGUGUAUGCUCAAAUCUCUGACAUCUCUUGAAAUCAUUGAUUGCCAAAACUUAAAGAGAUUGCCUGGUGAGCUUGGAAAUUUCGAAGCCUUGAAGAUGUUGAUCGUUAAUGGAACUGCUAUAAGAGAAGUACCAGAAAGCCUUAGUUACUCCUAUUAGUAAAAUUGGACCUAUCUAGCAAUAAUUUGCAGUGAAUACCAGAAAGCCUUGGUCGGUUAUCCUCGCUAAAACGUUUGGUACUGUCUAAUAACAAUUUGGGUAGAUUACCAGAAAGCCUCAAUCAGUUAUCUUCACUAGAAUAUUUGCAACUAUCCGAAAACAGUUUGGAGGGAAUACCAGAAUACCUGAGGAGUCUUCCAAGUAAGUUGACAUCACUCAAUUUAUCUGUUGAGUUGAGAAAUUGUUUGAAAUUGGACCCGAAUGAGCUCAGUGAAAUCGUCAAAGAUCAGUGGAUGAAGCAGGUGUGUCUCUCAACUCACUCCUUUCAUUCUAUUUUCUUUUUCUUUUUACUUUAAAUCAAGUUAUCAUUAUUUUUCAAAAAUUAAUAAUUUUUUAUUUUUGUGUUGCAGUCGUUUGAUGGUAACAUUGGGAUUACUAAAAGUAUGUAUUUCCCUGGGAAUGAAAUUCCAAAGUGGUUUAGGUAUCAAAGUAUGGGAUCUUCUGUAACCUUGAAAACGCCACCAGCAGAUUUCUUCAAUAAUAAAAUAUCAGUAGGCUUUGCUUUUUGUGCUGUUGUGGCAUUUCCUGCCUCAGAGUGGUUUGAGGAUCAAAGAGUGAAGUCUGCAGUGUGCUGUGGUUGGAAACGCAAAUCCAAAUACUAUCCCUACCGUCAGUCUUUGGGGACAAUUAGUUAUGUUGAGUCAGAUCACGUGUUUUUGGGAUCUUAUUUAUUCUGUAGUGAGGAUUUAAGUAAGAGAGAUGACGAGGUCUAUAUUGAUGAGGUCUCUUUCGACAUUUCGCCUAGUUUUGGUUGUAAAGUGAAACAAUGUGGGAUUCAUUUUGUGCACGCUCAAGAUUCUACGGAAUCAAGAGAAGAGGAAGAGGAACCACACACCAAAAGACUGAAAUGUUCUUGAACUCCAAAGCAGCUGGUACUCUUUGGCACGAAAAUCAAUCUGUAGACCUUGUUUUUGUCUUCAUUUUAUAUAUGCGUUUUUCAAAUACGUUCGUUUAUGUAAAAUUUAUUAAUUGUUUGUUGUUGGAUGGAUGAAUCAAUAAAUUCAAAAUAAAUGGUAAUUAACCGAGGAUGUAGAUCUAUGAGUUCUCUCUUUGUUUUAUCUUUAAUUUGUGUUCGGUUCAUGUCUGGAAUAUCCCAAAAAUUACAUAUCCAAUUACUAACUAAAAAUGCGCUGAUUAGAUUAAAGAUUAUUUUAGUUAUUCUUACUUUUUCAGUUUUCAAACUUUAUAAGAAUAAAAUCGUUUUAUUAAGUUUUGAGAUUUGAAUUUAAACCAAAAUACAAAUUUACUCUUGAGGAUUAAAUUUACCAUAUUUUAAAUUAAUGACAAGAUGUAUGAUGUGAAAAUUACUAUUCCUAUGAGUAGUGAUCUCAGCAAGACAGUAAAGUACAUAUUUACUGAGUCAUCAUAUAGUACCGCGCUGUAUGUAAUACAGCAGCUUCAACAGUGAAAAAAAAAUUUGAACAACCGGUAUUUUACCGGUUGUUCAUCUAAAAUUUGUAAAAAAAUUAUUUCUAAUGUGAAAAAAAUGAGGAAAUUUAUAAACAAUUAAUAUUAAAAAGAUUUGAGUGAGAAAAAUAUUUUUAAUUUAAAAGAAAGUUAAAAAAAGAGUAAAAUAAUCAUGUUCCAAUUUUUUUGGUUAAAUAUCAAUAUAUUAGGUGGACGUUUCAAAUUAAUUUUACAUGUCCCUAAUUUUCGUUAAACUUUCUCACUAAUUGGUUUAUUUGUUUCCACUUCUCAAUCCACUAGUUUUAUGUAUAGUAUUCCUACUAAAUUCGUUAAAUGCAAAUUUUUUAGGUUAGAUUCCAAGUAAAUUAAUUUCUCGUUGAAUUAGUUCCUAAAUUUGGUUACACUUUCUCCCUUUUUGGUUUAUAUGUUUCAACUAUUAUUUCACAAAUUUUACUUUCAAUAUUCCAAUUUGCUUGGUAAGAUUUCAUUUAUUUGGGUUAAAUACCGAAAUGAUUUUUUUUUGUUAAACAAGUUCCCAAUUUUGGUUAAACUUUUUCAUAUUUAGUUUCACAUGUUUCAAAUUAUUAGUCCACUAGUUUUGUGUUAGGUAUUCCUACUAAGUUCGUUCAAUACUAAUAUUUUGGGUUAGAUUCCAAGUAAUUUUCAUUUCCCGUUGGAUGAGUUACUAAUUUUCGUUAGAUUUUCUCGCAUAUUGGUUCAAAUGUUUCAUCUAAUUAUUCCUCUAGUUUUGCAUUGAAUAUUCCUAUUAACUUGGACAGAUUCCAAUUAUUUGGGUUAAGUACCGAAUUUAUUUUUCGUAAUUUUAUUUUUGGUUAAAUAAGUCCCUAAUUUUGGUUAUAUUUUCUCCCUUGUGGGGUUAUAUUUUCACUAGUUUUGUGUUCAAUAUUCCAAUUAACUUGGUAAGAUUUCAUUUAUUUGGGUUAAAUACUGAAAUAAUUUUUUUUUGUUAAAUUAGUUCCCAAUUUUGGUUAAGCUUUUUCGUAUUUAGGUUCACAUGUUUCAAAUUAUUAGUCCACUAGUUUUGUGUUAGGUAUUUCCACUAAGUUCGUUUAAUACCAAUAUUUUGGGUUAGAUUCCAAGUAAUUUUCAUUUCCCGUUGGAUGAGUUCCUAAUUUUCAUUAGAUUUUCUCGUUUAUUGGUUCAAAUGUUUCAUCUAAUUAUUCCUCUAGUUUUGUGUUGAAUAUUCUCAUUAACUUGGACAGAUUCCAAUUAUUUGGGUUAAGUACUGAAUUUAUUUUUCGUAAUUUUAUUUUUGGUUAAGUAGGUUCCUAAUUUUAGUUAUACUUUCUUCCUUGUGGGUUUAUACGUUUCAAUUAUUAUUCCACUAGUUUUGUGUUCAAUAUUCCAAUUAAUUUGAUAAGAUUUCAUUUAUUUGGGUUAAAUACCGAAAUAAAUUUUUUUUGUAAAUUAGUUCCCAAUUUUGGUUAAGUUUUUUCAUAUUUAGGUUCAUAUGUUUCAAAUUAUUAGUCCACUAGUUUUGUGUUAGGUAUUCCUACUAAGUUCAUUCAAUACCAAUAUUUUGGGUUAGAUUCUAAGUAAUUUUCAUUUCCCGUUGGAUGAGUUCCUAAUUUUCGUUAGAUUUUCUCGCUUAUUGGUUCAAAUGUUUCAUCUAAUUAUUCCUCUAGUUUUGCGUUGAAUAUUCCCAUUAACUUGAACAGAUUCCAAUUAUUUGGGUUAAGUACCGAAUUUAUUUUUUGUAAUUUUAUUUUUGGUUAAAUAAGUCCCUAAUUUUGGUUAUAUUUUCUCCCUUGUGGAGUUAUAUGUUUCAAUUAUAAUUUCACUAGUUUUGUGUUCAAUAUUCCAAUUAACUUGGUAAGAUUUCAUUUAUUUGGGUUAAAUACCGAAAUAAUUUUUUUUGUUAAAUUAGUUCCCAAUUUUGGUUAAGCUUUUUCAUAUUUAGGUUCAUAUGUUUCAAAUUAUUAGUCCAUUAGUUUUAUGUUAGGUAUUCCUACAAAGUUCGUUAAAUACCAAUAUUUUGGAUUAGAUUCCAAUUAAUUUUCAUUUCCCGUUGGAUAAGUUCCUAAUUUUCGUUUGAUUUUCUCGCUUAUUGGUUCAAAUGUUUCAUCUAAUUAUUCCUCUAGUUUUGUGUUGAACAUUCCCAUUAACUUGGACAAAUUCCAAUUAUUUGGGUUAAGUACCGAAUUUAUUUUUCAUAAUUUUAUUUUUGGUUAAGUAGGUUCCUAAUUUGGGUUAUAUUUUCUCAUAUUUGGUUUUAUAUGUUUCAACUAUUAUUUCACUAGUUUUGCGUUCAAUAUUCCAAUUAAUUUGGUGAAAUUUCAGUUAUUUAUGUUAAAUAUCAAAAUUACUUGUAUUACCGGAAACAAUAAUUUUAAUAAGUUGAAUUAUGUUUGAACCCUUACUAUUUUGUAAAAUAUCAACUUACCAUAUAAUACUAAAAAAAUUUCAUUGUAACACUUAAUCUUUUCCAAUAUUUUGGGUCCUUAACCUAAUUCCCUUUUAUAUAUAUCAUGAGAUCUCUUGAACUUGAUUGUAUAUAUACUUGAGCUUUUAGUCUCUAUACAUAUUUAUUCUCAUUUUAUCAUUUUAGUUGAUUAUUUUUAGUUAUUGUUAAAAUAAAUUAAUGCUUUUAUUUUCAUCUCUCUUUACUUUUUAAAAUAAUUUUUUAAUUUUUCAAAACUUCGACAGCAAAUAAAAAAUAACAUGUAAGAGCGCAUGGAAUUGCUAUGCUUCUCCAAAAAAUUAUUUUUAAAAAUUAUGACGGCAUAAGUUAUAAAAAAUAUUUAAGCUAACAAAAAUUGAAACUUUCUUAAUCUAUUUGUGUUGAAUUUUUUUUUUUUUUUUUGGAAUCAAUUGACUUCAGGAGAUUUCUUGAACUUGAAAUUAUUUAUACUUAACCUUUGAUCUUUAUAAAUGUUAUGCCCAUUUUAUAAUUCAAUUAAUUAUAUUUAUUUAUCUUUAAACUAAAAUAAAUCAAGAAUUAAGAUUUUUUUAUUCAAAUUAAAUUUUUACCACUAUGUUUUCUUUUCAAAUUAUUUUUCUUAAUUUCUUAUUACUUCAACCAAAAAUUUAUGCUAUUAAUUAUAAAUAUUAAUAUAUUAUACUUGUAUUAUUAUCACUAUUAUUAUUUUUUUUACUAUUACUAAAAGCUUAAUAUUUUUACUAUCUUGCCCCAUGAGAUUUGUUAACAAUUUUUUUUUUAAUAAUGAGUAUCCUUCUUUUUUGUUUUUAAGUAUGGAUAUAAUUUUUAAUUUAUAUAAUAAGUUCUUAAAUUUUCAAGACUUAACUAAAAUAAUUUUUAAGAGUUUGUUAUGACUAAUAUGGUUAUGAAAAUUUAUUACUAUGGUAGCAACACUUUAUACCAUACCAUUUUAUAUUUAUUACUAUACCAAAAUUUGUUUAUUUAUUUUAUGAUUAUCCCAUGAACUGUGAAAAUUAACUUUUAUAUUAAAAUUGAAAAUUUUUAAAUUAGUAUUACAUUGAUCCAAUUCUACUAAGCCACAAUUUAUUUAUCUUUAACGAAUGCUUUAAACACAGUAAACGCAAUUCAAAUUCAAAAAUAUUUUGUAAAAUAAAAAAAUAAAAAUCAAUGCAAUCAAGAAAGAAGAAAAUAUAUUAAACAUUAAUUUUUCUUCCUAAAUUAAAUAUUGAAAAGAUAUUUUUCUCUAGUAGGUAAAUUCAACACCGUAAUUUAACAAUAAUGUCGACUUUUAUUUUUAAACUAUUUUUUUAUUACUCCGAAUUGCAAUACAUUUUUAUAGGUCAUAAAAAUUAAUAACCAAUAAUGAAAGUAUCUUUAUUUAUUCAAUAUCAAUAUUCAUUACUUCAGGAGAUAUGAUCAUAAAUUUGAUUAUCCCUAGUACAAACAAAAUAAGUUAAUCAUUUUUCACGACUUAAACAAAAAUUAUCUUAGUAGCUAAAAUUAUUUUUAAAAGCUUAAUAUUUGGAUGGAUAUUCCAACUAAUAUGGUGUUACAACAUAACACUGUGAUAUAAGAAACAACAUUCACUUAUAUGAUUUUGGUCUGCACUUAAUAAUGGAGUUUCACAUUAAUAAUUUCACUCAAAUUCGAAGAGUACAAUUGAACCUUUAGAUAUACUAAAAAGUAAAAAAAAUAAUACACAAAAAUCUCUCAUUUCAACUUUUCAAUGCUUGCUUGCUCUUUAAAGAUGGAGAAAUCAUAGAGUACCUGUAGAAUAAGAACUCAAUUUAUAGAUUAAAAGAAGUUAAAGAGAAUUGCUCAAUUGGAGGAUGAAUUAAACAAAAAUUAAGUUCAUUUACAACUGAAUUAGAUGGUAGCCAAUUCUUGUUCAUGACUCAACUAUAUAGCAUUAGUUCAUUCAAAAACUUAUAAUUUUUAACAUUAUUUUUUUUAAUUAAGUAUCAUUCUCGUUUAAAUAUCCCUAUAAUUUUUCAUUUACCAAAAUAAGUUAUUCAAUUUUUAGGACUUAACUAGAAAUACAAUUAUUUAGGACUCAACUAAAAGAGUUCUUCAAUUUUUAUCAUGACUAAUAUGGCAUUAAAAAAAUAUCUUGUUGCAAUGCCUGCCCAUAUUUUUAACUCUGGUUAGUGAGAGUAAAACAAUUUCAAAUAAUAAAAUUCUUAUUUUUACACCUAUGAAUAAAGAAAUAAAACCGCACCUGCUCAGCUGUAAAUUCCUCGGGCGCAUCUGAGUCAAAUGAAAAUUUAUAUUGUAAGCAUGCGAGUCAGUCGGGCGUCAGCGGCUUUAUUGUGAUGGGUGUGGCGGCAGCCAGCAGCUUCAAAUUUGCGAGAGAAGGAACCCAGAUGAAUGGGUUAGGCUGUGGCUAUGUUAAAAGUGUUAGGGUCUGUUCUGUUUUGUGGCUUUAGAAAAUUGGGAAUUUAGGGAUCGGGUUUGGGUUUGGGUGUUUGGCUUUGAACAAUUUAUGCUUUUUUCUUUCAAUUAUAAGGUAUAACCCGAUUAGCUUCAGUAAAUUCAAUCUCCAACCUUCUUCGUGCUUUGGUAGCGCAAGAGAUGAUGACUCUUUUAAACGGUCAACGACAGCCUUUGAUUGACCUCCACUUGAUUUAGCUCACAGGUCUAGGAUUUGCGUGCAGAGAAAGUGAGAUACGGAAACAGCUAGUGGCUGAUACAUAGGACCGUAAUGGGCGUAGGAAUGAAGACGGCGGCAACUGCUCGCUUGUUGGCUUGUGAGGGUUUGACGUGAGUGAGCGUCUUUGAUGGUUUAAGGAGAGCGGCUAGGGUUUCCAAAGAAAUGUCAUAAUGUGAGUAUUUAUAUUAUCAGUAGAAAUUGGAAAAAAAAAUAUGAAAGUUUUCAAAUUAAUAAAAAAGAUAAUAAAAGUUUGAUGAAUAAUAAAACUUCCAUAGAUAGAUUUGUUGUGACCAUUCAAAAUCUCAAAAUUCAUUUUUGUAAUUUGGUAAAUAAUAUUUUCAUUUUUACCUGCCAAGAUAAAACUUUUUUAUGUGAAAAUUUUACAUAAUACAUACAUACAUACAUACAUACAUACAUAUAUAUAUAUAUAUAUAUGUGUGUGUGUGUGUGUGUGUGUGUGUGUGUGUGUGUGUGUGUGUGUGUGUGUGUGUCUAUAUGUAUAUAUAUGUAUAUAUUUUGUUGAUAUAAAAUUAAUUAUUUACAACUAUAUUAAUAAUUUAAUAUAGAUGAGAUACACUACUAUGUAAAUAUAUUAAUAAUCAAAUUAUGGCUAUUAGUUAAUUUAGUUGUAAAUCAUUUGAGUUCAAAACAAAACAAUUGAGGUUUGAAUCUAUGGGCACAAAUUUAGUUGUUAUUAAGCUAUAUUGAAAAACAAUCAUAUUCAAAUUCAAUUCCUUUUACCACUAGAAUAAAAUUAUAUAUAUAUAAUUUAGUUAGAAGUAUAACGAAAACAUUUUUCACUGCACAUAAGAUAAUAUUAUAACAAGUUCAACAUGCAUAAAUAAAAAUAGAUUCAUAAGAUUAUAUUUCUCUCCAAUAGAAUAGAGAGUUUCAAAAGUAAAUUUAGUCAAACAUACUACUUAAUAUGAAAAUGGAUAUAUAAUUUUUAUAUUUUUAUAUGGUUUUAUAUAAUUUUAUUAUUUUUAGUUGUUAUAUAAAUUAACUUAAUUUUAGAAAAAUAUGGAUAUAAAUGUAAGAUUGAACAAAUUUUGUGAUAAUUGUGCAUCAUUCAAUAUAAAAAAUUACAAAUCAUGUAACUAUCUAGUGAGUGCAGUAUUACUCAAAUAAUUUGAUUUAAUUUAGAAAUAUAUUUGCCAUGCUUAAAUUAUUAUAUUGUAAGUACAAUAUAAUAUAACAUUAUUCAAUAUUAGUUGCAUUUAAAUUGUAAUUACCCAUGUCAUGUACCAAUAUGAAUUUGAUUAAUGUUUAACAAAAAAAUUAUUAUAGCAAAAAAGAUUAAAUAAAGUAAUUAAUUUACAUAAGUUUGUAUGAAUUAAUUUGCAUAAGAGAUUGUUUGUGAGUUUUAUUUAAAAAUAUCAAAUAUUAGAUGCUUUAUAUUUGUGGUAUAUAUAAAACAUAUUAAUGUUAGCCUCUAAUAAUAACAACAAUAUUUGAGGGGUAAUUACAUGUUUGGAAUCAUAAUAAUUCGAUAGUUGGAUGAACAUUACCAUCAUUUUAGUAGGUAGAGAUUUAAAUCCCUAUAUGUGUAUCAUGAGAUAGUAAGAUUGAUUUCUUCCAAAUAUUUAGAAAUAAAUUGAUUUCAUUAUGUGUUUAGAUAUUUAGAUUGUAAUGCAAUUAAAGAUGAUAAAAUUGUUUUGAUAGUUUCUUAAGAAAAAUAUCAUUACAUUUAUAACAUAAUAAUAAAAAUAGCUUAAUUAAUAUAUAAUUUAUUUUAAUUUAUUAUAUUUAAAUAUUAUUCUCAUUAGUACAUAAGUUACGUUUUUUAAAGCAAAAUAUCAUUUAAUUUAUAACAUAAUAUUAAAAAAUAAUAUAAUUAUAGUUUUAAAUAUAGUAGUUUAAUUAAUUUUAUUUAAUUAUAUUUUUUCAUUAGUACAUAGCUUAAAUAUAUUAACUAUAUUUUCCAUGAAUUAAAAGAAAAAAGAAGUAUUUUCAUUUUUUAAAGUUGAGGGGUUCUUUGAUAGUUUAAUAGUUUUGAAUUGCUUUUCUUAAUAUUUACCUAAAAUGAGGGAUCUGUGUGAUAGUUACCUUUUAAUUUUGACCUCUUUAACCAAUUAAAACGAUGGUACCGGUGGCCGGUUACCUGCUGAAUUAAAAAAAUAAAAAAAUGCGGCUGUACGAGAUACAGCGGCUGUAUUUUAAGCGGACCCAUACUACUUGUGAUAAAUUACAGGCUCUGUUUAACAUAUAAAAAUAACAAAUUUUAAAUAUUACAAACAAUAACAGAAUCAUAUGCUGUUAUUGUAAAUAAACCCCACCAUUCCGUUUCAAGUUUCCACAGUCAGUUCCAUUGAUCAUAUGCUGAAGCUACGGUGGAAUGAUAGAUCUUCUUUUAGUUUCCUGCACAUCGAAACUCUCUAAUUGGUGUGUUGUUUUUUCGUGAAAUUUCUAAUAUCUAUUAAUAAUUUCUUAAUGUAAAUGAGAAGUUAGUAGAUCAUGGGAUGAGAGCCGAAGACUUUUUGGCUGAUCUAACUCCUAUUACAAUCAAGUUGGUAACUGCAUUUGGUAAUUACAUCUUCAGUACUUGCAAUCUUUUAUCGCCUUUAGUAAGAAAUCAGAAAAAGGAUGUUUGGAAGCUGAGAAAAUUUAAGAACUGAAAGCUUUUAGCUCACACGAUUUUAUUCAUCUAAAACUUACUUAUGAAACUGUACACAGAGAUGCUUAUAUACACAACUGAUGCUCAGCUCAAUUAGUUAACUAAUUACAAAACUAAUUCUAGCUAGCUAUAACAACUUCAACUAAUUAUCACGUGAACAAGUGAUUACAUAACCACCAGGUGCCAGCUGGCAUGCCAUGUCAUCAACUCUUAACUGUAAGCUGGAGCUGCUGCUAUCCUCUGCUUUACAGUCUAUGCUACUGAUGUGUGCUUCCUUAACAUCCCCUCUCAAGCUCAAAGGUCUACUAACGACAUUGAGCUUGGAUCUAAAAAAGCUGAAUUUAGAAAAAGAUAAGGGCUUAGUCAGAACAUCAGCUACUUGUUCUUCAGUAGGAAUGUAUCUAACCUCCAAUUCUUUUCCAAGCACUUUGUCUCUAACAUAAUGAACAUCCAACUCUAUGUGCUUAGAUUUUGAGUGAAACACAGGGUUGCGAGCUAGCUCCCCUGCACUUUGGUUAUCACACCAAAGAACUGGAGUAGGUAGUUUAGCAAUGUUGAGUUCUGAAAAUAAAGACUGCAACCAAGAAAUUUCUGAGCAUGCUGCUGACAGGGCUCGAUAUUCACUUUCUGUGCUUGACUUUGCUACAAUUGCUUGCUUUUUGGAAGACCAUGAAAUCAGAUUGUUACCCAAGUAUAUACAAUAGGCUCCAAUUGAUUUUCUGUCGUCAAGAUCACAAGCCCAGUCAGCAUCUGUAUAGCCUGUUAUUCCAAUUUCCAGAGUUGCUUCCUUUCUAAGAUAGAGACCAUAGGUGAUGGUUGACUGGAGAUAUCGAAGAACUCUUUUGCAGGCUAACCAGUGCUGAACAGUAGGAGAACUGAGGUAUUGACUGAGCUUAUGAACUGAAUAAGCUAUAUCCGGCCUGGUGAGAAUUAGAUAUUGUAACCCUCCAACUAUGCUUCUGUAUUGUGUUGGAUUUUCGAACUCCUGACCCAAAGGACCCCUGACAUUUCUUUCUAGCUUCAAACCAGUACUAAGAGGAGUAUCAGACCCUUUGCAAUUCUCCAUAGAUGCUUUACUCAGCAAGUCUUUAAUAUACUUUGUUUGAGAUAGAUGCAUACCUUCAUCAAAGUAACUAACUUCAACACCUAGGAAGUAAGCAACUAAUCCCAGAUCUUUCAAGGCAAAUGUCUGACUGAGUUUAACAAUAAAAUCCUCUAGUAAAGCAGAAUCUGGUCCAGUGACUAGAAUAUCAUCCACAUAGAUCAAUACUAUGAUUAAGCCCCUUGUAUCAUGUUUAAUGAAUAGAGAUGUAUCAGCCUUUGAAUUAAGAAAUUGCCAAGUAGUUAGACAACCCUUCAAUUUUUCAUACCAGGCUCGUGGAGCUUGUUUUAGACCAUAGAGAGCUUUAUUGAGUUUGCAGAUGUACCCUUCCUUAGUUACAAAGCCUUCUGGUUGUGUCAUAUAUACGUUCUCAGAAAGAUCUCCAUUAAGGAAUGCAUUAUUUACAUCAAUUUGUCUGACUUUCCACCCUUUUAUAACUGCCAAGCUGAGUAUGACUCUAACUGUUGAAGACUUCACCACUGGACUGAAAGUUUCUGAAUAAUCUACCCCUGCUGUUUGGUGAAAUCCCUUUGCAACCAAUCUAGCUUUAUACUUGCUGACAGUUCCAUCUGUGUUAUACUUUGUUCUGAAUACCCACUUACAACCAACUAGCUUGUAUGUAGAAGACAUUGGCACAAGAGUCCAAGUGUUGUUGUGAAUAAGAGCAUCAUACUCAGUUUGCAUUGCAUCUUUCCAUUUAGGAUCUGAUAAUGCCUCAGGGACAGUGGAUGGUUCUAAGCUGUUGUGAGUUGUUAGAAAGGUCUUUGGUUUGAAAAUACCAGCUCUAGCUCUGGUUAUCAUAUGAUGGGUGGAAGUAGAAGGUUUAGGCUGAGAUGUUUGUGUUGUGCAGGGUAUUUGUGGUGCUGGUGACUGGGGUGCAGGUGAAGGCAAAGAUGUAGAGGUCUGAUUUGUGGGUGACUGAGAUUGAGGUGAAUUUGAUGAUAAAGAAUGAUUGACAGGGAAUUGAUCUGCUGCAGUAGCUUCAAGACUGUUCAGAUUGCUAUUAGGAACUGACAGAGUAAACCUUUGAAAAAGAUUAUAUUGAAAAUCAGAGGAAGUGUGUUUAGAAGAGGAAGAAAAAUUUGGAUCUGAAAUGUAAGGGAAAGUGGUUUCAUCAAACAAUACAUGACUGGCAAUAUAAAUUUUGCCUGAUGAAUGUAGACACUUAUAGCCCUUAUGUGAAGGACUAUAUCCUAAGAAGACACACUUUGAAGUAUGGAAAUGGAAUUUAUGGUUAUUGUAUUCUCUGAGAAAAGGAAAACAAGAACAUCCAAAUGUUCUUAGAAAGUUAUAGUCUGGUUGAUGAUGAAAGAUUGAUUCAUAUGGAGUUUUCAUUGCUAGAAUAGGUGUUGGUAAUCUGUUAAUGAGAUAGGCUGCUGUAUGAAAAGAAUCCCACCAGAAUUUGAUAGGUAAUUUAGCUUGUGCAAGAAGAGUAAGACCUGAUUCAGUAAUGUGUCUGUGUUUCCUUUCUACCAAACCAUUUUGGUUAUGUGUAUAAGGACAAGAGUGUCUAAAUUCUAUCCCUUCUUCUUGAAGAUAUUUGCUAAAGGAUCUGAAUUCCCCUCCCCAGUCAGAUUGAAGACAUUUAAUGGGCUGUUCUAAUUGUUUUUCAACUUGAGCUUUGAAAAUUUUGAACACAUGAAGAGUUUCAUCUUUGGUUUUCAGGGGAAAUAUCCAAGUGAAUCUGGUAAAAUCAUCCACAAAGCUCACAUAAUAUUUAUAACCUUGUGUGGAAACCACUGGAGCUGGUCCCCAUAAAUCAGUAUGUAAAAUGGCUAAAGGUUGUUUUGUUUUUGUUUCAGUUGCUGGAAAGUGUAAUCUAUGCAUUUUCCCAAAUUUACAAGCAUCACAUGAAUCAAACUCUUUAUUUCCAUUGAUAGGUUUGAAAGAGGAACAAGAUUGUAUUACAUGGUUUAAGAUCUUAGAGUUAGGAUGACCUAGCCUCUGAUGUAAUACAGAAGUGCUUAAAAGACACUUAGAGUUCAUACAAGGUUCUGCUGCCACAUUUUGCAAGCAGUGAUUAUUUGACUGACUGAGAUUGACAGUUGAUAGCAUUGACAAAGGAACAAAUGACUGAAAAGAAGACUCAAUAUUGGCAACAUGACCUUGAAAGGAAGACUGAGCAGAAGUUUUAUUUGAGGACACUAAUAGCAAUCUGUACAAGCCUUUUUCAGCCUUGCCCUGCAGUAUGAUCAAAUUCUUCACCUUGUCCUUCACAAAACAAGAUUUGUCAGUAAACUCAACUGUGAUAUUGUUGUCUUUGGUUAGCUGAGAAAUGCUUAUAAGGUUCUUGGUUAUUUGUGGAACUAAAAGUAUAUUGUUUAGUUUAAUCACAGUGGAAUCAGUGCAGUUGUGCAAUCUCAGAACAGCUUUUCCAAUAUUUGUAAUAUUCAAGCCAGUACCAUUACCAAUAAUGAGUUUAGAUGUACCUGUAAAUGAUUCAGAAAUCUGCAUAUUGUUCAUGUCAUUUGUGAGAUGGUGAGUGGCACCACUGUCAAGGUACCAAUUUGUAUCAGAUGAUCCUUCCAUGUUUGCCAGAUAUGCAGAUUUCGGAUUCCUGUUUGGAGGUGGUCUAUAAGCUCCUGAAGCAAUAAAUUCUUCCAGCUUCCAGCAUACAUUAGCUGUGUGGCCUAUUUUGAGACAAACUUGACAUGUAGGCUUAGAAGGAUUCCACUGAGAUUUAGGAUUUCCAGGUGUUUUGCCAUUAUUGACAGCAUUAUUAUUAUUCCAGUUUCCUCCUCCUCCUCCUCCAUAGUUUCCUCUGUAACCAUUAUUUCCAGCACUUCCAACAGCAAAACCAGAUGAUCCAUAAUUUCCUCUGUAACCACUAUUUCCAGAAUUUCCAGCAUUAUUGUAGCCUGUAUUAUAUCCAAGACUACCAAAACCUUUUCCUCCUGAGAAGUUUCCUCUCUUAGGUCCUCUAUUUUGUGCAAAGUUAGCUUCUAAAUUGUGUUUAACAUCCAUAUUAGCAAGUGUUGUGCAAAUUUUAAUGAACUCGCAAGCGCACGAAUCUAUUGUAGUGUAGAUCAAUGGUGACGAGUGUCGAUCCCACGAGGAGGUGGAUUUUAAUUGUGUAUAGAAUUAAUUUUGCAAAAUGGGUGGUUGGAAUUGUGGUGGAAGUGAUUUAAAAUAUGCUAAAAUUGGAAUUGCAAUGGCGAGAAUAAAUUGUAGAGAAAAUCGAUUAAAUUGACGUACUUGGGUAUCUGGAUCCGUAUCAACAUGCAUCAUGGGCUAAAUAAUCCGUAUUAAUGCCAAUUAAAUCAUGAUGGGGGAAUCCACACAUCAUGAACCACGCUCUAAUCAAUAUGGUGCUAAGGGCUUAUCGUGCCAAAUAAUAAUAACCUUAUACUAGAGAGCCGGUGUAACCAAGGCGGUAUCUAGACAAGAUCAGUAUUAUUUGUCGACGAGAAGUCAAAACAUCCACAAAAACUAGAGGGGAAGAGAAAAUAAAUUUACCAAAUUAAGCCCAUGACACAUGUUGAGACUUCACCUUCAACCCAAGCUUGAAAGAAAAUUAGCCACUCAUAAUUGAACUAGGGGCAAAAUGGGAAUUUAUUAAAAUACAAAGAAAAUACAAGAUGGAGAGGGAAUUACAGAAAAUGGAUCCCAAAAAUGGAUUCAGAGAUAUCAAAUUAAGGGGGGAAGGCCCCCUUUUUAUAGAUACAUGGAGUAAAUCAUGGCCAUCGGAUUAAAAAUAGUUUGGACGCUCAGGAUUGCGCCACGUCAUCAGUCAACAGUCCACGGUUUGACCACGCGGAUGAACAGUAACACGGUUUGACCCGGAUGAACAGUAACGCGGUUUGGUUGAAAAUAAUCCUGUGUGAUGCAUGCACCGUACGCGAGAUUUUUCGUCCACUGAUAUGCUGCCACGUCACCAUCAACAGUACAUAAGAAUUUUAGUCCAACAGGAUCGUGACACCUCAUCAGUCAAUGCCACAUCAUCGGUCAAUGCCACGUCAUCGAUCCGUCUAUGUGAACAGUGCCGUGAACAGUAACAUAUACAGUACCGUAUACGUGAAUAGUACCGUACAUGUGAAUAGUGCCAUUUUUCCUUUUAUGCCCCUCCUAAGGUUUUCGACCGUCCUGAGUUCAAAAGUGAUGUCUGUUUUGCCAUCUGAUCUCUCCUUUAUUGUGAAAUGACUAUAAUGCCCCUAAAAUACAUAAAAUACUUAAUUAAAAUAAAACACAUGUAAUUAAAUCACAAGAAGGUUAAAUACAUAAAAGUAAGGGUUGUUAAUAAGACUUGAAACGUAAAAUGACAGUUUUCUCCUUUAUAAAUAUGCAUUUUCUAACACUCAACACACCCCCCAACCAGCUUAUUGCUAGUCCCUAGCAAAUAAAGCGAAAACAAAAUUCAAAUUCAAAAUGAUUUUUUUUUUUUUUUUUUUUUUUUGAAACACUCGUGUUUAUUCAAUCAGAUUAAUGAUAGCAAUCAAAUAAAAAUAUAAGCAUUAUCUCCAGUCUAAAGCAACAUCACACCCACAUCAACCAUCCACAUGAAUUAGCCCAGUAGACUUUGUUAUAGCUACUUUCAAGAAUGACAUGUCAAACCCCAAAAUCUCACUGGAAGUAGUGACACUCUCACAAAGAAAUUAAAACCCAAUAAACAUAGUCACUCCAAUGAAUGGUAAUUGAGAGAGAAAAUAAUAAAGAAAUGAUAUCACAUGCUCUCACCAAGAUGAAAUAAAUAUGCCCUCAGCUUAGAAAUAAUACGAUCUCAAGUCAAAUAAAAUGUUAGUCAACCCACUUUAUUUAUCUUUUUUUUUUUUUUUUUUAUUAUGCAUCACUACAUCUUUUUAGCCCAUAUAACUAGCUUCUACUUCAAACUAUAGUUCCCUAAAAUCAAGAAGGACUUUUAUUAGGACGUAACGUAGGCUAGGGAUAUGGCUAACAAAGAAAGGAAAUAAGGAAAACAAAGUGUAUGUUUGAGAAAAAUGCAGAAUUUUUUUUUUUUUUUUUUUGGAACUUGCAAGGUGGAUUUCACCUAUUAUUGUUAUUUUUAUUCUUUUGAAACAACAACUUUUGUUUUUGUUUUUUUUUUUUUUUUUUUUUGCUUUUAUUUGGCAUAACUUCACUGAACAACAUAAUUAUUUACAUUUUCUCAAACAUAAAUAGGUGAUGGAACUUAAAAGACAUUGGGUAAUACUCCAAAUCGGAGUGGGUCAAGAUGAUAAGUUGACAAAGAAAAGGUUUUUGUUCUUUUUUUUUUUUUUUAAAGGCUCAAAAGGGGUAACUAUGGAUAUUUAAUAAAAGGGAUGGCUAGAAAGGCUCAAACGGAUCAAAGAUGGCCUUUCCAUCGUCUUUUAGGGCUCUAAAUAAUCAUCCAUAUCUACUAGUUAGAUGGGCCUCCCAAUGUAGCAACACACAUUUUUUUUUUUUAAUUUUACCAUUUUUUUUUUUUAAGGGUUAACUCAAAAGAAAUCUAGAGAUCGUGUAUAAAAUAAUAAACUACUAAGCUGUAUAGAGAAUGGGCAAAAGGGUUACUCUCCAAGAAAAUAAUAGGCUCAACUACUCACUUGGCACUUAUUUAUGACAUGUUCAUUCCUUCAAGCAACUCAUAUUUGUCUCCGACAUCAACAUGUAAAGUAGCAAACAUAGCGUAACAUCACUUAAGACCAAAGAUAAUACAAAUACUAAAAUUUGAAAUUAAUCAUGUCAUCCAAUGUUAAAACAAAUAACACAAAUUUUUUUUUUUUUUUUUAAACAACAUUCUACCCCCCAACCUAUUCUAAACAUGAAAGGAAAAUAUGCAUGCGGAAAUGUGAAAAUGAUGUAGAAAAAUUAAUUAGAAAAAGAAUUUUUUUUUUUUUUUUUAAACUAAGAAGAUGCGUUUCUAGAGGCACUACACUCCAUAUUCAGCCAUCUUCGACUCAAAAAUUUGAAACUACAUAUUUAUAAAGGAGAAAGAGGAAGAAAACAGGUUUUUUUUUUUUUUUUUUUUUUUUUUUUUUAAAACGAUGAAGAUGCGUUUCUAGAGUAACUACACUCCAUAUUCAGCCAUCUUCAACAUAAAAUGUUAGCAACUGUUAGUUUCUACAACAAAAAAUCAGUAAAAACUUAACCAAGAUUCCACAAUUGUCGACUAUUCCCUCCCCCCAACCAGAACGAAACAUUGUCCUCAAUGUUUUAAAGGAAAGAAGUAGAGUUUAGAAGACAUCACCUGGGUGGUGCAACACAGAAGAAAAUAUUUACAGGCGGAGAGUUAAAUCUAAUUUGUACUUCUUACUGCGGCUACUGUUACCAUCAUUAUUUGGUCGCUCCAACACAAAGGUCCAGGGGUCUGGCUCCGGUUUAUAAGCUUGUAACAUAUCAAGUAGCUCAUUAGCAGUGUGAGCACAAAUAAAGAGUUUUUUCACAUUAGAAGGAAUGAAAUAGUUUUUUAUUGCAUGGUUAAGAAAUGCGAUAAAGCCAUCAUAAAAGUUAUUGACAUUUAACAAACCGAUGGGUUUCUGGUGGAUGUGCAGAUGGGCCCAAGAUGCUAGUGUCAUAAGUGCCUCUAGUGUUGCAAGAUCUCCUGGAAGGAAAAUAAAAGCAUCAGCAUGAUUAAGCAUUUUAGUUAUUCUUUCUUGCAUACUUGAGACGACUAACUCUUCUCCUGUUGAUGAGUCAGACGAACUGCCCAAUGGUUUUAGGACUCUUGGGAUGAUGCCUAACACUUGACUUCCUCUGAUAAAAGCUGCUUCUGAGACCAUUUUUGAUAACCCUCGGUUACCUCCUCCAUACACCAAAUGUAAUUUUCUCGCUGCUAUGCUUCGACCAAGAUCUAUGGCUGCCUCAACGAACUCUUUAUGUUUGCCAUAGGUAAAUCCAGAAAGCACACAAAUGUUCUUGAAUUGUCUAUUGGGAGUGGCUGCCAUUGUGAUACUUCUCAAAAAUAAUUUGUGAGUGCUUGACAAAAAGUAAAUCACAUUUAAGAAUCUUGGUGACAGUGGAUCACAGCUGUGAAUGAGGUAACAUGUCAGUGUCAAAUAACGCGUAAAGCACGUGGCUCGCGAGUCAAAAAGAAAACAGUAAAAAGGAAAAAGCAAACAGUAAUAAAAUUAUUAAAGGCAAUAAUGCAAACGAUAAAACAAUAGUGAAAUAAAAUAACAGAAAGUAAAAGGAUAUUUACACGUAGUUGCGACUGUGGCUCACAUCUUCCUCUGGUUUUACGUCCAGAAACGGCUUGAACGCCCUCUAUGGGUCGAGGAUGGGCUUCCCAUCCAGUUUUCUUAUAAACUGGCAAACAGGGUCGUUUAUAGUCAGAUUCCCGAGACUAUAUCGUGCAUGCUCUUUCUGGAAUAAUGGCCAUAACCGGAGAAUCGCUCCUUGCACAUAUCCACUGGGAUGCGUUUCAAGAGACAAAAGGAUAUCAUCCAAUGACUCCUUAUUCAAGCCAUCCCUAAUGAAUUGAAUCUUAUCUUCCCUGUUAUCAGACACCAUUCCUAAAGAACAUGGGUUUCUAUCGCAACUCAUUCUGGCACACUUAUGACAAGCAACAGAAAUUCUUCGAGCUCGUCGUUUUCUUGCAUAAUUUCCUUUACCACAACCAGGCAUGUAUGCAAUAAAUUUAGGAGGUAACUCACCUGCCAAUCGUACUUUAGCCUCGAUUAACCAACGGAUGUCUGCAGGUAUGUUAUUCUUCAUGAGCAAUCGCAUGCGUUCAGACCGGGCUUUAUAGAUCGUAAGGAGGGCAUUCUGAGGAAGUGAAGGGAAUCGCUUGUGAAGCUUCGCUAGAAUCUCGUUUCUGUCCAUACCUUCGCCUCAGAAUGUCAGUUAUUAUGGGAAACUGAAGUUAACCGACUUGAUUGUCACGGAGUACCGUUAUCCGCCACUUCACCGGGGUAACAAACUAAAGCACACAAACAGAAAAACAAAUUAAAACACACAAAGAAAAUUAAAAUCGUCCUCUUAUUGAAUUUACCUCAAGCUCCAACUGGAUGUCGUAAACACUUCUCUCAAUGUCUCUGAGUUGGCGUUCUAAACCCUCAACAUAGGCUACUAACUCUGGUGGUUGUAGAGCCCAAAUGCGUUGUGUUUUACAAAAUUGAAUCUGCUUUUUGAGAUGAGUUUUGACACGUUGAAGUGGUUUAAGAAUGUUCAGAAGGAACGGUCUAAGUAUGGUACUCAUGAUUAACAAUGAUAAGAAAAAAAGAAAACUUAAUGGUAAAACAAACACACUUAUGCAAAAAUAAUUUCAAUUAGCAAAAGACUAAUAAAAAGAAAGAAAGAAAAAUCAAAUCAACAAAAAGAAAAAAUCAAUUCAAAUCUGGUGGGUCACUCAAAUUUAUUUCGGUGUCUUCUCCAUGUGGUUGGUACUCUAGAUAUGGCUUUAAUCUUUGACCAUUAACUUUAAACGUGACACCGUUCUUUGGGUCUUUAAUUUCAAUUGCCCCAUGUGGAAAAACAGUAUGAACAAUAAAGGGACCAGACCAUCGAGAGCGUAACUUACCUGGGAAUAGGUGCAAGCGAGAAUUGAAUAAAAGUACUUUCUGACCUGGAGUGAAAGAUUUUCUCAUAACGUGCUUGUCGUGGAAGACUUUCAUUCGUUGCUUGUAAAUCUUGGCAUUUUCGUAUGCAUCAUUGCGAAUUUCUUCAAGUUCUGCCAGCUGUAAUCUUCUUUCUGAGCUGGCUUGCUGCAUGUCAAAGUUGAAUUUCUUGAUGGCCCAAUAUGCACGAUGCUCGAGUUCCACAGGUAGGUGGCAAGCUUUUCCAUACACUAGCCUGUAGGGUGACAUCCCAAUCGGGGUCUUGAAAGCCGUUCUAUAUGCCCAUAAUGCAUCAUCAAGUCGUAAUGACCAAUCUUUCCUGUCUGGCCUCACCGUCUUUUCUAAUAUGUGCUUUAUUUCUCGAUUGGAGAUCUCAACUUGGCCACUGGUUUGCGGAUGAUACGGGGUCGCCACUUUGUGUGUGAUUGAAUACUUUGUCAAAAGAGUCUUGAAUGCUUUGUUACAAAAGUGGGCACCACCAUCACUGAUUAUCGCUCGAGGGAAUCCAAAGCGUGAAACAAUGUUGCUUUUCAAAAAUCCUAUCACCACUUUGUGAUCAUUGGUUCUGCAUGGAAUUGCUUCCACCCAUUUCGAUACGUAGUCAACAGCAACCAAGGUAAUACUUCCACAUUCAUUAAUUGUUCAUCUGGAAAUGACUCAUUUAAUAUUAAUGGCUCUGUAAUUGUGUCAAAAUGGAGACGAGAGAGGUGGUCCGCCACAACAUUUUCUGUGCCUUUCUUAUCCUUGAAUUCCAAGUCAAAUUCCUGCAAAAGUAACACCCAACGAAUUAGUCUAGCUUUUGCAUCUUUUUUUGUGAGAAGAUAUUUAAGAGCAGCAUGAUCUGUGAAUAUAAUUAUUUUACAACCAAUGAGAUAAGAUCGAAAUUUCUCUAAUGCAAACACUACUGCUAGCAUUUCUUUUUCAGUAGUUGAAUAGUUCAACUGUGCAUCAUUCAAUGUCAUACUAGCAUAGUAAAUAACAUGGGGAAUUCGAUCAACUCUUUGUCCUAAAACUGCUCCUACUGCAUAAUCAGAUGCAUCACACAUAAGCUCAAAUGGUAAGCUCCAGUUUGGGGCCUGAAUGAUGGGUGAUGAUGUCAACAAUUGCUUUAAUUUUUCAAAAGCCAUAAGACAUGAAUCAUUAAAGAUAAAAGGUACAUCCUUAGCAAGUAAAUUGCAUAAGGGUCUAGAAACUUUGCUAAAAUCUUUAAUGAAACGUCUAUAGAAACCAGCAUGCCCAAGGAAAGAUCUUACUUCUCUGACUGUUUUAGGUGGAGGAAGAUUAGAAAUGAGAUCCACCUUGGCUUUGUCAACCUCAAUACCUUUGCUCGAAAUGAUGUGACCGAGAACAAUACCUUGUUUUACCAUAAAAUGGCACUUCUCCCAAUUCAAGACUAAGUUCUUCUCGGUACAUCUCUGCAGAACUAGUGUUAGAUGAUGUAAACAUUGAUCAAACGAGUCACCAAAGACAGAAAAAUCAUCCAUAAAGACUUCAAGGAAUCGUUCAACCAUAUCAGAAAAAAUGCUCAACAUGCAUCGUUGAAAUGUAGCAGGUGCAUUACAUAAUCCAAAUGGCAUUCUCCUAUAUGCAAAUGUGCCAAAAGGGCAAGUGAAAGUAGUCUUCUCUUGAUCUUUUGGUGCUAUGGGAAUCUGAUUAUAUCCUGAGUAGCCAUCUAGAAAGCAAUAAAAUUCAUGGCCUGCUAAUCUAUCAAGCAUUUGAUCAAUAAAUGGUAAAGGAAAAUGGUCUUUACGUGUGACAGAAUUCAACUUUCUAUAAUCAAUGCAUACACGCCAUCCUGUAGUUACUCUAGUUGGUAUCAAUUCAUUAUCAGCAUUGGUAACUACUGUGACUCCUGACUUUUUGGGGACGACUUGUACAGGACUGACCCAUGAACUAUCAGAAAUUGGGUAAAUGAUACCUGCAUCUAAUAGCUUAAGGACUUCAGUUCUAACAACUUCUUUCAUGUUAGGAUUUAACCGACGUUGCAUCUCCCUAGUAGUUUUAGCAUUUUCAUCAAGGUGAAUGUAAUGCAUGCAGUCUACUGGGUUUAUACCUUUUAUGUCUGCUAUGGUCCAUCCUAAUGCCCCUUUGUGCUCUUUUAAAACAUCCAACAACUUACCUUUUUGUUCGUCAUUUAGGGAUGAUGAGAUGAUUACCGGCAGAGUACUUUCUUCUCCCAAAAAUGCAUAUUCCAGAGUGUUGGGUAAUGGUUUGAGCUCGAGUUUCGGUGGUGAUUCUGAUGAUGGGAUGAGUUUCUUCUCUGAUGGUGCUAGUUGUUCAACUCUUGACUUCCAUUUAUUAGUGUCCAUGGAUGGUGCUGAGUCAAGUAGGGCGUUGACCUCAUCGACCGAUCUGUCAAUAUCAAAAUCCAAACCAAAGUGAGUUAAACAUGUUUGUAAAGGAUCAUCACUAAUGUUUGAAAUAAAAGUAUUAUCGACUAUUGUUUCUAUUAAAUCCACAUCAACAAUUCCAUCAUCUGCACUGUGAGGUUGUUUGGCAAUGUUGAAAAUAUUUAGCUCCAUAGUCAUGUUGCCGAAGGACAAUUGCAUAUUUCCGGUCCUACAUUGAAUAUGAGCAUCUGCAGUUGCCAAGAAAGGUCGGCCUAGAAUAAUGGGGAUGUGCUUCUUUGAGUCCUGUAUUGGUUGAGUGUCAAUUACAAUGAAAUCAACAGGAAAAUAAAACUUGUCUACCUGAAUAAGCACGUCCUCCACAAUACCACGAGGUAUUUUCGUGGACCGAUCUGCAAGCUGUAACACCACUGGAGUUGGGUGUAAUUCUCCCAGUCCAAGUUUCACGAAAACAGAGUAAGGCAACAAAUUUACACUAGCUCCUAAAUCCAACAAAGCAUUCUCAAUUGUGUGGUUCCCUAUACUACAUGAGAUAGUGGGGGAGCCUGGGUCUUUGCAUUUUAAAUGAAUUUUGUGUUGGAGUAUAGAACUAACGUUUUCUGUUAAAAAUGCCUUCUUUUGAACAUGCAUAUUUCUCUUUUUAGUACAAAGGUCUUUAAGAAACUUGGCAUAAGAUGGAACUUGUUUAAUCGCAUCAAGUAAAGGGAUGUUAACACUUACCUGUUUGAAGAUUUCAAGAAUCUCACCUGUGGAUUUUCCCUUCUUUCCUUUCGCUAACCUAUGAGGAAAUGGAGCUUUCGGAACGUAUUCUCGUGGGUUGGUUUCUUCUUUCUCCUCCGGUGGUGAGUCUUCAACAUUCACAGGUACAAUUUGAUUUUCUUUUGUCACCGGCAUUUCCACUUUGUUGUCGACUUCUUUUCCUUUUCGCAAGGUCAUGACUGCUUUGACCUCUCCAUGCUGCUGUGGUGAACUGGUACUUGCUUCAUGCACUCCUUUAGGAUUAGGCACUGGUUGACUUGGAAACUUACCUUUCUCAACGGUUAUUGCCAAGGUCUGAACUGAAGAAGCGAGCUGUCCCACCAUCUUCUCGAGGCUUGAAACUGAUUGGGCUUGUGAAUUGAAGCCUGCUCUCAACUCAUUUCGUAGUCCAUCAAUAGUGCGGUUCUGUUGCUCAAUCGUAGAGUGAGUAACAUUCUUGAGAUUCUGGAAUGAAUCCUCCCACGGUCUGGGCUGAGUGUAGUUCUGGUUCUGAUUGUAUGGUCUGAAUGGGGGCUGAGAGGCUUGAGGAAUUGGUUGCAUUGGUGGAGCUGGAGUUGUUGGUCCAUUCUGUUGGAAUCCUUGAGACCAUGAAAAAUUGGGGUGGUCUCUCCAUCCAGGGUUAUAUGUGUUGGAGUAUGGGUUGUAAUUUGAUGGCUUUCUCAUUAUCCCUAUGGCAUUGGCUUCAUUUGAAUAUGAGUCAUGGUCAUGUGGUUCUGUUGAUUUAGCAGUCGAUAACGAUGCUAUUUGUCGAGCAAGACCUUCAACAAUCUCCUUGACUUCUUUAAUUCCCGAAGUUGACUCGCCAAUUUGAACCUCAUUUACUCCUUUAAUUCUUCUGGUAUUCCUGAGUGACCGACUCCGUUGUUGGGAAUUAUCCGCUUGUCGCUGGAAGAAUUCCCAAAUCUCUGAUGCACUUUUUGACAUUAGCUCCCCUCCACUUGUUGCCAUUAGCCAUUCUUGCACGUUCGACAAUAAUCCCUCCAAAAAGUAUUGGCAUUGGUGCCAUUUCUCGUACCCAUGAUGUGGACACUUCAAGAGUAGCCCAUUGAAUCGCUCCCAUGUUUCAAAAAACUGCUCGUCUUCUCUUUGAGUAAACUCUGAGAUUUCCCUGCGAAUAGCAUUGGUUUUAUGCACUGGGAAAUAUUUAUUUAGAAAUUUUGUUACCAUUUGUUCCCAUGAUGAAAUGCUAUUAGCAGGUAAUGUAUUAAGCCAUGAACGAGCUCUAUCCUUUAAAGAAAAUGGGAAUAAUCUGAGUUUAACAUCAUCGUCUGAAAAAUUUUCGUAUUUAAAAGUUUGACAAAUGGCAUGAAAAUCAUUCAAAUGAUUAUAUGGAUCCUCAUUUUCUAGGCCAUAAAAUGUGGGGAGACAAUUUAACACACUAGGUUUUAAUUCAAAACUCCUAGCAGCUACAUUUGGGUAUCUUAUGCAUGACGUGCUCAAAUUAGCUAAGGGACUAAAAUAGUCCUUAAAUGGCCUCUCCUGUGGUGCUUGUAAAUCCAUUUUAUUUUUAACGUGUUUGUGUGUGCGAAGUGUUUUUUCUAAUUCAAGGUCUAUAGGUUCAAGAUUUGGUAAUAAUGACCUACGACCAUGCAUGCAAAACAAAUAAAAUAAAAAUAAAGAUGCAAACAAAAUAAAAAUAAAGAUGGGAACAAAACAAAUAAAAAUAAAGAAGAGGGAGAAAUUACGAUACUAACCUUAUUGCGCUAUUACAACCUUUCUAUAAAAAUACACAAAAAUAAAUACGUGAAAUAAAUUAACUAAAAAUUAAAUUAAUAAAAUAAACAAAAAUUACAAAGAAAAAAAUAAAUUGAAAAUUAAAUUACAGAAUUUUAAAGAAGAGAGAGAGAAAAAAAUACUAACCUUUAAAUGCGGAUUUACUUUUUUUUUUUUUUUUAAUAAAAAAAAAAUACAAGAAAACAAAUAAAAGAAAUUAUUCACAAAAAUUAAUUCUAUGAAUUAAAAUUACUUACCUCCCCGGCAACGGCGCCAAAAACUUGUUGUGCAAAUUUUAAUGAACUCGCAAGCGCACGAAUCUAUUGUAGUGUAGAUCAAUGGUGACGAGUGUCGAUCCCACGAGGAGGUGGAUUUUAAUUGUGUAUAGAAUUAAUUUUGCAAAAUGGGUGGUUGGAAUUGUGGUGGAAGUGAUUUAAAAUAUGCUAAAAUUGGAAUUGCAAUGGCGAGAAUAAAUUGUAGAGAAAAUCGAUUAAAUUGACGUACUUGGGUAUCUGGAUCCGUAUCAACAUGCAUCAUGGGCUAAAUAAUCCGUAUUAAUGCCAAUUAAAUCAUGAUGGGGGAAUCCACACAUCAUGAACCACGCUCUAAUCAAUAUGGUGCUAAGGGCUUAUCGUGCCAAAUAAUAAUAACCUUAUACUAGAGAGCCGGUGUAACCAAGGCGGUAUCUAGACAAGAUCAGUAUUAUUUGUCGACGAGAAGUCAAAACAUCCACAAAAACUAGAGGGGAAGAGAAAAUAAAUUUACCAAAUUAAGCCCAUGACACAUGUUGAGACUUCACCUUCAACCCAAGCUUGAAAGAAAAUUAGCCACUCAUAAUUGAACUAGGGGCAAAAUGGGAAUUUAUUAAAAUACAAAGAAAAUACAAGAUGGAGAGGGAAUUACAGAAAAUGGAUCCCAAAAAUGGAUUCAGAGAUAUCAAAUUAAGGGGGGAAGGCCCCCUUUUUAUAGAUACAUGGAGUAAAUCAUGGCCAUCGGAUUAAAAAUAGUUUGGACGCUCAGGAUUGCGCCACGUCAUCAGUCAACAGUCCACGGUUUGACCACGCGGAUGAACAGUAACACGGUUUGACCCGGAUGAACAGUAACGCGGUUUGGUUGAAAAUAAUCCUGUGUGAUGCAUGCACCGUACGCGAGAUUUUUCGUCCACUGAUAUGCUGCCACGUCACCAUCAACAGUACAUAAGAAUUUUAGUCCAACAGGAUCGUGACACCUCAUCAGUCAAUGCCACAUCAUCGGUCAAUGCCACGUCAUCGAUCCGUCUAUGUGAACAGUGCCGUGAACAGUAACAUAUACAGUACCGUAUACGUGAAUAGUACCGUACAUGUGAAUAGUGCCAUUUUUCCUUUUAUGCCCCUCCUAAGGUUUUCGACCGUCCUGAGUUCAAAAGUGAUGUCCGUUUUGCCAUCUGAUCUCUCCUUUAUUGUGAAAUGACUAUAAUGCCCCUAAAAUACAUAAAAUACUUAAUUAAAAUAAAACACAUGUAAUUAAAUCACAAGAAGGUUAAAUACAUAAAAGUAAGGGUUGUUAAUAAGACUUGAAACGUAAAAUGACAGUUUUCUCCUUUAUAAAUAUGCAUUUUCUAACACUCAACAGCAAGCAUAUGAGUUUGUUGAUCAAUCCUAGCCUCUUGAGUUAACAGCAUAGCAUAAGCCUCAUUAACAUUCAUUUUUCCAGUUCCUACUUGUCCAGUGAUGUAAGUAGCAACAGAAUUAUAAUCAGGACCUAGACCAGAGAGUACAUGUAAAAUCAAAUCAUCAUUGCUUAAUGCACUUCCUGCUGCAGCCAUGUUAUCAGCAAUAGAUUUCAUUUUAAUGAAGUAUUCAGUCAUUUUAAGAUCAUCCUUUCUAGUGGAAUUCAUCAAAUAUCUCAAAUGUAAUAACCUAGACUUUGAUUGAGAUCCAAAUUGAGUUUCAACAGCUUUCCAUACCUCCAAUGAAGUCUCAAGAUUGAACACCAAACUGAUGAUACCUUCACUCAUGGAUGAAAGAAGCCAACCGAGAAGUAUUUGAUCUUGUGCUCUCCAGGUUGCAAAUUCUGGAUUCUCCACAGAUCUAAGCUCAUCAUCAUAUCUCUGAGCAAUAUGAGAAGGAGGUGGAGUGAUUGACUCAUCGAUAAAUUUCUCAAGUCUAUUUCCUCGAAUUGAAGCAAGCACUUGAGAUCUCCAGAUCAAAUAGUUUGAUUGAUCAAGUUUAACGGGAGUAUUGAAAGUGAAAUUGACUGUUGUUGAAUGUGCAGCGGUAUUAUGAACUUGAUUUAAGGAAGAGGCAAGAUUCACAGAUGCCAUUGUGGCUCUGAUACCAAGUAAGAAAUCAGAAAAAGGAUGUUUGGAAGCUGAGAAAAUUUAAGAACUGAAAGCUUUUAGCUCACACGAUUUUAUUCAUCUAAAACUUACUUAUGAAACUGUACACAGAGAUGCUUAUAUACACAACUGAUGCUCAGCUCAAUUAGUUAACUAAUUACAAAACUAAUUCUAGCUAGCUAUAACAACUUCAACUAAUUAUCACGUGAACAAGUGAUUACAUAACCACCAGGUGCCAGCUGGCAUGCCAUGUCAUCAACUCUUAACUGUAAGCUGGAGCUGCUGCUAUCCUCUGCUUUACAGUCUAUGCUACUGAUGUGUGCUUCCUUAACACCUUUCCAAGUUGAUUUUAGUUAUUUGUUCUUAAUAUGUCUAAGCGUAUGGACUUGAUGGAAGGUGGGGUUUAUUUACAGGUUCCGUCAUGAUAUUCUCCCGUGCCAUAUAAAUCAUCAUUGUUUUGCAAGUGCUCUACGGCAUUCUUUACUGGAUAGGCUAGCCAGGGUGCCUUAGAGGCAAGCGUCAAGACGGAAAUGAAAUAUAUCUAAAGCUACACACAAGCACAGGUUGGUCAUUUUAUCAUUUAUAAGUCUUCUAUCUCUUUUAACUUAGUCUAACAUCUUGUUGAACCCAAGCACGAUUCAUUUCACAUAGGCUUGACUGCUAUGUGGUCCAAACUUCAUUUGAAACAUUGGAAACUCCUUGGCAACGUUUUUUAUAUUGCAGAUUCUAUAGGUCAAUCCUGUUGCUGUGCAGUUAGGCACGAGUCAACAGCAAUGAUAGACUUGAAAGUAAUUUUUGCUGGGCAAGAGACUGAGGAAACAUUUUGUAUUUUGCUGGUCUGAUAGUGCUGUGCCAUAAAGCAAUUUACCAAGCAUAGCUUUACAAAUAGAUUGCAGAAUUAUUCAAGGUGUUCUGCAUUUUCCAUAAUUGGACCAACGAACUAUUCACGAGGCAGUAGUGAACGAGUGUUCUAUAUGGUGGUUUGCUUUAAAUACUGAACGAAAAAUGUGGUCCAUUGUGUUUUUUUUGUGUCGUUAUAGCUCUAAUCUUUUCUUAUGGCCCCUGUGUAGGUUAGUUAUAUGUUGAGCACAAUGAUGCUAUUUUAGUAGUCAUAAUUCCUGCAGCCAAGCACCCGAAACUGCUUCAUCUCAAGUUCUUACAUUUUGGAGCUGUAACCCAAGAUGUAUUAAAUAUAAUUUUCAUAAGCUUUAGUGAACCAGGGCAUUCUUUGCAGUUCUCUUCAAAUGACAAGACAUCUAUUGGGAUCUUACUUUUGUUGAUGAGAGGGUCUGAAACAGCUGGUGCAAUAAGUAAAAUUGAUUUUAUGUAGACUAGAAAGCUCUGCCCGCUGUGAAGGCUUUCCUGUUAAAUGAAGGUCCUCCAAAGCUGCACAGUCUGAAUCAGAGAGCUUCCUAGAAACUGCAUGGAGGGUAGAGUGCUGAGGGCACGAGAUAAGCUUUGCAAAUUUGCUGCAAAUUUGAGGAUAAGUUUCUGCAGCACAUUACAACUGCUGACUGCUGAGGUGAGUUUAAUUUGUUUUAGAUAUUUAUUAUUGUUCUUGCGAAUUUCCAAGUAGCAUAUUAAAAAGUUUGAUUUUUUAAUGACUUUGCUUAUAUUCUUUUCAUUCAUACAAUUUCAGAGUUGAAAAAGGAGAAAACCAAGACGUAAAUGAGAAUGUGAUAAUAUCCUCUCUUAAACUGAAGCCUUGAAGAAAAUUUCUUGAUUAGUAGCUGUCAUGAUGCGUGGUUCUGGUUGGAAAGCUGUUGCCAAUUUUGAGCGGUGUUUCUUUAACGAGAUCAAACAGCUCUCUUUGGACGGACAUUUUGAUUCGAUAAUGUCAAGAGGGAUUGUCUUGUGCCAAUUCCCUUCCUGAUCUUUUAAUCUUUUCAGGAUUUGCAAGUCAAGCAACCUUCUUGUAUUCAUUUUCUAUUCGAUUGUGUUAGAAGCUGAUGGCUAACAACUAUAUCUAUUAUACCCUGAGAUCUUUAAUAAUAGGUUUCCUCGAGCUUGCAAAAGACCUAUCACGGCUUUGUGUUGAUGAGGCAAUGGAACCAUCUGUAUCCGAAGCUCCUUACUUCUAAUUCUUAGAGACUUUUGCCCUUCUACCCUUUUCAUGAUGCUGGAUGUUCGAUUUUUUGUUUUGGUCAUAGUUUAGAUUCUUUACAUCAGAUAUAUUGAUGGGUCCUACAUGGAUAGUAUUGCUCUCUGUUUGGUGCAUGAUUUGAAUAUUCUUAUUCUACACUAAUAUAAUACCAAGGCAAUUCUUGUUUCUAUUUAUUGAUGAAGUUACUGGCUGACUUAUGAAACAGGUACGUAUAGUUCUGGUUAAGGUGGUUUGUGGUGCUGCAAACGCUACACCAAGCUUGGAAGAUAUCCUUUGUUCAAGAGAGAGGUGUGACUCUUAUUGUUAUGUCACAUAAUAUUGUUGUACGUACAUGCAUGAUUUGACCUGUAUGUGGUUCAAAUUUCCUUUUCUCCUUGUCACAAUAGUAUUGUUUGGAAAUGAGGCAGAGCAAGCUUGCUAUCAUGAACAGUGUCAUUUUCCUUUUGUUUAACAUUUUGGGAUCAAUGGUUGGAUCAAAACUGCUAAAUGGUUGCGAAGAUCUUUUCCCAAAUUCCUCUGAAAUCUGUUUGCUUUUACUAGAAUGGAAAUACAGUGCCAAGAAGAGGAGGUAAAGACUUGAUCUUCGAAGAAAGCAAAUGAGGCAGAGCAAGCUAGCGAUUCUGAACAGGGUAUACAUGCAGGACACGAUGGCUUGUACACUUGCUAGCAUUGAAGGAGAACUAUGAUGGAUGUGUGUCAAGAAGUAGGUAGUUAUAUCAUAGAGAAGAUUUCGACAGUUUGGCUGCUUUGCCAAUUAAAUUUUCACUUACAAGUUCUAAGACUUAUGUGACUGCUUGCAAUUGUUUUUUUUCCAAGUUGAAAAAGCAAAGGAAGAAAUGUUGAAUCAGUUAAAUAGCUGUGUCAGGUUGAUGCUCUCUGCAUCAAUUCUUGAAAGGGGAGGGAUGUAUUUUAUUUCAUAUACUUACUUCUUUAUCUAUUCUGUGCAUUGAUAAUAUUCCUGAAAUUUUCUUAUGAUAAUUUGCAUAGUGCACAAAGCAAAGCAGGGAUUAAAGAGCUUCUUCAGGAGGAGGGAUUGCUUUCAGAGACGGUCUGAACUCCUUUCUAAACUAACACGUACGCCAAUUUAGCACCCCAUGAUCUUUGCUGAUAAUUCAUAUUUUCACUGCAUAUUUUUAUUGGGUGAAAAGGUGCUUAACAACUCCAUGAUCCCACCAGCGCUUUGCUUAAACUUCACUUGAUUAUAAUCACUAGAAGAGGGUACGGGUUUGUGAUUGUGUACUUAGGACUAUGUAUAGUUUUCUGAAUGUUGUGAUUUUACGGUGUGUCCCUAUGUCAGAACAAUGGAUUUAAAGUGUAUUUGAAUUCCAUUUAUCAUAUUCUUCUAUUCAUCAUUUUGUUUUUGCUUUUUCGUUUUCAUUUUUCAAUCAUUGAUUGCCCAAAACUUGAGAGAUUGCCUGAUGAAAUAGGAAAUUUAAGAGCCUUGUCCUAUUUAAGAGUUGAAGGAGCUGUUAUAAGAGAAGUACCAGUAAGCCUUGGUCAAUUAACCUCGCUAGCAAAGUUUGAUUCUAAAUGACAAUCGCAACUUGGAGAGAAUACCGGAAAGCAUCAGACAUCUUUCUAAUUUGGAAUUUCUCGAAUUAAGCUGUUGCACGUCACUGGAAGCAUUAUCUGCAGGUUUACCAUCAAUUUCAUUCGAGUUAUCUGGAGGUUUAAUACUUAUGAUAAAUUUAGAUAGUAUUUCAGCAAAUUACAAGAUCUGUUUAACCUACCAAAUUUUAAAAAUUACAAAGAAUAACAAAACAGAACAGAGGUGUUCUACAUCAUUUUUAUUUCUAUUUUGGUGCCAUGUCUAGAGACUUUUUCUAGCAGCGAAUUUUAAACAAGUCAAGGUUGAGCGUUUGUUAAUGUUUCUAGAUCUCGAUCUGCUUUAAAAACUGAUGUGGCAUACAUAUUUUUUUUAUUUUUUAUUUGGUAAAGAAAUAGCUUCGUCAGUCAGUGUCAAUCGCUUGAAAAGUCUGAAUCUUUGAGAGCUCCUUAGAAACCUCACGACACUGUCAAGUUCGCACUGACUAGUGAUUCGCAGAACAAGUUUGGUAGAAUAGCUCUGCUAGAUGCUCUAGCUCCGCAGAUUCGCAAGUGUUUGAAAGUCCGGGUUCUAAAUCUGCUCCGCAGGUUACAAAUGAAAUCUCAAAUAUUUCAGGAUGAGUUAUUACAGCUGUUAAGGUUAAAGAGAAAAAGAUGGAUGAAAUUCUAAGCUUAAACCAAAGUACAAGAAUGAACAACAACCAAUCAAGAACUAGAGACUUAAAGAAUAGCACAAUACAACCAAUUUGAAGGAACAAUCAGUUCACUUUUAUUGAUAGAAUAACACAGAAAUUGACCAAGAAUAGAGUAGAAAAGCUUUACAAAGAAACAAAUUUUUCACAAAAUGGCUAAGUGAUUAUAGAGAACAAUGCGAAGAAACAGGGCCCAACGCUCAGCACAGAUUUUUGUAACAAACUCUUAUUAGAUUCUUAUUUUGUCGGUUAUGCACCUCAGUUUGGAUAAUGUAACAAAGGCCCCAAACUAUAUGCCUUUAUGACAUAGUCCAGCUGACUUUCAAUCUUUUGCAAAACAGCCCAGCAACAAUAGCUGGGUGAGUUGAUGGUCCGGAGCGCUGAGGGGACGAGAUCUCUGGCUUUGCAACUUUGCUGCAAAUUUGAGGAUAAGUUUCUAUAACACAAUACGACUGCCGAGGCGAGUUUAAUUUCUUUUUGUUAUUUCUUCUUGUGCUGGCAAAUUUUCAAGUAGCUUAUUAAAAAGUUUGAUUCUCUAAUGGUUUUGCUUACACUCUUUUCAUUUAUAUAACUGGAGAAAUGUGAAAGGCAAAACCUAAUACGUAAAUGAGAAUGUGAUAAUAUCCUCUCUAGAACUGAAGCCUUGUAGAAAGUUUCUUGAUUUCAAGAUAUAUAGUACUAGUUUUAAAUUUGUGAUACAGGGGAAUUUUCUGAGUAGGAUCUAACAGCUCCAUUCGCAUGCAACUGCAAUCAAAGAGCUGCCGUCAUCCAAUGAGAUCUUAUUAGUUAAAUUUGAGCUUAUUUACUGUUCAAGGAUUUAGAGGAUUUCGAGAAGCAUAUGAAAGUUGAAAUGUUUUUGAGAUAUUGCUCUUUCCGAUCGUUUAAAUCCGAAGAGGUUUCCAGAGAUCUCAUCUGGUAACACAAAAGGGUUUUAUUUUGAUGGAACUGCAAUCGAAGAACUGUCCUCAUCCUUAGUGUCUAUCCAGUUUAAAUUUAAUAUACAAGAUGACAUAUCUCGAGAAGCAUAUUUAAGCUUAAAUAUCUUGAAGAUCUUAAUCUCUCUAGUAGCAUAAAUCUAAAGUGGAUACCAGAUAUGUCAUCUUGUGUAUUAAAUUUUUAUAUUUAGAUGGAACAACAAUCAAAGAAUCGCAUGCCUUGAUGCACUGCAUGUCCCUCCAGACCAGUUACCUUGACUCUUUCAAAUUUUAAAAGGCUUAAGAGUCUCCCAAGCAGCCUAUACAUGUUGCAAUGUCUUUGAGAUCUUUAUUUCAAAUGGUUGUGAGCAAAUGGCUUCAUCAUUGCCAAUUUCACGGACUUACCUAAAAGUCUUGACCGGUUACUAUCUCUAUGGCAUUUGUAUCUAGAUGAAAACCAUUACAAGAGAAUAUCAGAAAGCAUUGAUGAAUUGGUUUAUGUGCCCUACGCCAAAGUCCUUGCUCAUUACGGGAGUUAAUUGUGCUCAUUAAGAUAUUCCUGUUACUAAAAUCUCUAUUUAUUCAAAUCUUCUUUGCCUCUGGCCAUUUUUUUUCUAAAUUUUUAUAGGAUUCAGGAACAUAUAUGAAUCAUUGUCAGUUCUUCGGAUUAGCUUCCUGUAUGCGUUGUCGUCCAUUUCCAAAUAAUAUACGACAGCUAAUUCCAAAACCACAGACCACAUUGUCUGUCGCUCUGUUUUGAGAUCACAGAUUCAACUUUUCAGUGUUAAAAAAUUUUGGAAAUGAUAUGUCUUUCCAUGGAAAAUAUGUGUUGCGUCGCGUUAUCAUUCAUUAUUUCACUAUUCUUUAGUGAAUUACUAUUUUGGUAUGGGGACGGCUACAGUAAAUGCAUGUAUGUGACACAUGCAAGCUAGGGGUAUUCGCGGAUCGGAUUUUACGGAUUGGACAUCAAUCCAUAUCCAAUCCAUGAUUUUGCGGAUUAUAAUUUUUCAAUCCAAUCCAAUCCACGGAUUGAUAAAAUUCAAUCCAAAUUCAAUCCAUACAUCUGCGGAUCGGAUACGGAUUUGACUCAAUCCAUAUCCAAUCCAUACGUCUACGGAUCGUAUGCGGAUUUGACUCAAUCCAUAUGCAAUUCAUCAUUUUGUGCAUUAGUUUUCGAAUUAAAAAUUUUUAGUUCUCUCCAACUAAUGAAAUAAAAAAAUCUAAUAUAAAAAUAAUUUUGCUACCAAUUAAAUUUAAAAUUGAAAAAAAUUUAAAUAAAUUAAUUGUUUAAAUAAAGCUAAAAUAAUACAUUUAAAGUUUUAAAAUAUAACACAUCGAGACUAAUUAUUCAAAUAAAGCUACAAUAAUACGUUCAAAGUUUCAAAAUAUAACACACCAAGUUUAAUUGUUCAAAUAAAGUUACAAUAAUACGUUAAUAUAACACCGAAAUUAAUUGUUCAAAUAAAGCCACAAUUAAUUGAAAUGACGAAGUUUCGGAAACCAAACACAAUCUGAUCAUUCACCAGGGCUGUUGUACCUAUUGAAAAGUGGUGAUUACGGAGCCAUCUACGAUGGGAACCAGGAGAAGCCGUACGGGUGGCGAUCUUGAAGGUUGUGAUAGUGAAAUUGUUCAGUUAGAACCAGUGAAUGUGAAGUGGCUCGAUGGACUUGGGAAAGAAGAUGGCUUGCUCUCGCCAGAAUCGCGUGGCCGAUAUCCUUUAAAUCUGUGUCGAGAGUGUAUCCAACCAGUAUUGAGUGUUGCUAGUGUGUGUGACGGCGGGGAAGCUUAGGGUUUUUUGUUUGUAAAUUGUUGGUCACUUGGUGUUAUGUUACUUUGCUUUUAUUUUAUUUUACAAUUUUUACAAGUUAUAUUUGUAUAUUUGAUUAUUUAAUUAUUUUUCAUUUUAUAUUAUUAUUGGGCAAUGGUUAAGAUAUGUUAUAAUGCUUAGUAACUAUGCAAUGUCACAUUUGUAAUUUUUUAAUUUUAUAUAUAUAUAUAUAUAUAGAUAUAUUUUUUUUUUUUUACGGAUUCACGGAUUUAUGCGGAUUUACAGAAGUAAAUCCAUAUCCAAUCCAUCGACUGCGGAUUUUUAAAUUUUCAAUUCAUAUCCAAUCCACCAAUCCACGGAUCGGAUUUAUACGGAUCGGAUUCAGCGGAUCGGACGGAUUGAGCGGAUCGGAUUGGAUUCUGAACACCCCUAAUGCAAGCAAUAAAAAAAGGAAAAGGGUUAUUAUCAAAAACCUCCCUUGAGGUUUAGCGUAUUCUCAGUUUGAGAGAUUGGAUUCACGUAUUAUCAGCCACCUCCCCUGACGUUAGUAUACCGUUUAGUAUAAUUUGAGUUGGUGAGGAUAAAAUGGUAAUAGAACUCAUUAAUAAUAAAAAAUUCUAACAAACUUUAAAUUAUCACAUUCGAAUCGAGAAUGAUUUGAAGUUUGUUCAAAUCCAUUGGGUUUAAAAUCGAAGCAAGCAUUUAACCAAAAGAUAUUACCACUCUACCAAAAAAAAAAAAAUGGUUUGAUGUUCGUUCAUAUCCAUUGAGUAAAAACCAGAAGCAAGCAUUUAACCAAAAGAUACUAUCAAUCCACCUAAAAAGAAAGAGAAAUGGGUAUCUCCUUGCUCAGCUCAAACCAAUGCUACCGAGAACAACAUUCCAUCCAUUUUCUCCAUCUCUGUUAUGCUUUAGUAGAGAAAGAGUGCCAUAAGCAAGAAACAAUGACGACAAACCUGAAGACGCCAACACCAGGAACAACUGAAUCACGACCGCCAGGUGAAAGAAGACUGACCAGUGAGUUUCGUCGUCGACCCACAAACAACCCCAACUCGUCUGAGCCACGAAAAGGGUAUGAAAAUAAGCACACAUUUUAUAAAAGCAAAACCCAUAACCUCACUUGUUCAUGCUUUGAAACGAUGAUGUAAUAAUUAUUGCUUCGUAUGUGUGCUGUUAAAGUGGCCAAAUUUUUUUUUUUUGAACUUCUUUCGAACAUUUAGUAACGAGAUUAUGGUUUCAGAUCCCCAGUUGAGCAAUUCCCUGUUUCGUUGGAUAAAGAGGCUGAAUUUGAGUGGUUUGACCUUGCUGAAGUGAAUGAAAUUAUAGUGCCUGACUUGAAUGAAGCCGUAAUAACUUCAGAAUUUGAGAGCAAUAGUGUUAUUGUAGAAGAUUCAUUCAAAAAGCGGCAGCCAAUUGAGAUUGUACGAGAUGGGUCAGCCAAGAAUAUAACUGUUGAUGACUAUGUAGGGUGUGAAGAAAUAGUGGACAGUGAUAGUGGGGAUGAUGCUGGAAAUAAUAAUACUUGGGAUGCUGGUUUAGAUGACUACGAAUCAGCAGAUUAUAGUGGUUCAAACUCAGAUAUGUUGUCAGAUGAUGAAGUUCAGGAUGCGUGUAAUAGAUAUGAGGCCAAUUCAGAGGGUUUUGAGUUCAAUAUAGAUGGGGAAAUGAUUAUGUUGAGGGUUGGAGCAGUGUAUAGGAACGUGGAUGAGUUUAGGAAUGUGGUGAAAGUUUUUGCGAUACAAAAUGGUUUUAGGCUAAAAAGGGUAAAAAUGAAAAGAGUAGAGUCACACUGGCAUGUGCAGCAGUAUGUUGUACUUGGAGGGUUCACGCAAGUCCAAAUUGGAAUGGUAAACACUUUCAAAUCAAAACAUUCCGGCCUGAACACAUUUGUGCUAGAGGUAAUGAUAACUACGAAGCAAAUUCAACUUAGAUUGCUGCAACAUUUCUUCAUCUAUUUAGAGCCAACCCUCAGCUAAACAUUGAAGUAAUAGCAAGUGAGCUGCUUAGGAGAUUUGGUAUUAAAUGCAGUAAUCAGCAGUUGUAUAGGGCUAACAACAAGGCAUUGGAGCUGUUAGGGCAGGAUCAUAAGGCCAGUUAUACCAAACUAUACAGGUAUAUGCAUGCAAUUCUCAUCUCUAAUCCUGGUUCAACUGUAACUAUAGAUAGAGAUUGGUUAGGUGGUGGGCAGAACCCUCAUUUUAAAAAGUUCUUUGUUAUGUUUGAUGCAAAUAGGAGGGGGUUCUUUGAGGGAUGUAGACAGUUUACAGGGCUUGAUGGUUGUCAUCUAAAGGGGUUAUAUAAAGGUGUAUUGUUGUCUGCAGUUAGUAUAGAUGCUAAUAAUGGUAUCUACCCACUAGCAAUGUGUGUUGUUGAGAGUGAAAAUACUAACUCUUGGGUGUACUUUAUGAAUAAAUUAUAUGAGCAAAUAGGCUGUAAUGAUGGUAGUGGGUUGUGUUUCAUGAGUGAUAGGCAGAAGGGAAUUUUAAAUGCUUUGGAGAUAGUGUUUCCUGAAUCUUUGAAAAGGUAUUGUUGUAGGCAUAUAUAUGCUAACUUCAAGCAGAAAUUUCCUGGUGUACUAUUACGUAAUUCAUUCUGGAAAGCUUGUAGAAGUUCAAACCUAGCAGACUUCAACACUCACAUGUCUGAGUUGAAUAAUAUUCAUUCUGCAGCACAUGAUUGGCUGAUGCAGAUUCUAGUUUAUUGCUGGGCUAAGCAUAAAUUUCCAACGCACACAAAAUGCUCCCAUGUGACUAACAACAUGUCAGAGUCAUUCAACAACUGGAUUAAUAAUUUUAGGGGAUUGCCUAUUGUUAGGAUGGUAGAAGAGAUAAGAAGAAAGGUGAUGAAUCUGAUUCAUAGAAGGUAUGAGCAGGCUGUCAUGUGUCAAGAUGAACUGCCACUACAAGUUAGGAGGAGAAUACUAGAUGGAAGGGUGAAGUCCAGGUCCAUGUCAGUUAUAUUUGGGCAUAAUGAUACCUUUGAAGUUAUGGAGGAUGUUUCCAAGAGAAAAGUUGUCAAUUUAAAGGCCAAGGAGUGUGAUUGUGUGGAGUGGCAAUUGUCUGGUUUGCCUUGUGCUCAUGCACUAUGUUGCAUUGAUGCUAUGAGGUACAACGUCAAUGAUUUUGUGCAUCCUUUAUUGAAAGAAUGAAGCAUUGAAGAAGACUUAUAAGCAUCAGUACUAUCCAGUGCCUGAUGAAAGUAGGUGGCCUCCUGAAUUGCAUGAUAACAUGCUUCCACCUAUAAUCAUUAGAACUACUGGCAGGUCUCAAACGAAAAGGAGAAGAGAGGCGGAUGAAAACAGGGCAUUCAAGAGGAGUUCCAAUGUUAGGUGCAGUAAUUGCGAAGAGUGGGGGCAUAAUGUGAGGACAUGCAAAGUUGAUAAAGGGUUUAAAAAAAAUGACAAAGAAGAAAAAUUUAAAGUCAACACAGGUUACUUUGUGUAAUUAUAAGUUUUGAAGUUCUCUUUAUUUAAAUUUCCAGCUUAUAUAUCUGUUUAAUAAUCUCAUGAUUUGUUUACACUUCAACUCAAGGGAAAUGGAUCGGGGAUCAAUAAUGAAAGAGGACAGAGCUCAGGAGCCUAGAAUCAACUUGAGGCAGCAGCUGUCAUUGAAUCUGGAACGCAAGAAUUUGUCCAUGAUGAUGGUUUGAAUUUACUGAUUCAGCAACUCACUUUUCUUAAUUUAUUUGUUUAUAAACUAUUUCAUACUUGCUAAUACAAAUUUUUAUUAUUGAAGGACAAUUAACCCAAUCAUAGAGAGCUUGUAGAUGAUAAAUCCUGCAGCAACAACUUUAGUGGUAAGAAAUUUUUUUGUAUAGUAAUGACAGAGCCUAGACUAAUCCCAUACUACAAAUUUUUUGGAGGGAUGAGAUGAUACUUCACCUUACCUAUAUAAGCUUUAAAUUGUAUAGAUGUUGUAUCAUCUUUUUGUUCUUUUUUUUUGUGAACUGUGUGAUAGUGAAAAUACUCACACCAUUAACAAAGCAUUUCAGUUAAGUCAAAACUUAACAAACUGUUGAAAGUUGAUUUUUUUGUAAAUAUGGGUUGCUGUUGAUGUUGUAUUGGCUGAUUGUUUCACAGCCAUUGGUGACAGUUAACACUUGUGUUGUUGCUGGAUUUUAUUAAUAUUGAAAUAUCAUAUUACUACAUUUGGUUGCUUGAUGUUUUUAAGUUCAGUUUUAUUUGUUGAUGGAUUGGUUACAAGUGAUAUUGGAAUAUCACAUGAUUAGAUGUGUGAAUGUUCUUUGACAGAUGCUCAGAAAUUAUUAUUGUUUACUUUGUAGUUACAAUUUCUUUUUUGCUCGAACACAUUUGGAUGCUGAUAAUAGGUCAACUCAGUUAGUUUUUUUAAAAAAAUAUAUGAGUGGCAUGAUUGACUUUGUGUUUCAUUGCAAAUUAGAUUUAUAAAUAUAUUUCACUUAGAAAACACUAUUGCAUUUGAGUUAUAAAGUAGCAAAAAAAAAUUUAGUCAUCACUGGAACAUUUAGUUUAAAAAGCAUUAGACUUGGUGACACACUACAUAAGGUACAUCACAACAUUUAAAAGAAAGAAUAACACAUUGAAUACAACUAUAACCUUAGCAACAGUUGCAACCUUCGUAGGUUUUCGUGAUUUCUCCACUAUGGUCUUCAUUGUCUUCACGUCAUUUUCAAUUCUAGAUAGUACCGCAUAACAUACAUCUGUUGACACACAUCCUUCAAAUAAAGCUUCAUUGUUAAAAUCAUCUCUAUUUGGUGCCCACCACUUAAAAUAUCCACAACCAUUUUUUUUGGCACAACGGUAGUAAAGCAUAUGUGGAUUGUCAUCGGAUUCUGAAAUCUUCAAAUCAGCUCUCAUAUAGCAUUUGCAUAUCUUGUUUGAGAACCUAAUGAGCUUGCCAUUGACUGUAUUCCUCCAAGCAGGCUCAUAAAAUGUGCUUGAUCGAACAGAAUUGUUUGAACUUUGUGACUCCAUUGAUGUGCAAGAAUGUUCCAGCUUUGAAUAAUGCUGAGUUUUUUAAUUGAUUGAUGAAUAUAUCAGAGAUGGUUGAUAAAGAGAUGAAGUGAUAUUGGUAGUGUUGGGUUGGUGCCUUUGAAGUGAAAUGAAAGCUAAUUUUUUUCUUCAGUUUGAGUUCAAAGUGUAUGCUGCUUAUUUAGCUUGUUUAUGGCAGGUUAUAUAGCCACUGGUAUUGGCAAUAUAACCAUUAAAGGCAACAGUAAUAAUGUCAGUAACAACUGCAGUUCAAUUUCAAGUAUUAACUUCAAUAUUUCACAUCCUGUCCAAUAAUUAAAAAAAAUUGUAAUUGUUUGUUUAAUUCAUCCAAGUCAUUUUAGAAAGUCCAAAAGAUGAUUUGGUAUUUUUAUUGACCAUUUUGGCACCAAAACAUACAUGUUAUUAUCAACGCACAAUUCUUUAAUUUGUGUACAGAAAGAUAUUUUCCCACAAUAGGGGUAUUUUCAUCAUUUUAUUAAUCAAUAAACGGUCAAACAAACAAGUUAUUAACGUCGGGGGAGGUGGCUGAUAAUAUGCGAAUACAAUCUCCCAAACUGAAAAAUACGCUAAACCUCAGGGGAGGUUUCUGAUAAUAACCCAAAAGAGCAGGCAGCCAAACACCAAAAAAAAAAAAUUGGGAGCAACCGGUUGCAAAUAAAUUAAAUAAUAAUAAAAAUAAUAAUAUUCAAUUAUAAGAAAUAAAAUAAUAAUAAAAUAAUCAUUAUUAAAGGACAUAACAAAAAAAUUAUUUUUAUAAUAAUAAAAAAGGAGUUUCAAGUUUAAUGGUAUAGGUAUCAAGUUAAUGGUCUUAAUUUCAUGUUUAUUGGUUCAUUAAUUUCAUUAUUUUUAUGGUUGCGAGUUAAUGAUCUCAUGGUUCAUGUUUAUUGCCCUAGGUUUCAAUUUCCUUCAAUUUCAAGUUUAAUGGUCAAGGUAUCAACUUAGUGGUCACGGUUUCAUAUUUAUUGGUCCAUUAAUUUAAUGAUUUUUAUGGUUGCAAGCUAAUGAUAACAUAUUUUAUGUUUAUUACCAUCCGUUUCAUGUUCCUUUGGUUUCAUAUUUAAUGGUUCGGGUAUCAAGUUAAUGAUUAUGAUUUCAUGUUUAUUGAUUCAUUAAUUAAAUAAUUUUUAUGGUUGCAAGUUAAUGAUCUCAUGUUUCACGUUUAUCUUUGCAUAUAUAUAUAUAUAUAUAUAUAUAUAUAUCUAAUCACCGUAAAAUUUUGACAUGUUUUUUGCACCACUUUUGUUUCUCAACUUGCAUCGGUCAACCACUUUGAUACUAAAAAUGACUAUUUUACCCCCAAAUAAAUUAAAAUAUUAUUUUAUUUUUUAAAAUUUUAAAAAAUAAAAAUAUAAUUACAAGAAUACCCCUAAAUUAAUAAAACAAAUAAAUCUCAAAAUCUAAGAUGUUAAUGUUUUAUAAUUAUAAUUUCAUUUAAUUUUUGUAAGUAAAUUAAGUAUGGCAAAGUUUACAAAAAUUAACAUGAAGAAAAGAGUACCUUAUAAUUAUUGUAAACUUCCCUAUAAUUAAAAUUAACAAAUUUUUCUAUACAAAUUGAAGAUUCUACUAUAAGAAUAACUAGUUUUGAAGUCCAACAAAAAUACACUCACUAGUUGUGUUCUUGGAAUAUCGGCUUACAAAGUAGGACUUGUUACAAAUAUAACAUAUACAAUCACCAACAUAUAGGUUUUCUAUUAACCAUCAGCAGCAGAUACAAAACUUCCAAACCCAUAAUUAGAUAGUGUUAUACAUGAUCAUAUUAGGCAAGGAUUUGUGACAAAUGUCAAAUAACCAAAGUUUAGAUAUAAGCAAUAAAAUGAAAAUAUUAUUAAAAUAGUUGUAAAGCUUACCUAUUGAAGGAAAAUUACAGCAAGAAACAAUCACAACAUAUUCAAGUUGGAGUUGGAUUGCACUUGGAGUGGUGAUACUUGACCCUCUCAUUAUAUUUCACUAACCCCUAUUUUUUUAGUAAACCCUAUUAAAAAUUUUAAACUAAUCUUUAUCUCUCAACAUAUCCCAUCUUAUAUCGAAUUUACCCUUAUUAUAAUUUUUAUCUUUUUUCCAUAACAUCGUAUAAAACUUACAAAAUCUAUUUUAAAAGAAAAAAAAUUUAGAGUUACUAUAAUCUCUCUCUUUCUUUUUAAAAGUUUUAUUCACCAUGACCAUAACCGUAAAAAAAAUUGAGUUUUCUUCAUCAUCCUCUAUUGAGUAUUGCAAAUUAACUUCUUUCAUGAUUACAAAAAUAGAGUAUACAAUAAUUGAGAAGAGAAAAUAAUUUAAAAAAAGUUAAAAUAAAUUAAGGUUAAAGAAAUUAGAUUAGCUAAAUUAGAUAUUAAUAGAAAUUAUCAUUAUGAGUACACUUAAAAACUAUUUAUCCUUUUAAGUCAUUUCAUAUAAGGAUAAAAUAGUUAUUAGUAUAAAAAUGAUUAGUGAAGGUUGGUGAAAUAUAAUGAGGGAGUCAAAUAUGACAACUCUUGCACUUAAAGAGCAUCCAAGCACACACAAAAAAAAAAAAAAAAAAAAAUUAAUAAUAAUAGUUAUGUUCUUUCCCAUAGCUUUUAUAAGUUUUCCUAGCCCAAGUAUCUCCUCAUUCUUGCUUAAUUCUUUCGGCCCUUUUAACCCUUCAAGUUAUUUGAGCCCACUCCAGCUUCAAUCACCAUUUCAUUUUCCCGCCUCUGUGUUUUGUGCUCCAGACACAUAUGGGUGCUUUAUUGCACUUUAAGAAAUUAGAUUAGCUAAAUUAGAUAUUAAUAGAAAUUAUCAUGUGGGUGUAUUUUAAAAGCUAUUUAUCCUUUUAAGUCAUUUUAUAUAAGGAUAAAAUAAUUAUUAGUAUAAAAAUAAUUAGUAGAGGCUGAUGAGAUAUAAAGAGGGAGUUAAAUAUGACAGCUCUUGCACUUAAAGAGCAUCCAAGCACACAAAAAAAGAAAAAAAUACUAGUAAUGUUUUUCCCGUAGUUUUUAUAAGUUUUCCUGGCCAUAGCAUCCCUUCCGUCUAGCUUAAUUCUUUCGGCCCUUUUUACCCUUCAAGUUGUUUGAGCCCAUUGAGCCCACUGCAGCUUCAAUCAUCAUUUCAUUUUCCCGCUUGUGUGUUCUGCUCGGCGGAUAUUGUCGGCCAUUAGUGUUCCUGAAUUAUUCCUUUUUUUCGUCAUUUACGCAUCUCACGGUCUUCAAUUAACUUUAGAAAAGUAGACAUAUCACAAAAUUGAACUCCUAGUGAAAAGAGUGUAGUAAUUAGUAAAGAGAAAAAUCAAUUUCUCCUUGCUUUUUUUUUUUUUCAAGUGAGAGAGUUGUUUUCUCUUUUUUUUUUUCAUUUUAUUAAAAAAAUUGUUUAAUCCUCUAUUCUUUUGUUUAUCGGUAAUUUUUUAACCCAAUAAGUUUAAAAAUUUCCCACAUAAAGUGCUUGUGUAUAAUUUUAUCUUCAAUAUUUUUUCAAAUUUCACUAUAAUUAUUGCAUGUCAUAAUUCCCUAACAAACACAAAAUUCCUCUGCAGCUAAUAUAAGGCAGCUUCUGAGAAAUUAUUGGGCGUACUUCAAAAAGGAAAAAGAAAUUAAAUUUUGAAAUUUUGUUUCAAAAUAAUUUUCAUAGAUAUUUAUCAUAAAUCUUUUUUUCUAAGUCUUCUAAUUCCAACUCACAGUCAGCAAGUUAAACUGUCAUUCUAGGCAUCGUCAUUGAAAUUACCGAAUCUUUAAUUCGAAGAGGGUGUUUGUGUACUUAGGAUUUUAUAGUUCCUGGACGUCAGGAUUUUAUGGCUUUCUUCAUGCCAAAACAAUGAAUUCAAAGUGUAUUUGAUCAUUCCCUUUUUAUCAUAUUCUUUAUUCAUUAUUUUGUUUUUGUUUUCACAGACGAGAUAGGGACUCAGCUAUCUUGCAACAGUUGCAAGGUACCACCAAAUUUUGUCUUUUUCUUGAUUUCAGUCAUUUGCCAUUAGAUUUAAUAAAAAUGUAGUUUCAAUGGUAGAGAUUUGUACAUUUAAAUAUUAACAUUACACUUCUUGAUAUUUAUUAAAAGCACAAACAAGUUAAAAAUAUAAAAAUUUUAGCACAUAAGUCCGGAUUGUUUACAAUUUAUAUUGUUUAAUUAGUAGUGAGUAUUAAAAAUAAAUUUUAUUUUUUAAUAUUAUAUAUUUUAUUUAAAAGAAUAAAUUUUUAAUAUUACAUUUUAAAGGUCACUAGCUAAACUAUAUAAACUUAUAAAUAAAAUGUAAAUAAGAAAAAAAAUAAGCGGUUAAAUGAAAUUUAACGUUACAUAAGAUAAAAAAUAGUGGCUAGCUGGACCCACGAGAUAGUUGUAUUUACUUGUAUUUAUAUGCGUACUUUCGGACUCAUGUCCCUGUGUGAGUGGGAGAAAUUUCUUGUUAGUGCAGAGAUAUAUUUUAUUUCGUAUAUUUACUUCUCUAUUGAAGGUUCUGCUAUUGUAACCAAAAAUGCAUUUUUUUGAACUACUUCUGAGUUGAUAUGAUACUAGAGCUUGUGGCGAUUAUUUAUUUUGACAGUUCAAUUGGUGUCUAAUUAUAAUUUUAUUGAAGAAAAGAUAAACAGAAUGUAGAAAAAGAUAAAAGAAAUAAAAUUUCUGGAUGAAUAAAAGUCUGAAAAAGAUAAAAGACAAAAUCAUCUGCUUUGGGAUUCCAAAUUUAAUUUCUGAUCAAAAUCUCUUAAUAUUGUCCGAAUUUAGUUUAAUUUCUCCUCAAAAGUAGAGUUUGGGCCGACAACAGAAUUUUAGAAAAAUUAAAGAAUUAUUUUCUUUCUUUCCUGCGGUCCAUGAAUCAUUCUUUUUCUCAUUUCAAUUUCUACCUGCGUUGUCACUACUUUACUCAUUGCCCAACCUCACAUUAGUCUUCAGUGAAAUUAUUUAAUAUCACCUUUUGAAAAGUAGACAAUUUAUACUUUACCGGAACAAUCAGAUGAAAUUAUCACGAAACUUGCUGGUAGAUUCGAGGGAGUAGCCUGCUAAAGGCAUCUAUUCUCCGAUUAAAGUAUCUUUUUGGCCUAUUGUGUUUGCCUCUGGUCUAUUACUGUCCAAGCAUUUAGAGAAGUAAUUAAUCCAAAGAGGUGCUAUAUCGUAGAGAUAAGAUGCUCGAUUCAGUAUGUUCCAUCAAACAAUUGCUCCACCAUUUGGCAUUUUUGUAGAUAAGCUAUCUUAAUCUGAUUAUUUUUUCUUUUGAAUUGGUGUGCACGUCAACGUGGGAUUGUUUUUAAGAGCACAAAUACAGAAUUUUAUUGCUAGCCAAUUGCGAUAUGGAACAAUUAUGUGGUGAAUUGUUUUAUGCUCUCUGACAAACUCUUUGUUACAAGAGUUGAUUUUGAACAUUCAGUUAAUCCUGUUAAAAGCUCUGUUCAGUCAUUCUUCUUUGCCUUUGGUCUACUGUGUUGCAUAUUUUUAAAGGAAUCAGUUCACAAAUAUUGGCCAUAUGGAACACUGUUGCUCUUCAUAUUAAGUUUUAACUUCACAGCUUCCAUAAAAUUUACUGCCACAUCAACUAAGUUAACUGCAUGUUUUAUUUUAUUGGUUCUUCCUUAUUGAAGUUUACUUGCUUUUGACUCUAAAGUCCAAGCACAAUUUGAACUUGGACCUUGGCUGUAUCUUUCACAGCAUGACAAUUUGAUUUUCCCCUCAAUCUUUUAUAAUGUCUCUGCCUUUUCCUACUUGAAAAAAGAUAGCCACUGGCAUCAUUAGACCAAGACUGCACUCAUAAGAUAUGAAAAAAGACACAGAUAUCCCAAUUAUAAACAAAGAAUUAGCAAAAUAGAUCAAGAAAAGAAGAUGAACACAUACAGAUUUUGAUGGUUCAGCCACCACGUGGCCUACUUCCAUGCAAGUGACAAAUCGAUUGAUUUAUUGAUUUAACGAUCUAAAGAUUACAAGAAUAUUAAAAACUUUACAUAGAACAAUUUAUAAUAGGAAAUAUCCCUGUAAUCGCUCUCUUAAGUCAAGAAACCGAUUUCAGAGAUUUGCCGCUCUUUCUAACACACUUGACAGAGGUUUGGCAAAAUUUAGGUCAGAACAAGCGACUAACGUGUGUAUCACAUGUGACCACAAUUUUGCUAUAAAACCAGACUUGCAUUGGACUUGAACGAUUAAAAUGUAAAACUUCAAUGUACAAAACUCAGUCGUUUUGCAGCCGUUUGAUUAACCAUCAACAACUUGUAAUCCUCUGACAGUUUGAAACCAGAACAUAAUUAGUAUAAGCACAUAAAUUUUAGGAUCGAUUUAGACAUGGUAUGGUUUGAGUAUUUCUAACACUUCCUAGUGAUGCAUCUAUAGGAGUUUCUUUUAGAAAAUAUAUCAUUAAAUUGACCAUCUUGACCAUUGACCAUCGUCUGAUUAUUAUUUUUUUUUAUCUCGCUUACCACGUUGAUAGUGCGGCAUUUUGGGUACUACAAAAAGCACAACAACGAUUAAAGAGCUGCUUCAAAUAAUUCAUCUUUCACUUUUGUUGGGUGAAGUGCCGCUUAACUACUCCAUGAUCCCCCCAGCACUUGAAGAGGGUACGUGUUUGUGUACUUAAGACUAUCUAUAGUUUCUAUUUGUUGGGACUGUACGGUCUGCCCUUCUGUCAUAACAAUGGAUUCAAAGUGUAUUUGAAUUCCACUUAUCAUAUUAAUUAUUCUGUUCAUUAUUUUGUUUUUGCUUUUUCGUUUUCAUUUUUCAUUAAUCCUCCCCUCAUUUUUUGAGGAUAUAAAUUACUUAUUUGAUCAGCUCUAGUGGUAUGUACAUAUACAUACAUACAUACAUACAUACAUACAUACAUAUAUAUAAAUUUUUACAAAAAGAUGAUUUUGUCUUUGUAAUGUAAGUUUAACAAAGGUUAUAUUUGUUGAUUUAUACAUAUAAUAGAUUGUUUGAAUCUCCUAACAAGAGGAACAAAAGUAAUUACAAAUGAUUUGUCAAAUUUUGUUAAGUUACAAAAUAGUAUAUUAUACACUCAAAUCUAACAUCAAAUACAUAGCAAACAACAACUUCAAAAGCAAAAUCCCUAGAAGCAACUCCCAUAUCUUCAUCAACCAACGGCUUCAAAAGCAUCCCAUGAUUUUUGUUAAAAAUUCAUAGUUUCAUGACUGCAUAUUUUUAUUGAGUGAAGCCUUGCUUAAAAAACCCAUUCCACGAUCCCAGUCCCACCACGCACUUUGUAUAAAAUUCAAUUUAUUAGAAUAAUUAAAAUCAUUAGUAGAGGAAUUCAACCAACAACUUCAAAAGCAUCCCAUGAUUUUUGUCGAUAAUUCAUAGUUUCAUGACUGCAUACUUUUAUUACGUGAAGCCUUGCUUAAACAACCCAUUCCAAGAUCCCAGUCCCACCAUGUACCAUUUGGAAAUAUCACAUUUUAUUCCCCAAUGCGACAUAUUUUCUUCUCCAUUGAAGGUUCUCUGAAUGCUAUUAACCAAAAAAUGCAACAUUCUGUUCUGUUUAUGAAUUGGGAUUAUUUGCUUCUGGCUGUCACUGACUCAUUGACCAUUAGCAAUAUAGCAUUAGGUAGUGCCAGCUCUUUUCUUUUUUGUCUUUGUCUUCUCUAAUUCGAGCUACAAAUCCAUGUUCCGAUGAAUUCCUUUUCCAUCUCCUCUCCAUUGUUUGGCUUCAAUAUUUUGGAUUUGAAGUAAAUUUUCCGCAUAUUUAUUUUGCAUCAACCUUAACAUCGUAUGUGAAAAAAUUCUGCAUAUUUAUUUUGUCCUACAGAGACGAUUUUUUUGAAAUUCACAUACAAUAACAUAAGGCAGCUUCAAAGAAAUUACUGGGUGGAGUUCAAAAUGAGAAAAGAAAUUAAAUUUUAUUGGACCACCGUCAUGAAAUUUUAAAUUUUUUGGACCACAAUCCGCCUUUGUCUUUUCAUGUGAUUGCAAGCUACUCGAUGACAUUGACUGAUCAUUGACCAUUUGGUGCUCUCUUCCCUUCGUCUUCUAAUUCAACUUACCGUCAUCAAAUUAAACUGUCAUUCACAUAAUAUACGGCAAAUAUCAAUCACAUAAAGCGUACACGGAUAAGUCAGUGUUUACGGGGAAAGAUAAAAAAAAAAAAUAUUCCACUAUUAAAAUGGGGAAUAUAAAUAUUGAAAUAUUUAUCUUACAAUCCAAAUUCUUAAUACAAUCAAGUUCUCAGAUCACUUGAGAACAUUUUAGUUAUCUCAGUUACUAAAGAAUUGCAUUUUAGUUAUCUCAGUUACUAAAGAUUGCUUUUCAUAAAACACACGUUAAGUUUUCAAAUUGUUGGAGAACUUUUCUCACACUGGCUCAUGAAUUUUGCAUCCAAUUUAUAAACAAAUCUAGAUUUCAAAUGUAAAAUUAUGAUUUUUUGUCCUUCACAUCCAGCAUCCAGGAAGGCUCAAGGAAAGUAAGUAAUCGUGAGUAUGAAUCUAUUAAAAAAUAUGCUCUGAGAUUAAUUGUUCUUUUAAAUUAAUUGGUCUUUUAUUUUAUUUUUAUUAUUUUCCUUAGUGACGGUGGUGAAUAGUAUUUACGCCUUUUUUUUUAUUAUUAAUUUUUAGCUAUCAUUCCCUAUUUCUUUCCUUUGGAAAAACGCGGUUCAACAGUAACCAUAAAGCUGCAUUUAAUUGUGGAGGGUGCACAAGAGUAAUAUAGAGUGUUUUAGUCUAUUCAGUGUGCAAAUAACCCAAUGUUAUAAGAGUUAUGAAUAUAUGUUGUAUGUAUUUGUAAUAUUUUUGUUUUGGGCGGGGGUUAUAUUAAUUUAAGAAUUUAAUUUAAAUCUAGACAUUAAAAUAUGACCAUUUAUUUCGUUCAAUCAAUUAACACACGAGGAUUGUUUGUUGAUUGGAGAGGCUAAAACUGAGUGGGAAAGUAAAGCAACAGAGGAAUAGAAAAGAUCUAUGACAAAGAUCGAUGAACAGAAGUGGAGAGGAACAACAGUGGGCAUGAUCUAAUAUUGAAUUACAAAUAUGUUGGCCUUACGGAAUAUGUCGUUGACAAAAUUAUGGAGUAUUGAUUUCUUGGGGAUGAAUAUGAUUUGUGAGAAUGGGGAUGAAUUUUGAUUCCCCCAAUUUAGGUUAGGAAUUGCUAUUACUAGUAUAAUCGUUGAGGAAUGAGGAAAAAGAGUCGGUAUUCUCUCUCUCUUCCUUUAUUAAGUUUUAAUAUGUCAUCUAUGCUUUUUGUUUUCUGAAUCUUAUUUAUUAAAGUUUUACUAUCACAUAAUCAAUCAUCUCAUACCUUAGAUUGAAUUAAAUAAAUUUUAAAGUUUUGAUGCUUAGAUUACAAUCAUAUUCUUAAGUUAAAAUAUCCCCUCCCGUUUGUUUUUUAUCUAAAAAAAGAAAAAAAACAUUGGUACUAAAAAAUAAAUAAUCUUAUUUUUACUAAAAAUACAAUAUUUUUAGUCUUCUAAUUUGUUUAUUUUAAAAGUAACUCAUUCACUGCUUUGCAAAAUCAAAAUCUCCUGUGGCAAUGAAUUGAUUUUACAAGAAGUAAUUUUAAUAGUUUUUACCAACCAUUUAAAUUCAUCAUUAGCUUCUCAAUAUCACUUUUGAAAAUCCCAACAACAAUCUCAAAUUGGUCAAUAAAUUACUUCAUUUUCUAAAUAGUAAACAUAAAAUGAUGGAAAUAAUUUUUAUAUCAUGAAAGUAAAAAUAAUUUUAUUAUUUGCAUCAAAUUAAUAUUAUUUAGAUAUAUUUAUAUUUAAUUAUUAUGUUAUUAAAUUAUCAAAUAAUAAAAAUAAUAUUUUUAUUCACAAUAAGACAAAUUUAGAGAAAAAUUAGAUGGUGUUUGCUAGGAAACUUAAGAGAAAAAUUAAUAUGGAACUGUCCCACCACUUGGGAUUCUUUCACGUAGCGUUUCAGUGGAUCUCAUUGAAUUUUAUUUUGAAAAAGGAUAUUAUCAUUUUCCCACCAAAGUUAUUCUGACACAUCAUGUCAAUACCACGGUUUGGUAAAACUAUCAAUUUACUACCAAACAUUUAAACUGUUAGCAUUUUCCUACCAUUCCGUUAAAACUCAGUUAAUAUGUAACGAAAUUUUUUUAAAAGGUCAAAUUUACCCUUGGAGCAUAAAAGAUCAUGUAAUUAAUCUUUUAUGAAUUUUGUAAUUAAAUCAUCAUUUGUUGUUCUUCCUUCUUAAAGGAUAAAAAUUACCCUUUAUGAAUUUUGUAAAAUUGACCGUGUGGUGUUAGGUACUUCAUAAAUUGAUUUAAUUUAUUUAAUUUUUAAAGGGCAAAUUUAUUUAUUUAAUUUUGUGUAAAAUUAUUAUCAUCAUAUCAAAGAUUAAAUUGCUUCUUUUGCACAUUCUUUUUUUUUUUCCCUUUCAUAAAUUGAUUUUUAGUAGUAGAAUAAAUUGUCUUUAGCUCGUCAAUUUAAUAAAUAAAUUUGCCCUUUAAAAAUUAAAUAAAUUAAAUCAAUUUAUGAAGUACCUAGCACCACACGGUCAAUUUUACAAAAUUUAUAAAGGGUAAUUUUUGUCCUUUAAGAAGGAAGAACAACAAAUGAUGAUUUAAUUACAAAAUUCAUAAAAGGUUAAUUACAUGGUCUUUUACGCUACAGGGGUAAAAUUGACCUUUUAUGAAUUUUCUAUUACAUAUUAACUGAGUUUUAACGGAAUUGUGGGAAAAUGCUAACAGUUUAAACGUUUGGUGGUAAAUUGAUAGUUUUACCAAACUGUGGUACUAACAUGAUGUGUCAGAAUACUUUUGGUGAGAAAAUGAUAAUAUCCCUUUUGAAAAAUCAAUUGAUAAUACUGGGAUGGUAUAGCCUGGUAGGGUGAUACUCUAAGCGGUCCCUUUAACCUUUUUAGUUGUCGUACACGAAUUAUUUCUUCAUUUGGAAUAAAAAUCAACAAAGCUGCAUCUUCACUGAAAUUAUUGUCCACAGUGCUUCCAGGAAAAUGAGAUAAAGAUAAUUUUAAAGAAACUUUUAGGAAGAUUCCAAGCAUUAAUAAUUAUUUAUAUUUAUUUAUAAUAAAUUACUUUUAAUAAUAAUAAUUUAUAUCAUGAGUAUUUUUAUUAUAAAAUUUUUAUAUGAAUGUAAGUGCAUAAAAUAAUUGUUUAGAGUGUAAAUAAUCUCGUCUAAUUGAUAAUCCUCGCUAAUCAAAUACAAUUUGUUAAUAGGGCACGAGUCACUGCCCCCUUGAGAAUUGAGCACAGAAGCAUUUACUAUUUUCUAUGGUGGAUUGUUGGGAAAUUUACACCCUUUCCACCUUUUUAGCUGCAUUUACUAUUUUCUUUCUUCACUUGAUUAUACAAUUUGAUUAUCAAGAAACAACCUGGAAGGUUCCAAGCAUCGUUUUACUCUGCACAGAUACUGCAGUCACCAACGUUUGCUCGAGAAAAAUACGACGAAUUUUCCGGGAAAUUUUUGCUUUUUCUCUUCAAACUUAAAGUUUGGGGGCAGAAAUGUUAAAGGUUUAAAGGUGGGUACAAUUAUUCUUCUUUUUGUUAUUUACGCAUUGCCUUCCAUUCACAUUAGUCGGUCUUCAAUUAAUUUUAGAUAAGGAGAUGAAACUACCAUAAAAUUAACUCCAAGUGAGGGACUACUGAAGCAGCCAUAUAUUUCCACGCGCAUUUUAUUCAAUUAAUUUACUUAUGAUCACAUCCCACAUCAUAUUAUUAUUGUAUCAACUUGCACGGCCGUAACAAUUAACAGAAAUUUUCAUUAAAAUUAUUACAUUAAUUUUUAAAUAGAAAUAAGAAAAAAAUUCUUAAUAGUGAAAAAACAUAAGAUGAAAUCGUGUGUCGUUUGUCACGAGUCAAACUUUUGAGAAAAAUACACGAAUGAAUGUGGCGCGUAAAAGGUGUUGAUGUACUAUCAACAUUUUCAUUUUAUUUUUAUUUUUCUUGAACUUUCAUAUUUUUUUUAUAAGCUGUCAUCAAUUAUUUGGGUCUUCCUAAGCUACAACUCAUGUAAUUUGAUUUUUACAUGUUUCGCAUGAGUUGUAAAUUACAUAUUUUUACAUGUUUUGCAUGGAUUGUAAAUUAUAUGAAUUGUAAAUUAGCAAAACCCUUAUCACGAAACUUAAGUCUCAGGAAGAUUCCCACUUCCAAGCAUAAUGUGUUCUUGAUUUCAUCUCGUCGAAAUUUCGAAGUUGGUAACUGCUUUUGGUAAUUAUAUCUUCAUCACUUGCAAUCUUUUAUUGCUUUUCCAAGUUAAUUUUUAGGGUAAGUAUCAUAAACCUCUGCUAGAUUUGAUUUAUUCACAGUUUCAUAGAUUGUAUUCGUAUAUUCUCAAAUACCUCCCUUAACGUUAGUAUAAUGUUUCUUUGAUUGUUUGUUGCACAAUAAAUGAUCAAAAUACUCCAGCAAAAAUUAUUUUAUACUGAAAAUAAAUAAUUCUGUACCAACAUGUUUGAUUUGGCGCCAAGGGAUGUAAAUAUAAAUAAAAUACCAAAUCACCCCCCACUACUUUUUAAAAUGACUUUGAUGGAUGAAACAAACAAAAGAUUUGACUUAUGUCAAAUAUCAGCGAAUUCGAAAGGAAGCUUUUUUGCACUUUGCCUCAUUGCUCUGCUUUCUACAUCAAAUUUCUUUAAUCUUGGUGAAGAUUUUGGUGUCCCGAUUUGUGUCUCUCUCUCUAAUUUUCUAUUUUUCAUUUCAUGAGCACAUCUUCCCUUAAAAUUGUAGAGAUACUAUAUGAAAUCACCAAACCCUGAAAAUAUUAUAUUAGAGAAAAAAAAACAAUUAUAACUUAAACAAUAUUUGUAAUCAGCAUUUGCACUUUCAUUCAUGGUUAAUUUCUUUUAUACAUAACGAAAGCUUGAUUAGGGAGAGAGAAUUUUAGUCGAUCCCAAAAGAUAUUCAUAAGAAAAAAAAUUAUUGGUUAAAUUCAAGCCUUGAGCAAUAAUAAAUUUUUGGCCAAAUCGAAAUAUAUAACAACUUCAUGCAAUUUUAAUUCAGUUGAAUAAUAAAUGGGUUUUCAUGAUCACGUAUAAAUUUUCUCGCGCAAUCAAUUAUCUCGUCGCAGUCAGCUUUCUAGUAUCCAUUCUGCAUUCAACUAACCUAUCCUGUUCUAUCUCUUCAAUUAAUUUAUUUCGUGAGCUUUGUCAAACUAAUCAAAUUCAUUAAUGGAGCAAAACCGUGAAGGAUUAUUUUUCAAACUUUUGAAGAAAAUAAACAUGUUAGCAACCAGUCAGGGGCAUGAAAAUGGUUGUGCAUAUAUAUCUUUGUUGACAAUUCCUCUUUGAAAUUAAUUGUCUUUUAUAUUAUCUAUCGAAAUGUAACAUAUCUGAUCGCAUGGAUUAAUUUAGAGGAUACAUAAUUUCAAUGAAAGACUACUAAUCGAGGGCAAUUUCGAUUCUGAUUGAAUGGUAGAUGUAUAUAUGAGCAUCAUUCUAAUCAUUAAAUUGAUAAAAUUAGGAAGUUAACUUCGAUCCAACAAUUAACUUUAAUGGAGCAGCAGGGAAUUGUUUUGUUUAUGUUAGAGUUAUUUUAUUAAUAAAAAAUUGGGUUAUUAUUAUUUCACUACUUCAAAAAUUGUGAAAUAUCAAAUGACUACAACAAGUAUUGUCUCUUAUCAUUUUUCUAUCAUAUCUGUAUAAAAUUAUCAUUUAACUACUUUUUUAUUAUAACCAUUAGUUGACCAGUUAAUUGACUAGUUAAUUGUUGAAUAAUUUUAACCAUUAGUUUAUAAAAUUAUCAAAAUUUUCUGGUCAAAAUCUUUGAACACUGUAGUUAAUUGAAUGAAACACGUCGCAUUUUCUGGGAAAUAUUUUAGCUUUUUGUCAUUGCCUCACAUUAGUCGGUCUUCAGUGGUAGUGAAGCAUCCAUAUCUCUUACGUGCAUUUCAUUCAAUUAAUUAAUUAUCAUCACAUCCCACAUUAUUGUUUCACCUUGCACCGUCCGAAUAACUAACAAGAAUCUUUAUUGAAAUUAUUGUGCCACUUUUAGAAAAGAGAUAGGGAAAAAGUUGAAUUCACAAGUCCAACUUUAAAAAGGCAGAAAAAAAAAAAAGGACUGGAGUAGAUGUCACAGGUAUUAAAUGCAUUGAUGAGGUUUCAACAUUUUUUAAAAAUAUUUUUAUAUAAUUUUUUACCAAAGUUCAAAUAACUAUUUUCAAUUAGUUUUAAAGUAAUAUAUAUAAGAUGAUGAUGAUAAUACGGGAUCAACAUCAACAUAAAAUUCAUUGGUGCUCCAUCAACAUUGAUUUUCCCAUCUCUUCAGUAAAUGUUUUACAUAUUUAUUUUGCAUCUAAUUUAAUAUUAUUGAAAGUUAAUAGACGUGAUUAGUAAUAAAUAGAAGACUAAAAAUAUUUAAAGAAAUAGAGCUAAGCGUGCUGCGUGCAUGAAAUUGCAUCUAUACUUUACCAAAGGGAAAAAAAAUUGCCACGCAACAGCGUGGAAGGUUCAGAGAAAAUAUUUGUUAGCGUUUUCUUUUUGUUAAAUAUAAUUGGUUGAAUUUUUUAUUUUUUAUUUUUUUAAAAUAGAAAACUAUAUUACAAAACUUCCCGGUAGGUUCCAAGGAACUAUCUAAUAAAGCAUCUUUAUAUAACCUCCAUAGACACAGCCGCAUUAAAUUAUUUUCACAUCCCAAAUUUUCACAUCUGAUCAAUUUUCUCAUCACUGAACUGUUAUGGCUUCUUCUUCUUCUUGUCCACCUCGAAACGCUAAGAAGAUGUAUGAUGUUUUUCUGAGUUUCAGAGGAGAGGACACCCGUGACAACUUUACUAGCAUUCUUCACUAUGUUUUGUCUCUGAAAAGUAUCAAAACUUUCAUUGAUGACCAACUUAUCAGAGGAGAGAACAUUUCACAUUCUCUUCUUGAUACAAUUGAAGCAUCGAGCAUUUCAAUUAUCAUUUUCUCAGAAAGGUAUGCUUCUUCUAGAUGGUGUCUCGAUGAACUUUUGAAGAUCCUCGAAUGCAAGCACGAAUAUGGACAGAUUGUGAUUCCAGUUUUCUAUCACGUUGAACCAUCACAUGUGAGAUCGCAAAGCCAGGAUUCUUCUUUUGGGAAGUAUUUUAGUGGGCUUGAAACACGUUAUCCAGAGAAGAUGCAAAGAUGGAAGAAUGCUUUGACCGAAGCAGCCAAUCUCUCUGGCUUUGAUUCUAAUGUCAUUAGGUACGAUAAUUUUCUGUCUAAUUCUUAGUAUUAAUCUAGUACAAGUAAUAAUAUAUAACAUUAACUAUGACUAUGUGUUUAAAUAUUUAUCAAUAAUAUAUCAAUUAAAUCGUUCUUAAUUAUAAGGAUUAGGUUAUUUUCUUGCACAUUUGAAUAAGUUUCCAAUUAAAUAGCUAUUUGAUGAAAUUGAUCUUCACAUUCUAUUAAUUAGCCAUUUUAUAUUGCAACUAAUUAAAAACACACGAUUCUCUGUCUCGUUUACAUAUAUUUGAACUAAUUGCUGUUAUUUUUUUAACUAGGCCUGAAUCUAAACUUAUUGAGGAAAUUGCCAAUGAAGUUUUGAAGGGGCUAGAUGAAACUUUUCAAAGUGAUAACAAAGACUUGGUUGGAGUUGAAUGCCCCAUUGAAGAAAUCGAAUCAUUAUUACACAUUGAGUCUGAGGGUGUUUACAAACUAGGGAUUUGGGGCAUCGGUGGUAUAGGCAAGACAACAAUCGCUGAUGCUGUUUUUAACAAAAUCUCUAGACAUUUUGAAGGUUCUUACUUUGCGCAAAAUGUUAGAGAAGCAGAAGAAACUGGCGGAAUGAAGGACUUACAGAAGGAACUUCUGUCCAAGUUAUUGAAUGAUAGAAAUGUGAGGAACAUCGAGUCUCAACUCAACAGACUUGCUCGCAAGAAGGUUCUAAUUGUUUUUGAUGAUGUGACUCAUCCAAGACAAAUAGAAUCAUUAAUUAGACGCCUUGAUCGGUUAGCUUCAGGGAGUCGAGUGAUAAUAACAACAAGGGAUAAACAAGUUCUUAAAAAUUGUCGGGCCAGGCAAAUAUAUCGGAUGAAGGAAUUAGAAGAUGCUGAUGCUCAUAAGCUAUUCUGUCAGUGUGCUUUUGGAGGAGACCAUCCAGAUACAAGUCAUACAGAGCUCAUAGACAAGGCAAUCAAAUAUGCGCAGGGGGUUCCUUUAGCUCUUAAAGUUUUGGGUCGCCAUCUAUGCGGAAGGAGCAAAGAGGAAUGGGAAAGUGCAAUGAGAAAACUGGAAGUAAUUCCUGACAAGGAAAUCCAGAAGGUAUUAAAAAUAAGUUAUGAUAGCUUGGAUGACUCUCAGAAGAAUAUUUUUCUAGAUAUUGCAUGUUUCUUGGAAGCUCCGCAUAGAGACUAUGUGAUAAGCUUUUUUGAUGCCUGUGGCUUCGAAGCUAAAAUAGAGUUAAGUGUUCUUGAAGGUAAGUCUCUCAUAAAUUUAGACUUAUCUGACCGGAUAAGAAUGCAUGACUUGAUACGAGAUAUGGGAAGAGAAAUUGUUCGAAAUGAAUCUAUCGAUCAUCCAGGAGAGCGCAGUAGGUUGUGGUAUCACGAGGAUAUUUAUAAAGUUUUGAAGAACAAUACGGUGAGGAAUAAUAAGUUUUUAAUUGUAUCUUAUUUGUGUUACAUUUAUAUUAGCAAUUGGUCGAAUAUGUCUUUUUGAAUAAGAAUAGCAUUAAUACAGCUUAAAAUUAAUUGAAAAAUAAUAUUAGAAAAUUGGUAAAAUAAAAUAGAUAGAUCCGAUGUUUCCCCAACUCAGUUUGAAACAUGCCUCUAAAAUCCCCAGCAAACUAGCGCCUUCGGAGAGAGACCCACAAAAAAAAAAACACCUCAAUCUUAUAGCAUUUCCUUUUCAACUCAAGCUAUGCCCCUAUCCUUAUUUUUCACUAAAAAAAAAAAUUGAUUGAAUUAAUUUUACAGUUUACAUAUUAAGCAUUUUCUUGAAUUUUCUAUUUUACACUUCCUAAAAGCCUUACCCAAAUAGUUUAUUAUAAAGUGAGUGUAAUAUCUCUCUUUUGGUUUGACGGCUUAAAAAUAAUUGUUUAUUUGUUUGCUUUAAUUAUAUACCAACUUAUGAUCUCCUAUUUGAUUGUUAGGGAACUGAAGCACUCAAGGGUAUCUCCUUGGAUAUGAAUAAAGUCAAUGGAGAGAUACACAUGAAUUCCAAUGCUUUCUCAAGGAUGCCUAAAUUGAGAUUCUUGAGAUUUUAUGGAGAUAAGAACAAAUGUAUCAAGGGUAUCUCCUCGGAUAUGAAUAAAGUCAAUAGAGAGAUAUACAUGUCUCAUUUGGAGGGUGUGCCGUUUGCUGAAGUGAGGCACCUCGAGUGGCCUCAAUGUCCUUUGAAAACGUUGAAUAUAUGUGCGGAGAAACUUGUUUCACUUAAAAUGCCUCGCAGCAAAGUCCAACAACUUUGGGAUGAUGUUCAGGUAUAUAUUUAUUCAAAAUUCUUUCGGUAAUAAAUUCUAAAUACAAUUGAUGAUAUAAUUAAUAUAUGUUAUGGUAUCUGUUUAUUCAUAAAGAUGAUGAUGAUGAUGAUGAUAAUAAUAAUAAUAAUAAUAAUUUUUGGGGGGGCGCAGGAUCUUGUUAACUUAAAAGAAAUAGACCUCUCUGGAUCCAAGUCGUUAACGAAACUCCCAGACUUGUCACAGGCCGAAAAUCUUGAGUUUCUGAUAUUAGGCGGCUGUUUAAGUUUGAUGGAGACUCACUCAUCUAUUCAAUAUCUAAAUAAACUUGAAAUUCUUUCUCUAGAAAAGUGCAAAAGCCUGAGGAGUCUUCCAACUAGCAUUCAUUCGAAAUAUCUCCUGAUACUUGAUAUUUCGGAUUGUUCAAAUUUGAAAAACUUCCCAGAGAUCACAUCUUGUCAUAUGUGGAGUUUAGAGUUAACAGAAGUUGGAAUCAAAGAACUGCCCUCAUCCAUCGAGGGCCUAUCCAAUCUGAAAGAACUACAUAUUAAGGACUGUUCAGAGCUUGAGAGCAUCUCGAGUAGCAUAUUUAAGUUGAAGUCUCUUGGAUCUAUUGAAAUCUCUAAUUGUUCAAAUUUGAAGAGGUUUCUAGAGAUCCCGUCUUGUAAUAUGGAUGGAGGUACUGGAAUUGAGCAACUAGCCUCAUGUAAGUUGGUACUGGAAAAAUGUUCAAGUCUUGAGAGUCUCCCUAGCAGCCUGUUUAAGUUCGCAUGUAUUUUAGAGUUAACAGAAUUGGAAUCAAAGAACUGCCCUCAUCCAUCGAGUGCCUAUCCAAUCUGAAAGAACUAUAUAUUAAGGACUGUUCAGAGCUUGAGAGCAUCUCGAGUAGCAUAUUUAAGUUGAAGUCUCUUGAAUCUAUUGGAAUCUCUAAUUGUUCAAAGUUGAAGAGGUUUCUAGAGAUCCCGUCUUGUAAUAUAGAUGGAGGUACUGGAAUUGAGCAACUAGCCUUAUGUAAGUUGGUACUGGAAACAUGUUCAAGUCUUGAGAGUCUCCCUAGUAGCCUAUGUAUGUUCAAAUCUCUGACAUCUCUUGAAAUCGUUGACUGCCAAAAUUUCAAGAGAUUGCCUGAUGAACUUGGAAAUUUAGAAGCCUUGGAGGCGCUGACAGUUAAUGGAACAGCUAUAAGAGAAGUACCAGAAAGCCUUGGUCAGUUAUCCUCACUAGAAAAUUUGGUACUAGCUAAUAACAAUUUGGAGAGAUUACCAGAAAGCCUCAGUCAAUUAUCCUCACUAGAGUAUUUGCACCUAUCCGGAAACAGUUUGGAGGGAAUACUAGAAUACCUGAGGAGUCUUCAAAGUAAGUUGACAUCACUCAAAGUUUUAUCUGUUGAGUUUAGAAAUUGUUUGAAAUUGGACCCGAAGGAGCUCAUUGAAAUCGCCAAAGAUGAGUGGAUGAAGCAGGUGUGUCUCUUAACUCACUCCUUUCAUUCUAUUUUCUUUUUCUUUUUUCUUUAAUUAUUUUUCAUAAAUUACUAAUUUUUUAUUUUUGUGUUGCAGUCGUUUCAUGGUAACAUCAAUAGCGCUAGAAGUAUUUAUUUCCGUGGGAAUGAAAUUCCAAAGUGGUUUAGGAAUCAAAGCAUGAGGAUCUUCUGUAACCGUGAAGACGCCGCCAGCAGAUUUCCUCAAUACAACCUCAGAGUACUUUGAGCAUCAAAUCCCAAGGAAAUCUCGACCUGGGAAUUAUGGCGUGUACUGUCAGUGGGAACACAAAUCCCAAAGAAAUAUCUUCCGUCGGUUUUUGCGGAGAAUUAGUUAUGUUGAGUCAGAUCACGUGUUUUUGGGAUCCUAUUUAUUGGGUUAUGAGGAUUUAAGUAAGAGAGACGAUAGUGAAGUCUAUUUCUACAUUCGGCCUCUUGAUUUUGAUGAAGAGGGUGAAGUGAAACAAUGUGGGAUUCAAUGUUAUCGAAUUAAUAAUUCAUUUAACUCAAAGAUUCUACGGAUGAAGAGGAAGAGGAAGGAUGAAGAGGAACCACACACCAAAAGACUGAAAUGUUCUUCAACUCCAAAGCAGCUGGUAUUCCUUGUUACGAAAAUCAAUCUGUAGACCUUGUUUUUGUCUUCAUUUUAUAUAUGCGUUGUUGAUGCGAGAUUUUGGUUAUCCCUCGAUCACGACCAGGAUCUCUGCUCAACCAACUCUACUACGAUCAGUAUUUCUCCUUGUAUGACUUCCUCCAAAGGUUCUUGCGUACACAGAAAAAGGUCAGAGCACGCCGGUUGUUUUCCCAGUGUAAACCCUCCGACGCUCAAGUCAGAAAUGAAGGUUUCUCGUUCCCGGGAAUGUUGGCCAGUAAUCUUAUGGCUUCCUUUUUUGGUACUGAUUAGCCAGUACUCUUUUUUAUCUCAGUUUCAAUGUCCAAAAUUCUAACCCUUUUACCUUCGUUGGCUACUUUUUUAUAGACCUCUCCUGAAUUUAGACCUUCCCUCCAUUCACGCUCGUUAUCCUCCCACCUCUCGAAAGUGGAUGCUGCAUUUCUGUGAUCGUGGGUGGUUGUGUGGCCUUCGUGCCUUGAUUCUCGGAUUGGAGAGCACGUCUUGCCAACCGUCGUUGACUGGGUCUCCUCGACUCAACCCUUAGCAAGAAUGGCUUUAUACCUCCAACAGGAAAUCGGCCUCGCGGAUGAGAUAUUCGUGGACGAGCAUAAUAUUCCUGCUCCUGCUCUCUUGCUACUAGACUCUACUACAAGAUAUACCUGCUCGCGGGACCCUGCUACCAGAUGUCUGCUCAUCAUUGUUAGUCCUCGCCGGAGUACAUCCCCCAAACAUGCAUUUUUUCAAUAUGUUCGUUUAUGUAAUAUUUAUUAAUUGUUUGUUGUGGAUGGAUGAAUCAAUAAAUUCAAAAUAAAUGGCAAUUAACCGAGGAUGUAGAACUAUGAGUUCUCUUUUUUUUGUGUUUCAUUUCCAUUCGGGUCAUGUCUGGAAUAUCCCAAAAAUUACUUAUCCAUUUACUAACUAAGAAUGCGCUGAUUAGAUUAAGAUUAUUUUAGUUAUUCUUACUUUUUCAGUUUUCAAACUUAAUAAGAAUAAAAUCGUUUUAUUAAGUUUUGAGAUUUGAAUUUAAAAGAAAAUACAAAUUUACGCUCGAGGAUUAAAUUUACCGUAUUUAAAAUUAAAUUAAUUACUCUCGAGGAUCCUAUUAGUAGUGAUCUCAGCAAGGCAGUAAAGUACCUGUUUAACUUGUGAUAAAUUACAGGCUCUGUUUAACAUAUAAAAAUACCAAAUUUUAAAUAUUACAAACAAUAACAAACAGAAUGCAGCUCCUAAUCGGUUAUUUGUUUUAGUAAAUAAACUUCACCGUUCCGUUUCAAGUUUCCACAGUCAGUUCCAUCGAUCAUAUGCUGAAGCUACGGUGGAAUGAUAGAUCUUCUUUUAGUUUCCUGCACAUCGAAACUCUCUAAUUGGUGUGUUGUUUUUUCGUGAAAUUUCUAAUAUCUAUUAAUAAUUUCUUAAUGUUACUGAGAAGUUAGUAAAUCAUGGGAUGAGAGCCGAAGACUUUUUGGCUGAUCUAACUCCUAUUACAAUCAAGUUGGUAACUGCAUUUGGUAAUUACAUCUUCAGUACUUGCAAUCUCUUAUCGCCUUUCCAAGUUGAUUUUAGUUAUUUGUCCUUGAUAUUCUAAGUGCAUGGACUUGAUGGAAGGGUCAGGUUCUGUGGUGGUGUUAGAAUUGCUAGAAAACUUGUUGUAUAGGUUGUCAUGAUAUUCUCAUGUGCCAUAUAAAUCAUCAUUGUUUUGCAAGUGCUCUAUGGCAUUCUUUACUGGAUAGGCUAGCCAGGGUGCCUUAGAGGCAAAAGUCAAGACGGAAAUGACAUAUAUCUAAAGCUUCAGACAAGCACAGGUUGGUCAUUUUAUCAUUUAUAAGUCUUCUAUCUCUUUUAACUUAGUCUAACAUCUUGUUGAACCCAAGCAAGAUUCAUUUCACAGAGGCUUAAUGUCAUGACCCAACCCAGACCUGGCAAGAUAUUGUCCGCUUUAGGCCUUAACAAGGCCCGCACGGAUUUGUUCUUGGGGUGCCCAUACACCCCAAAACGCGUCUUGCCAAUUAAGGUGUGGAUCACUCCUUAUAAACCCAGCAUCUCUCCCGUGCUUUGCCGAUGUGGGAUUCGCCUAGGGUGUUACAUACACCCCCCCUUGGGGACUCAGCGUCCUCGCUGAGGUUUGCCCCACCAUCGCUCAAGAGGACACGCGGAGCCGCUCUGAUACCAUAAUGUCAUGACCCAACCCAGACCUGGCAAGAUAUUGUCCGCUUUGGUCCUUAACAAGGCCCGCACGGAUUUGUUCUUGGGGUGCCCAUACACCCCAAAACGCGUCUUGCCAAUUAAGGUGUGGAUCACUCCUUAUAAACCCAGCAUCUCUCCCGUGCUUUGCCGAUGUGGGAUUCGCCUAGGGUGUUACAUACACCCCCCCUUGGGGACUCAGCGUCCUCGCUGAGGUUUGCCCCACCAUCGCUCAAGAGGACACGCGGAGCCGCUCUGAUACCAUAAUGUCAUGACCCAACCCAGACCUGGCAAGAUAUUGUCCGCUUUAGGCCUUAACAAGGCCCGCACGGAUUUGUUCUUGGGGUGCCCAUACACCCCAAAACGCGUCUUGCCAAUUAAGGUGUGGAUCACUCCUUAUAAACCCAGCAUCUCUCCCGUGCUUUGCCGAUGUGGGAUUCGCCUAGGGUGUUACAUACACCCCCCCUUGGGGACUCAGCGUCCUCGCUGAGGUUUGCCCCACCAUCGCUCAAGAGGACACGCGGAGCCGCUCUGAUACCAUAAUGUCAUGACCCAACCCAGACCUGGCAAGAUAUUGUCCGCUUUGGGCCUUAACAAGGCCCGCACGGAUUUGUUCUUGGGGCGCUUAUACACCCCAAAACGCGUCUUGCCAAUUAAGGUGUGGAUCACUCCUUAUAAACCCAGCAUCUCUCCCGUGCUUUGCCGAUGUGGGAUUCGCCUAGGGUGUUACAUACACCCCCCCUUGGGGACUCAGCGUCCUCGCUGAGGUUUGCCCCACCAUCGCUCAAGAGGACACGCGGAGCCGCUCUGAUACCAUAAUGUCAUGACCCAACCCAGACUUGGCAAGAUAUUGUCCGCUUUGGUCCUUAACAAGGCCCGCACGGAUUUGUUCUUGGGGUGCCCAUACACCCCAAAACGCGUCUUGCCAAUUAAGGUGUGGAUCACUCCUUAUGCCUUUUGGAUUAACUAAUGCUCCUGCAGCGUUCAUGGAUUUGAUGAAUAGGAUCUUCCAACCUUAUCUUGACCAGUUUGUCAUCGUCUUUAUUGAUGACAUAUUGAUUUACUCUAAGAAUAAGGAGGAGCAUGAGACGCACUUGAGGAUUGUAUUAGAAACAUUGCGGGAGAAGAAGUUGUAUGGAAAAUUUAAGAAAUGUGAGUUUUGGCUUGAUCGUGUGAUGUUUUUGGGACAUAUAGUGACGAAGGAUGGUAUUUCAGCAGAUCCAGCCAAAUUGGAGGUAUUUCAGUUUGAAGCUUAUGAGUAAAGAUUAUGAUUUGUGAGUAACCUCCUUCUUCACGUGCUUCGCACGUGUUAGAUUUGGGGUGUUACAAUUGUGGUAUUGUUCUUGGGGUGCCCAUACACCCCAAAACGCGUCUUGCCAAUUAAGGUGUGGAUCACUCCUUAUAAACCCAGCAUCUCUCCCGUGCUUUGCCGAUGUGGGAUUCGCCUAGGGUGUUACAAGACAUCUAUUGGGAUCUUACUUUUGUUGAUGAGAGGGUCUGAAACAGCUGGUGCAAUAAGUAAAAUUGAUUUUAUGUAGACUAGAAAGCUCUGCCCGCUGUGAAGGCUUUCCUGUUAAAUGAAGAUUGUGAAGGCUUUCCUCUAUUGGGAUCUUACUUUCCUGUGCAAUAAGUAAAAUUGAUUUUAUGUAAAAUUGAACCUUAGAGAACAGAUUUUUAUUAAUUUUUAAUAGAUAAUAAUCAUAUUAAAUGGAAUUAGACUGUCGAAAAUUGUGAAAUACUGCUUCCUUUUGGCCAUCCUUCGCACUGUUGUUCCUAGCAGACUAGGCCACCUGGGACCCUGCACUGGCAAUCAAGGCUGCUUGACCCUAAGAUGAUCCUAGUGACCUCAAACUUCUGCAGACUUGGAUUUUCCUCUUAUGUUAUCUUGAGCCAGAGGCUUGACUUUUUAUAUGGUUCAAAAAUUGAUUAGGAACUUUGAUAAGUGCUGUAUGAAGGGCAGCUGAUAUUGAUGAUUCUAUAGCUAAGGUUCUGUUUGAAUUUUAGAGAACGUCCUGGACCAUAAUGCAGUUCGUUGUGAGCUGUCAGUGUUCUUUGUCUAUAAAUGACAAAAUAGGAAGUAGAAUACCUGCUGAAGAGGUGGGGUUUAUAUUGCUAUGCCCUAAGCCAUUGUCCUUUGUUGAGUAAAGACAUUCUUCAUGUGUUUGAACCUUCUUCUUUUCUGACACUGAAUUCUCUUGUUCUAAUCUUCAGCUUGUUAGCCAUCAAAAAGGUAAUAUGGGAAGGCUAAGCAAUAGGUUGGGAAUGUGGAUGUUUGAUCAGGCGCUCAUGAUGGAUGAUAUUUCACGCUUUUUAAAUUGAAACUUGUCUCUUACUCAUGUCUUGAAAUUUUGUUUGAAACCUUUAAGAACAGGAUUCUGUAUUGCUUAAGAUUUUUAAUGAGUAGAAACUUUGAAUUAUGAGGGAGGAGGAGUUUCCACCUUGUGAGUCAUCUAUCAUAUCAAGGGUUUUUUCUUUAAUUUCUACACGGGUAAAAUAAUCACAUGACAACAUGAACAUUGGUGUGUUUUGAGGUUUUUAAUAAGUUCUUAGCUAGUAUCUUAUUUAUUCAAUCAUUUACGGAAUGCAAUGCCAAUAAGAAAUUCAAGUAACCAUCAUUGAAUUGGAAUUGACAGGUUUGGCCGCCAAAUAUUUGCUUAAUUUAUUGUUAACAUAUUGUUAUGAGCUCGCGCUGAGAGGAAAAAGGAAAAAGUUGCAUAUUGUUAGCAUGCCUCAGAAAUUCAGAAUAAUGUCUAAGUGCAGUUGAUAACCCUUGAAUUAUAACUUUUAGCAUGAGAGAUAUUUUAUGAGCAUAAUUUCCAUCUUAUCAUUUAAAAAAAAAAAAAGGAUGCUCCAAUUUUGAGGGCUCUUGUAGGUUAGCUUCAUGAAGCAUAUCAUCUUGUAGAAUAUCUGCGGUUUGAGUAUUUUAUAGAAUGACUUUGGGAUGGGGAUGAACUGGCAUUGUUGUCAAGGUAAAAUUUAUACUUGGAAAUUUGGCAGUCUGAAAUCAUGUUGGCUCAGUUCUCUUCAAAAUUGCUAUAUUGCAUGCAGCUAUAUAAAGCUUUUGUAAUCUGCUGUUAUAAUCAUGCUGAAUUUUAAUCACUACAGGGACUGAGCUCCCUGUAUGUGCUGUGGAUUACAGUUGCUUGAUUCAUUUAAUGGCACGGUGUUUUGCAUAUGGUUUAUUAACUUUUUUGGUGCCUUAUCUAAUGGUUUUUUUUUUUUGGGUCUUGAUUUUGCAGCACCACCAUUGAAAUUAAUUGACUUGCCUGGAUUGGAUCAACGAAUAAUGGACGAUUCAUUGGUGAGGGCUUGUUUAAUUUUUUUAGACCUUGAUGCUCUAAAUAUUCAUGUGUCCCAUUAUAUAUUUAUUUGAUAGAUGUUAUUUGCUUGUGUUUUCAAUGGUGGAAAGAUGUGGUCUGUUCUUUGCAUGUGAAUUAUGGUUGGUAACUUAUAAGUUAGUAACAAUAAUUUUGUGAUGUCCCUCAUAGGUUAGUGAAUAUGCCGAGUACAAUGAUGCUAUUUUACUAGUAAUUAUUCCUGCUGCCCAAGCGCCUGAAAUUGCUUCAUCUCGAGCUCUUAGAGUUGCCAAGGAGUAUGACGGAGAUGGUAAUAUGCUUAGACAUUUUUAUACCUCUAAUUUUGCUGUUAAAUUUUUUGAUUUGUAAAUCAAAAGAUAUGCUAUUUAUGAUUUUCAUAAUCUUUGGCACACUAGUACAUUUUUUGGUGCAUCCUUUGAAGUUGCAGGAAUGUAACUCUGCCUUCUCCUUCCUAUUGCUAUCAUUACUGUUUCCUUGUUAAUUCUUUAUCUCGCUAAUUUGGGAGCUUAUUUUGUUAACGUCAGGAACCAGAACUGUUGGUGUAAUAAGGAAAAUAGAUCAAGCUUCUGCAGACCAAAAAGCUCUUGCUGCUGUGCAGGCUCUCCUGUUAAAUCAAGGUCCACCAAAAACAGCUGACAUUCCGUGGGUUGCAUUAAUUGGUCAAUCGGUAUCAAUAGCUACUGCUCAGUCUGGAUCUGAGAGCUCCUUAGAAACUGCUUGGAGGGCAGAAAGUGAGUCUCUUAAGUCUAUAUUGACUGGUGCUCCUCAGAGUAAGUUAGGCAGAAUAGCAUUGGUGGAUGCUUUGGCUCAGCAGAUCCGCAAGCGUAUGAAAGUCCGGUUGUUAAACCUUCUCUCUGGGUAUUAAAUGAUUUCCACAUGCUGCACGAAAAGUUUCAAUUUUACGCAUGUUUUAGUUUAUCUUUGGAAAGUUGUAUUCUUUUUUCUUUUUUUUUUUUUGACACAUGAAAAUGAUUUUCUUGAACACACUUAGAUCCUUGGAACUUGUUUUACUGUCACAAAUGGAUUGUGAGAACUUGGCAAUAGGAAGUUCGAGAUACAUUUAACCAUUAAAAUUUCUCUUCUGCCUGGUAGGCAUGUCAUUACUAAUCAUUGUGCUUGUACUUGUCCUCGAUGGUUAGAAGAUGACGAUUAUUAUUGUUGUUAUUAUUAUUAUUAUUUUAACUUCUAUCACCCCUAUAACUCUGUCUUGCACUUUGCAUUGUAGUUAAUAAACGCAGUUCAGUGGGAGUUAAAAUUGAAAAUAAAGAUAUCUUAAUUCAUAUAAUUAAUUAUUCCUCGACCCUUUUUCAUGACCCAGCUUAAUGAGUAAAUAUGUAUUCAGUUUUUCCUUUAUGAAGGGUAUGAGUACUUCUUCCAGUUAAGGUAACUCCUUUAUUACGUAUACCUGUGCAGGUUACAAGGAAAGUCUCAAAUAGUUCAGGAUGAGUUAGCGUGGCUUGGUGAGCAGAUGGUCCAGAGUGCUGAGGGCAGGAGAUCUUUGGCUUUGGAGCUUUGUCGUGAAUUUGAGGGUCAGUUUCUGCAACACAUUACAACUGGUGAGGUGACUUAUUUUUGUUUUUGUGCUUGGUGACUUUCAUGUAGCAUAUGUCUUCUUUCUUGGCUUGCUUAUGUUGUUUUGAUUUCUCAAUUUGUUUUUCAGUAAUAGUGUAUAUUACCAUGUACAAGAAAAAGCUUUAUAUAGAAAUUUGAAGGAGGAAAUCUAAGACAUAGAUGAGGGGAAUAUGUUACUUUUUUUGAUAAGAGACGGGAUUGUGAUACUAUCACCUCUGGAAUUGAAGCCUUCUAUAAAAUUAGAUGGAAGUGAGCUCCAUUACUUGUAUCAAUUUGUAAUCCCUCUCAUUGUAGAAGUUUACCUGGUUCUUGGACCUCUAAUGAGAAGCUUCUUAAUGUAUAACGUGGAUACUGCUUCUACCUAAUGGAAUGUGUGAAGCUGGCAGGGACUAGGGGUCUUUUGUAGGAGAAACGAUUUUUUCAAACCUAUUCAAGUGCUUAGAGGUAGUGCUUGUUUUUACUAGGUCAGCUGAGGAGGGGUUGAUGUCUGCUUUGCGGUCAUUGUAACCUUAUUAGUUCCAGGUAGCUCCUUUAAAGUUGUUUUUGCUCUCUAACGCUUUUUCGGUUGACGAGUGUGUCUGGUCAUGGAAAUGUAGGGGCUGGAUUCCAAGUGUUGGAAGUUCAUAUGGUAGUAUGAGGAUGCCCCUUUUCCAAAUUUGGUUAGCUAAAAUGGAUCUAAUUGGUACUUCAUGCUUGUUCUGUUCCUUUGGUCUUUUAUUAUUUUUUCCCUUUUUCUUACUUAUAAGUUUCAGGCCAUGUCUAAUUGAUAAAUCUCUAAGUAUCAGUACUUCUUCUGGUUAAAAUAGUUAAUGUAUCCAAACUUUGUUUAGUGUCCUGCUCUCUGUUUUUAUUGGCUAGUGAUUUUGGUCGUGCUUUUUUGAGUGGCCUAUGGUAUUUUCCUCCGUCACUACCUGAAAAGUAGAGGAUACUGAUUUUUUGAGAUAUCAGUUGUCAUAACAUUAUGUCGAUGCAGGGUUCUGGUUGGAAAAUUGUUGCCAGUUUUGAGGGGAAUUUCCCGAAAAGGAUCAAACAGCUUCCUUUGGACAGACAUUUUGAUAUUAAUAAUGUCAAGAGGGUAUGUUGGUGCUCUACUGCUUAUAUCUAUUGUGUUCCUGUUGCUUUAAUCUAAUUUUUUAGAUUUUGCAUUUGCAUUGAUCUUCUCAUAUUCAUUUCUUAUCAGAUUGUGUCAGAAGCGGAUGGCUAUCAACCAUAUCUAAUAUCCCCUGAUAAGGGUUUGAGAUCUUUGAUCAAAGGUGUCCUGGAGCUUGCAAAAGAACCCUCUCAUCUUUGUGUUGAUGAGGUAAUGGAACCAUGUAUAUAAAGAUUUUACCCUUUUUCUCUUUUUAUGAUGUUGAAUGUUAAAUUUUUUGUUUUGGCCUUAACAUGUGGUUCCUUCAUAGUAUUGUUAGUCAAUAGUAUGCUCUCUGUUGGAUGCAUGAUAUGGACAUCCAAAUGAUACACUUUUUAAUAUUUUUCCGAGGCACUACAUUUUAUGUUCUUUUUGUUCCUCAAGAACAUGCUUAACUAAUGACAAGUACUUCAGGUUCAAUAAGAAGGAUUUGUCAACUUUUAUUUGACUUAAGAGGUCAGAUAUUCUUAAAAUUUGUUUUUCUAGAAUAGGUACAUCAGGUCAUUUGAUGUCUUUUACCCAAUUUUCUUUAUGGAUGGCAGUGAAAAUCUGAAGCAAUUAUUGUUUCUGCUGACUGAUAGAGUUCCUGGCUGACUGGUAAAACAGGUACACCGUGUUCUGGUGCUGCAAAUGCUACACCAGGCCUGGGAAGAUAUCCUCCUUUCAAGAGAGAGGUAUGGCUGCUUUUGAUUAUGUGUCACAAUAGCUUUUCUGCAUUUGUACAUGAUUAGACCUAUAUGUGGUUCAAAUUUCCUUUUCCGUGUGGCAAUAGUUGAAUGGUUUGAAACUUUUACAAGGUUGUGGCCAUUGCAAGUGCUGCCUUAGAUGGGUUUAAGAAUGAAGCAAGAAAGAUGGUGGGUGCACUAGUUGACAUGGAGAGAGCUUUUGUCCCUCCGCAACAUUUCAUUCGUUUGGUGCAGCGGAGGUGUGAUAUGAUUGAACUUCUUCGAUAUAUUUGAGAUAUGUGCAACAUUGUCUUCCGGAUAUCUGGGUCUGAGUUCUUGUGACGGGAUGGCUUGUCAAUAUUUAUUUCUGGAACAUUUUGCUUAGAAAAUGCUGACAUUACCAACUUUUCUGAAAUUUAUGUCAUAGUCUAUUUCUUCUCUCUCCCCAAUUUUGCAUGAGCUGAGUUUUGAAUGCAUGCAAAUGCAACUCCACGAAUUUAGAAAAUUUGGUAUUUAUUAGUCUCUAAAUACUAUUGUUGGGUAUUUUCCUAUCAACUUAAAGCUAGCAGUUUUGUAUUUGACUUUUGUUGUCAGUCGGGCUAGUGUUUAGAUCCGAUUGUGUUUGUGUGGGUUUGGUUCCAGAUGAUAUCAAAUUCUCUAUGCAUGAAACCAGCAUUUUUUCAGUUUAAACUCAGUUGUUUGGGCCUUUUCUAUUAGUUUAAGCCUUUGGGACCUAUGGUUCCUUAGCAUUACUAUUUUUUUUUUUUUUCUGUAAGUUCUUUCCUGAAAUUCCUGUGCACCAUGCUUAUUGCGUAAUCUAUUUAUUUUGUUAGGAUGGGAAGACAGCGGCGAGAGGAGGAGGUGAAGACGCGAUCUUCGAAGAAACCAAAUGAGGCAGAACAAGAAAUACUGAAGAAGGUACGAUUUCCUUUUCCUAAUGUAAUUGGAGUAUGACAUGAGGAGAAUGGGACAUACUGAGGAGGCACUAGUUCCUUUUAAUUUCUCCUUAAGAAACGCAUUUAAAUCUCUAUUUUAUGUUUUUCCAUAUAUUCUCUUUCAGGCAACCAGUCCUCAAACAGGUGGUCAGCAAACGGGUGGAAGUUUAAAAGCAAUGAAGGAUAAAUCCAGUCAAGCAGUGAAAGAAGCAAAUGAAGCUUCUGCUUUAAAGACUGCAGGCCCUGAAGGAGAAAUAACAGCAGGUUUGUGGAAAAAACUGUCACUGUGUGUACUCAGACGAGCCUAUCAUAUUUCAUCAUAUAUGUGCAUGUAUAAUCUAGUCCCCAAAGGACAAAAGCACCCAAGCACACGGCCCAAAACCUCUGUGUGUACUUAGACGAGCCUCAAAAGCUUGUAUCUCAUCUGUAUCAUCUGUAUCUCAUAUCUGUAUCUCUGUAAUCAUCAUACCGCAUGCAUAUGCCCCCAAAAGGCAGAAACGCCCAAACACACGGCCCAAAGCCUCUAUGUGUGUUCAGACGGGCCUAAAUGCCUCUAUCUCAUCUCAUUUUUAUCACUGUAUCUGGAGGGGAAGGAUACUAUCUAAUUAUUUAAAAAACAAUCAUUAUACUCAUAUUCACAUACCUUUUAACCAUACUUUAAAUCAUACCACAUUUGAAUCCACUUUUCUUGUCUUUAAAAUACUAUAAUGUUUUAUUCAAAAUCGAUACACAAAAUCAUUAAUCAAACAUUUUAAUAAAAUACCAAUGCGUGAAUAAAAUCUAUUUUGAGAAAAUCAUUAAAUUAGAACAUUUAAAACACUUAUUUCGCAAACAUACUUUACUUUCAUAAUUAACUAUGAAAAUAUGUUUUAUAUAUUCCACUCACAGUGACGGUGUUCACGCUCGGUUAUUGUCCACGUCUGCGGAUCAGUACUCGCUCGCGGACCCCCCUAAAUCAAGAAAACGAAAUAAUUAUUUUUCGUAAAUUGAAAUUAGGACUAAAUUUAUGCAAUAAACUCGAAACGAAUAUCUAUCCAUAAUUUACAACUCCUGUAUCGAUAGAAUUACCAAAAUACCCUCGAAUCUGUAAAUCGUUAAAAUACUUCAAAAUCGUAAGUCACCGAAUUACUCUUGGAAUCAUAAUUAUACUCCACUCCUCAAUUUUAGGAAUUAUUAAAAUAUUCAUAGGCUCAUAAACUAUAAAAUUGCCCUCAAAGAGUGAAAUUACCGAAAUGCCCUUGCCGGUCAACGGUCACCGGAAUUUAGUCAACGCUGGCCAAGAAGCUCAAGUCUGAAAGUUCCAAUCACGCUGAAUCUAAUAGUGCCGCAACGACGCCGGAAUCUAGCUCGGCAGCCGUGAAUUUCCAACAAUUGGCCGGCGGAGAAACAGUGACUCCCGGUGACUGUGGAUGGUUGGGAAUUGAAGAGGGAGUCGUCGGGAACAAAACUGAGGUGGUGACGUGGUCAAAUUCCGGUGGAAUCAACGGCGGUGGUGAUGGGUUUCGGCUCAAGCCUUAAACGGCGGUGUUCCGGUCAAUUUUCGGCGAAGAUGACAGCUGCAAUAUGACCAACGUCUCACGGGCUUUCGAUUGAUACCUUGAUCAACCGGAGGGGUGGCCGGAAAUUGGAGACAUGGCCGGGUCACGUUCGCGGGUCGGGUCGGGUUUUGGGUCUGUUUUUGGUCGCUUCUCCCCUUCACACGUGUGCCUCUGUUUUCCCCUGUUUUCUCUUUCAUUUAUUUUAACUUUUAGCCGCCUCAUCUUAGUAUUUAUUUUUCUUCUAUUUUCACAUAUGUUUACUUAAACAACAUUUUUGAACUAUUGAAAGAAAUGAUCAUGGGUUACUAGAUGGGCCUGAUUCGUUAGUCUAUUAACCUUGGAUGCAUUUGAUCCAUAACAAUACCUGUGGUACGUGAUUGACUGGAAUCAUUUGCAUUCAUAGUCGUUCACUAGAAUCAUUUGAAUACCACCACACUGCUUUCCGAUCCUCUAGGGGUAACCUUGCUGUUUUGCUUGUGUUGAAAUAAGCCGAGAUUCAUAGGGGUGGAUGAAGUUUUGAACAUCAAACUCUUUCUUGGCUGAGUGUCAUCGUCUUCUAUCUUAUGCUGCAUUGGCUUGUUCAUUUUGUUCCUUGGACUGCAUUUGGAGAAAUAGAUGCCUGAAUUCAGUAUGAGCAAAGUUAAGAGUAGAUAAUAUACAUCACAUAUUUUCUGAUUGCUAAAAUAGUAUUAACUAGGGUUGGUCCCUGAUGUGUAUCUUGACAUGGUCUUAAACCUUCAUUACUUUUUCAUCAAGCCAUAAAGUGCCUGCAUACAAGUUGAAAACCAGGAAACUUGCAACUGCUGCCCAAGACUAUAUACUGUUGUAGCAGAUAAUUAGCUAUUCAAUAAUUUUGGUAUAUCUCAUUAGUAUUUGUGGAAUGCCUUUGAAAUCCUUGCAUGCAUGCUUCAUAUCCCAGCAGUUUAUGGAUAAAGGCACGUUAAUCCCCCUCUAGAUGAAAUUACUUAAUUGCUUAAAUGAUUUUUUUUUUCACACAUUUAUAUUUAGAAGUUUGUGACUAUUUUUUGUUGUCCAGGUUUCUUGUUGAAGAAAAGUGCAAAAACUAAUGGAUGGAGCAAGCGAUGGUUUGUUCUGAAUGAGAAGACUGGAAAGGUUUGUAACUAACAUUUUGUCCCAUACGCUUACAUUUUUUAGACAUGGAGUAGUUAUGCUAUUCAUAUGUUUUAGGUGCUUUUAGGCAUGGUAUCUAACCUUUGUUAAAUGAUUUUAGCAUUAUAAAAUUUUUAAAAUGAGUUACAUUCUAGCCUCCAUUCUCUUAUUUUUUAUGUUUUUGCAUUAAAGAAAUAUAGGACACUGUUAUGAUAGGCAUGAUUUAAUCUCAAUCAUCCUUUGUUAGACAGCUGGGCUACACCAAAAAGCAAGAGGAAAGGCAUUUUUGUGGUGUCAUUGCUUUGGAGGUAUGGAGAAUUACUACUCUGUUUCAGUUUUGGUAUUAUAUUAUCUAUUCUUUUGUCACAACCUUUUUUCACCAUUUUGUAGUUUAUUGCCAUCUUACUGGCUGGGCAGGAGUAAGUUGUAUAUGAAUAGGCCUAUAAAUAACCUUUAUGAAUGAAGUUUGCCUUAUUACUGCAAUAGGAACACUUUCUAAGUUAAAAUGGAUAAAGAUGGCCAAUGAUAAAUUUAACAAGUUAACAGUUGCCUCACAUACUAACGAACUUCAAGUAAAAUAUUUUAAGCUUUUUCUUAGUUUUCUAACUUCUAGUAAAUUUUUUUAAGCUUUUUCUUUGGAUACAUGCUACCCAGUGUUCAUUCCUUUGGAUGUUACUUUAAAUAUUUUACCAAGUAGCUUCUGUUUUGAGCUAUUUUUAAUCGUACUUCGCAAUAAUGUAUGUACAUUUGCUGGCGCAGGAAUGUAAUAUUCAGGAGAUUCCGGAGGAGGAGGAACCUCCAGCUAAAAGUUCGAAGGAUAAAAAGGCUAAUGGACCUGAUUCUGGGAAGCACCAAGUCUUGUAUUUAAGAUUACUAGCAAAAUUCCUUAUAAAACUGUUCUGAAAGGUAUUCUUUAUGUUUAAAUCAUGGAGUUCCUCUGGUGGUAAAUUUUCUUUUUUUAUUCACUUUAUCUUGCAGCCCACAAUGCUGUUGUUUUGAAAGCUGAGAGCACCGCUGAUAAGGCGGAAUGGAUAAACAAGAUAAGCAAAGUUAUUCAAGCUAGGGGAGGACUUGUUAGAGUUGCUGAAAGUGGUCAUACGAUGCGUCAGAGUCUUUCUGAUGGUUCUCUUGUGAGUUUACACUCUCUUAACUUUGCAAUACAAAUUUUGAAGUAAAGAGCUACUUACCUGUGAAGGAUGUUGUUCCUUUUGCACAUGCAUAGAAAUUGUGAUCGAGUGUUAAUUUCUCUUCUUGGUGGUUUUUCUAGGAUACAAUGGCUCGAAGACCUGCUGACCCUGAGGAAGAACUUCGAUGGAUGUGUCAAGAAGUACGUGGUUACGUUGAAGCAGUUUUGAAUAGUUUAGCAGCUAAUGUGCCCAAAGUAAGCGCAUUCCUUAACUUUGCCAAUUUAGUAUUUUCAGUUGGUUACUUAAUAGAUCUGAUAUUUUUGUGAAUGGUUGAGCAGGCAGUUGUACUUUGCCAAGUCGAGAAAGCGAAGGAAGACAUGUUGAAUCAGUUAUAUAGCUCUGUCAGGUUGAUGGCUUUCUUAUUUCUCUCUUAUCAAUUAAUGAUCAUUUUGUUUGUAGUAAUUGUGCAUGGAUUCAAUAUAUGGUAACAUUAUUGAAAUUUUGUUAGAAAGCUGAUUGAUGCUAAAUAAUUUGUAUUUUACCUUGGGUAGUGCACAAAGCACGGCAAGGAUUGAAGAGCUGCUUCAGGAGGACCAGAAUGUGAAGCGUAGGAGGGAUCGCUAUCAGAAACAGUCUGAACUCCUGUCUAAACUAACCCGCCAACUUAGCAUUCAUGACAACCGAGCGGCUGCUGCCGCUAACUGGUCGGACGGUGGUGGUGGAGCAGGUACGUGGUCUUUUGUUCAUAUACCAAGUGGAAAAGAUUGUUCAAUUUAACAUUUCCCUUUUGUCUGUUUAAAAAAUUAAACAUUGAACUUUGAGUAAAUAUCUAUAGUCUAAUGACAGUGGAUCUUUUCUUAACCUAAUUGUUUGCUGAUUUUGGAAUUAAAAAUUUUGUUCUGAACUUGAAUUAAAUUAUUGGAAAGGUUUCUCAGGUGACACUCAAGAAAUGCUAACCAAACCUAUUAAUUGCUUGAACAGUCUUACUAUUGAGCUACUUUCUGACAAAAGAUUGUUAGAUUGAUUUGUUUAUACCGUUGGAUUUUAAAAUUUUUCUUUAUUUGUACCAUUUAAUUAACAAUUUUUUUUUAUAAGACCGUCAUUUUGAUUUUAAAAUGUUACUUUGUUAAGUCUCUAUUUGAAACAUUUUGAUGAUGGAAGUAUUGGGUUAUGUAAUAUGCAGAAAGCAGCCCUAGAACAAGUGCCGCAUCAGGUGAUGACUGGGGAUCCGCAUUUGAUGCUGCUGCCAAUGGACCUGUAAGCCUUCGCAGCUACUCUCGGUCUGCAUCCAAUGGUCACAGCCGGUGUUACUGUGAUCCAGCCGAGAAUGGUGAUGUGAGAUCUGUUUCAAACUCGGGCAGUCGUCGUACUCCUAAUCGGGUGCCGCCGCCUCCACCACCAACACAGUCAGGCUCCAAGUACUUUUAGGUGGCUUACAGAUUUUGGUUGACAAUUCAUAUUUUCUCUGCAUAUUUUUAGUGAGUGAAGGCCUGC
rnacentral:lncRNA from 1 species